rnacentral:lncRNA from 1 species
UGAUGGCAAGUUUAGUCAAAAAAAUACGUCGCAAUUCAUUUUCUCCCAGGAAAUUGUCAUGCUUGCAAACCAAGUUUUCCAUGCUCACGCCAACAUAAAAUUUCUUUGAUUUGUCAUGUUUAAAAUCUGACGUCACAUUUUUAACAUUACCGUAAAUCUUUUGAUACGGUUUAAUGGAAUGGGUUGGAAAAUAAGAAUAUUUUUUUAAACAAAAUAAAGGUAGUUACUGCUAGGCAAACUAUUGUCAAGUCAAAAUAUUGUGACAAACAGACAAAUCCUAAAGAAAAAAAGCUUACCCGUUUUGGAACAAGCUUACUGUGCUAGUGUAGUCCCUGUGGGUAGGUGUUGUCGUGUUGAGGUGUUUGUCACAAGGGAUCGGGACACCUCGACAUUUUUCUUGGUGACGAGUCAGAUAAAUUAACAUGGGUAAAAUAUACAUUGAAAUUCCUAGAGUUGAGUUGGCCUCAAUUUAAGGUUGUAAACUCUGUUAAUUUUACAAUUUUGCUAAAGCACAUUUAAAUGUGCCAUUGCACAUCUAAGUCAUAUGUCAUUGAUCUUACAUUGAGAUUCAUGUGAAUAUUUUUUUUCUCUUUAUGCUUGAUUCACUUACUUAGAUGUGCAAUAAUUAGAGCAUAUCUAGAUGUGCCCUAGACACACCCUUUUAAAUUUUAUAGACCGGACAGUCAAAUAACAAAAUAGAAAAGGCACUCCCUUGUUGACCGUGACUUUCUUUUCUCUCUCGCAAGGUGACUAGGGAAUACUUUCGUCUCCUGAAUCUUCGAUGACGAGUAUGUGGAUUCUUCUUCCCUCUGCCUGCCGCUCCGGCAGCCGGUGGUGGCGAGGAAAAUCCUGGUGCUUCAACUUCGGCUAGUUGAUAGCUUAGGAUUUUAGUCCUCACAGAGAUGGCGCUCGGGCGGAUAGCCACGCUUCUUCUUCGAGUCAAUCUUCUAGGCUAUGAUCCUUCUCAUGUUUGCCCAUCUAAAUGGAUUAGACGAAACUUUGACGUAGAUUCCUGCGAGCUCCUUGGGGCGGCGAGAUUUGGAUUUCUUGCCGUGUGUACGUAUUGGCGAAAGUUUGGUGUCAGGUUAUUUAGAUAGAUUCAAGUGUUCAAUAGCAACAAUUGCGGUCCGUACGCUGGUCUUUAGGGGCAUGUGCACGAAGACUCCCAAAUGUCAUUAACAAGGUCAGGCCGACUCCGGUAUGGGAGCGGCAAAGCGGCACGUCAACGGCUCGUUCUGGCAGCCGCAGUUGUCGUUCGAAGGUCCAGAGGUCUCGAUGUAAAUUUUAUUAUGUUUAGGGUGCCUUGUAUCGGUGGUAAAAAUUUAUAAUACUAUAUGUGAAUACUUUUCACAAAACUAAUAAUGAUGAUGAAUAGGCAAAAUCUUGUUGAGCAAAUAUGAUAGUAAUUCACAGUCUCUAUGAUUGACUAGUUUUUUAACACAGUAUAGACAUAGAUGCUUAUACAUACGCACAUAUAUUCAUCCCAAUGAACACGCGCACACAUACUCUACCUCUAUGAGUAGAGACUGAGCCGGCGCGUAAUUUUGAGAUUGACGAAGUCACAAUAGAUACGUCAAUUUUUUUUGGUUGUUUUCAACUCCUAUCUUUUUUUUUGCGAGGAACCAUAGGGUAUUUUAUUCCAGAGUGAUAGAGUUACAAUCUUCAGCAACUAGCUUGCUAAUACAUGGGGGUGGUUGACCCAACCAACAGGUUGUGCUAUCCCCACAUCUACCAAAAUUAGCUAAACAAUGUGCAACCCUAUUCUGAUCCCGAAGAAUUUUAACAGGAAUAACUACCCUAUCGUUCAAGAACCUUUUGAUCUCCGCCACCAAGUGUCCAUAUGCCGACCUAUCCAAUGAACCAUCCCCAAGCAUCUUGAGAGCCACCGCACAAUCAGACUGAAGAACAAUAGUGGCCUGAGAAUGCUCUAUCGCCAGCUUCAACCCUUCCAUCACAGCUUGCAAUUCUGCCUCGAGAGCUUCAUUGUAGUGAGAUAGUUUGCGAUAGGAUGCGAAGAUAACAGUCCCGGUCAUGUCACGAAGAAUCAUUCCGGAGCCCGCUGACCCGUCCGUAGGGUCAAAAGAGCCAUCCACUGACAACGCCACCUGGUGCACCUGUGGAGGAGGCCAAGGUUUGCGAGGUGCAUAUCUUCCAGAUGGGGGUCUAUGUGUAGGUUCAUAAACCACCGGAGCUUUCCCUUUCAUAAUUUCCUCAACACUGAGCAAGAUUUGUUGGAAGGUGUUAUAGUAACUUGCCAAGAACAAGCAGGAAACCUCGAGUGGAGGGAUAGAUUUACCAUGAGUAAAUUCGUUCCGCAGAUGCCAUAUACGCCAUAGUACCAUAAUGAUUCUGCUCCUGAUCUGCUCGUUUGAUUCCGAUAGGAGGUGGAGCAGCCACUCUGAGCCCGUACACAGGAUAUCUGUUCUGGGGGGAAGUGGCCAGACUAGCCGCAUAGAAUCCCAGAGCAUAGCAGCAUUAGGGCAUACAAGUAACGCAUGAAAUGAGGACUCCUCCUCCCUUUGACAGAGGUUGCAGCAGGCGGAUGUACCAAUGUGUCGACAAAACUUCUCCACAUUUGUUGGAAGUGAUCCCGAAAUGACUUGCCAAGCAAAGUGUUGUUGGGGAACGUAGCAGAAAUUCAAAAUUUUCUACGCAUCACCAAGAUCAAUCUAUGGAGUAAUCUAGCAAUGAGGGGAAGGAGAGUGCAUCUACAUACCCUUGUAGAUCGCUAAGCGGAAGCGUUCAAGUGAACGGGGUUGAUGGAGUCGUACUCGUCGUGAUCCAAAUCACCGAUGAUCCUAGUGCCGAACGGACGGCACCUCCGUGUUCAACACACGUACAGCCCGAUGACGUCUCCUACGCCUUGAUCCAGCAAGGGGAGAAGGAGAGGUUUGGGAAGACUCCAUCUAGCAGCAGCACGACGGCGUGGUGGUGGUGAAGAAGCGCGGGACUCCAGCAGGGCUUCGCCAAGCACUACGAGAGACGAGGAGGGAGAGGGGUAGGGCUGCGCCAACAGGGAGAGCAAAUCACAUGUGUUGGGCAUCCCCAAACCUCAAGUAUAUAUAGGGGAAGGGGAGGGGCUGCGCCUCCACCUAGGGUUCCCUCCCUAGGGGUGGCGGCAGCCCCCAGAUCCCAUCUGGGAGGCGGCCAAGGGGGAGAGAGUGGGGGGCGCACCUAGGGCGGGCCUUAGGGCUCAUCUGCGCCUAGGGUUUGCCCCCUCUCCUCUUGAGGACGCCUUGGGCCUUGGUGGGAGGCGCCCCAGCCCACAUAGGGGCUGGUCCCUUCCCACUAUUGGCCCAUGUAGGCCUCCGGGGCUGGUGGCCCCACCUGGUGGACCCCCGGACCCUCCGGUGGUCCCGGUACACUACCGGUGAUGCCCGGAACACUUCCGGUGGCCAAAACCAUACUUCCUAUAUAUCAAUCUUUACCUCCGGACCAUUCCGGAACUCCUCGUGACAUCCGGGAUCUCAUUCGGGACUCCGAACAACAUUCGGUAACCACGUACAUACUUUCCCUAUAACCCUAGCGUCAUCGAACCUUAAGUGUGUAGACCCUACGGGUUCGGGAAACAUGCAGACAUGACCGAGACACCUCUCCGGUCAAUAACCAACAGCGGUAUCUGGAUACCCAUGUUGGCUCCUACAUGCGCCACGAUGAUCUCAUCGGAUGAACCACGAUGUCAAGGACUUAAUCAAUCCCGUAUACAAUUCCCUUUGUCUAGCGGUACGAUACUUGCCUGAGAUUCGAUCGUCGGUAUCCCGAUACCUUGUUCAAUCUCGUUACCGGCAAGUCUCUUUACUCGUUCCGUAACACAUCAUCCCGUGAUUAACUCCUUGAUCAAAUUGUGCACAUUAUGAUGAUGUCCUACCGAGUGGGCCCAGAGAUACCUCUCCGUUUACACGGAGUGACAAAUCCCAGUCUCGAUUCGUGCCAACCCAACAGACACUUUUGGAGAUACCUGUAGUGUACCUUUAUAGCCACCCAGUUAUGUUGUGACGUUUGGCACACCCAAAGCACUCCUACGGUAUCCGGGAGUUGCACAAUCUCAUGGUCUAAGGAAAUGAUACUUGACAUUAGAAAAGCUUUAGCAUACGAACUACAUGAUCUUGCGCUAGGCUUAGGAUUGGGUCUUGUCCAUCACAUCAUUCUCCUAAUGUUGUGAUCCCGUUAUCAAUGACAUCCAAUGUCCAUGGUCAGGAAACCGUAACCAUCUAUUGAUCAACGAGCUAGUCAACUAGAGGCUUACUAGGGACAUGGUGUUGUCUAUGUAUCCACACAUGUUUCUGAGUUUCCUAUCAAUACAAUUCUAGCAUGGAUAAUAAACUAUUAUCAUGAACAAGGAAAUAUAAUAAUAACCAAUUUAUUAUUGCCUCUAGGGCAUAUUUCCAACAGUCUCCCAAUUGCACUAGAGUCAAUAAUCCAGUUCACAUCGAUAUGUGAUUAACACUCAAGGUCACAUCCCCAUGUGACUAACACCCAAAGAGUUCUGGGUUUGAUCAUGUUAUGCUUGUGAGAGAGGUUUCAGUCAACGGGUCUGCAGCAUUCAGAUCCGUAUGUACUUCGCAAAUUUCUAUGUCAUCUUGUAGAUGCAACUACUACGCUACAUUUGGAGCCAUUUCAAAUAAUUGUUCUACUUGGAGCUAUUCUAAAUUGUUGCUCCAUUAUACCUAUCCGGUAUCUCUACUCAGAGCUAUCCGGAUAGGUGUUAAGCUUGCAUCGACGUAACUCUUUACGUCGAACUCUUUAUCACCUCCAUAACCGAGAAACAUAUCCUUAUUCCUCUAAGGAUAAUUUAGACCGCUAUCUGGUGAUCUACUCGUAGAUCACCUUUGUACCCUCUUGCCAAAUAUGUGGCAAGGCACACAUCAGGUGUGGUACUCAGCAUGGCAUACCGUAUGGAGCCUAUGACAAAAGCAUAGGGGACGACCUUCGUCCUUCCUCUUUCUUCUGCCGUGGACGAGCUUUAAGUCUUAACUUCAUACCUUACAACUCAGGCAAGAACUCCUUCUUUGACUGAUCCAUCUUGAACACCUUCAAGAUCAUGUCAAGGUAUGUGCUCAUUUGAAAGUACCAUUAAGCGUUUUGAUCUAUCCUUAUAGAUCUUGAUGCUCAAUCUUCAAGUAGCUUAAUCCAGGCUUUCCAUCGAAAACACUUUCCAAAUAACCCUAUAUGCUUUCCAGAAAUUCUACGUCAUUUCUGAUCAACAAUAUGUCAACAACAUAUACUCAUCAGAAAUUCUAUAGUGCUCCCACUCACUUCUUUGGAAAUACAAGUUUCUAAUAAACUUUGUAUACACCCAAAAACUUUGAGCAUCUCAUCAAAGCAUACAUUCCAACUCCGAGAUGCUUACUCUAGUCCUUAGAAGGAUUGCUGGAGCUUUGCAUACUUGUUAGCAUCUUUCAGGAUUGACAAAACCUUCCGGUUGUAUCACAUACAACCUUUCCUCAAGAAAAUCGUCGAGGAAACAAUGUUUUGACAUCCUAUCUGCAAGAUUUCAUAAAUAAUGCAGUAAUCGCUAAUAUAAUUCCAACAGACUCUUAGCAUCUCUACGAGUGAGAAAGUCUCAUCGUAGUCAACUCCUUGAACUUGUCGGAAAACAUCUUAACGACAAGUGGAGCUUUCUUAAUGGUGAUACUUAUCAUCAUUGUCCGUCUUCCUUUUAAAAUCCAUAUGUACCUAUCAGCCUUACGACCAUCAAGUAGUUCUUCCAAAGUCUACACUUUGUUUUCAUAUAUGGAUCCUCUCUCGGAUUAUAUGGCCUCGAGCCAUUUUGGAAUCCAGGCCCACCAUCGCUUCUCCAUAGCUCGUAGGUUCAUUGUUGUCUAGCAACAUGACUUCCAAGACAGGAUUAUAUACCAUUCUGAAGUUGUACGCAUCCUUGUAAUCCCACGAGGUUUGGUAGUGACUUGAUCUGAAGUUUCAUGAUCACUAUCAUAAGCUUCCACUUCAAUUGGUGUAGGUGCCGCAGGAACAACUCCCUGUGCCCUGCCACACACUAGUUGAAGAGACGGUUCAAUAACCUCAUCAAGUCUCCACCAUCCUCCCACUCAAUUCUUUCGAGAGAAACUUUUCCUCGGAAAAGGACCCGAUUCUAGAAACAAUCCCUUAUUGCUUUCGGAUCUGAGACAGGAGGUACACCCAACUGUUUUGGGUGUCCUAUGAAGAUGCAUUUAUCCGCUUUGGGUUCGAGCUUGUCAGCCUGAAACUUUUCACAUAAGCGUCGCAGCCCCAAACCUUUUAACAAAUGACAGCUUGGGUUUCUCUAAACCAUAGUUCAUACGGUGUCAUCUCAUCGGAAUUACGUGGUGCCCUAUUUAAAGUGAAUGUGGUUGUCUCUAAUGCCUAACCCAUAAACUAUCGUGGUAAUUCGAUAAGAGACAUCAUGGUAUGCAUCAUAUCCAAUAGGGUGCAGUUAUGAUGUUUGGACACACCAUCAUACUAUGGUGUUUCAGGCUGUAUUAGUUGUGAAACAAUUUCCACAAUGUCUUAAUUCUGCGCCAAACUCGUAAUUCAGAUAUUCAUCUCUAUGAUCAUAUCAUAGAUAUUUUAUCCUCUUGUCACGACGAUCUCUCACCUUCACCCUGAAAUUACUUGAACCUUUCAAUAAUUCAGACUCAUGAUUCAUCAAGUAAAUAUACUCAACAUCUACUCAAAUCAUCUGUGAAGUAAGAACAUAACGAUAUCCACUACACGCCUCAGCACUCAUUGGACUGCACACAUCAAAAUGUAUUACUUCCAACAAGUUGCUUUCUAGUUCCAUUUUACUGAAAACGAGGCUUUCAGUCAUCUUGCCCAUGUGGUAUGAUUUGCAUGUCUCAAGUGAUUCAAAAUCAAGCGAGUCCAAACGGUCCAUUUGCAUGGAAUUUCUUCAUGCAUAUACACCAAUAGACAUGGUUCGCAUGUCUCAAACUUUUCAAAAACGAGUGAGCCCAAAGAUCCAUCAACAUGGAGCUUCUUCAUGCGUUUUAUACCGAUAUGACUUACGUGGCAGUGCCACAAGUAGGUGGUACUAUCAUUACUAACUUAUAUCUUUUGGCAUGAACAUGUGUAUCACUACGAUCGAGAUUCAAUAAACCAUUCAUUUUAGGUGCAAGACCAUUGAAGGUAUUAUUCAAAUAAACAGAGUAACCAUUAUUCUCCUUAAAUGAAUAACCGUAUUGCGAUAGACAUAAUCCAAUCAUGUCUAUGCUCAAUGCAAACACCAAUCUCGAUGGUAGAGGGAGCGUGCGAUGCUUGAUCACAUCAAGCUUUGGAAAAACUUCCAACACAUAUCGCUAGCUCACCUUUAGCUAGUCUCCGUUUACUCCGCAGCCUUUUAUUUCGAGUUUACUAACACUUAGCAACCGAACCGGUAUCCAAUACCAUGGUGCUACUAGGAGUACUAGUAAAGUACACAUUAACACAAUGUAUAUCCAAUAUACUUCUAUCGACCUUGCCAGCCUUCUCAUCUACCAAGUAUCUAGGGUAAUUCUGCUCCAGUGGCUGUUCCCCUUAUUACAGAAGCACUUAGUCUCGGGUUUGGGUUCAACCUUGGGUUUCUUCACUAAAGCAGCAGCUGAAUUUGCCGUUUCAUGAAGUAUCCCUUCUUGCCCUUGCCCUUCUUGAAACUAGUGGUUUAACCAUCAACAAUUGAUGCUCCUUCUUGAUUUCUACUUUUGUGGUGUCAAACAUCGCGAAUAUCUCAAGGAUCAUCAUAUAUGUCCCUGAUAUAUUAUAGUUCAUCACGAAGCCCUAGCAGCUUGGUGGUAAUGAGUUCGGAGAAACAUCACUAUCUCAUCUGGAAGAUCAACUCCCACUUGAUUCAAAUGAUUGUUGUACUCAGACAAUCUGAGCACAAGCUCAACAAUUGAGCUUUUCUCCCUUAGUUUGCAAGCUAAGAAAAUCGUGGAGGUCUUAUACCUCUUGACGUGGGCACGAGCCUGAAAUCCCAAUUUCAGCCCUCGAAACAUCUCAUAUGUUUCGCGACAUUUGAAAACGUCUUCGGUGCCUCAACUCUAAACCGUUUAACUGAACUAUCACGUAGUUAUCAAAAUGUGUAUGUCAGAUGUUCGCAACAUCCACAGACGACGUUCGAGGUUCAGCACACUGAGCGGUGCAUUAAGGACACAAGCCUUCUAUGAAGCAAUGAGGACAAUCCUCAGUUUACGGACCUAGUCCGCAUAAUUGCUACUAUCAACUUUCAACUAAAUUUUCUCCAGGAACAUAUCUAAACAGCAGAACUGAAGCGCGAGCCACGACAUAAUUUGCGAAGACCUUUUGACUAUAUUCAGGAUAAUUAAGUUCAUCUUAUGAACUCCCACUUAGAUAGACAUCCCUCUAGUCAUCUAAGUGAUUACAUGAUCCGAGUCAACUAGGCCGUGUCCAAUCAUCACGUGAGACAGACUAGUCAACAUUGGUGAACAUCUUCAUGUUGAUCGUAUCUUCUAUACGACUCAUGUUCGACCUUUCGGUCUUCUGUGUUCCGAGGCCAUGUCUGUACAUGCUAGGCUCGUCAAGUCAACCUAAGUGUUUGCAUGUGUAAAUCUGUCUUACACCCGUUGUAUGUGAACGUUGGAAUCUAUCACACCCAAUCAUCAUGUGGUGCUUCGAAACAACGAACUGUCACAACGGUGCACAGUUAGGGGGAACACUUUCUUGAAAUUAUUAUGAGGGAUCAUCUUAUUUACUACCGUCAUUCUAAGUAAACAAGAUGCAAAAACAUGAUAAACAUCACAUGUAAUCAAAUAAUAGUGACAUGAUAUGGCCAAUAUCAUAUAGCUCCUUUGAUCUCCAUCUUGGGGCUCCAUGAUCAUCUUAUUACCGGCAUGACACCAUGAUCUCCAUCAUCAUGAUCUCCAUCAUCGUGUCUCCAUGAAGUUGCUCGCCAACUAUUACUUCUACUACUAUGGCUAACACGUUUAGCAAUAAAGUAAAGUAAUUUACAUGGCAUUUCUCAAUGACACGCAGGUCAUACAAAAAAAUAAAGACAACUCCUAUGGCUCCUGCCGGUUGUCAUACUCAUCGACAUGCAAGUCGUGAUUCCUAUUACAAGAACAUGAUCUCAUACAUCACAUAUAUAUCAUUCAUCACAUCCUUUGGCCAUAUCACAUAACACUUGCUGCAAAAACAAGUUAGACGUCCUCUAAUUGUUGUUGCAAGUUUUUACGUGGCUGCUAUAGGUUUCUAGCAAGAACGUUUCUUACCUACGCCAAAACCACAACGUGAAUUGCCAAUUUCUAUUUACCCUUCAUAAGGACCCUGUUCAUCGAAUCCGAUCCAACUAAAGUGGGAGAGACAAACACCCGCCAGCCACCUUAUGCAACUAGUGCAUGUCAGUCGGUGGAACCGGUCUCACGUAAGCGUACGUGUAAGGUUGGUCCGGGCCGCUUCAUCCCACGAUGCCGCCAAAUCAAGAUAAGACUAGUAACGGCAAGAUAAUUGACAAUAUCGACGCCCACAACUACUUUCUGUUCUACUCGUGCAUAGUAACUACGCAUAGAACUAGCUCAUGAUGCCACUGUUGGGGAACAUAGCAGAAAUUCAAAAUUUUCUAUGCAUCACCAAGAUAAAUCUAUGGAGUAAUCUAGCAACGAGGGGAAGGAGAAUGCAUCUACAUACCCUUGUAGAUCGCUAAGCGGAAGCGUUCAAGUGAACGGGGUUGAUGGAGUCGUACUCGUCAUGAUCCAAAUCACCGAUGAUCCUAGUGCCGAACGGACGGCACCUCCGUGUUCAACACACGUACAGCCCGGUGACGUCUCCUACGCCUUGAUCCAGCAAGGGGAGAAGGAGAGGUUGGGGAAGACUCCAUCCAGCAGCAGCACGACAGCAUGGUGGUGGUGAAGGAGCGCGGGACUCCAGCAGGGCUUCACCAAGCACUACGAGAGACGAGGAGGGAGAGGGGUAGGGCUGCGCCAACAGGGAGAGCAAAUCACAUGUGUUGGGCAGACCCAAACCUCAAGUAUAUAUAGGGGAAGGGGAGGGGCUGCGCCCCCACCUAGGGUUCCCUCCCUAGGGGUGGCGGCAGCCCCCAGAUCCCAUCUGGGAGGCGGCCAAGGGGGAGAGAGAGGGGGGCGCACCUAGGGUGGGCCUUAGAGCCCAUCUGCGCCUAGGGUUUGCCCCCUCUCCUCUUGAGGACGCCUUGGGCCUUGGUGGGAGGUGCCCCAGCCCACAUAGGGGCUGGUCCCUUCCCACUAUUGGCCCAUGUAGGCCUCCGGGGCUGGUGGCCCCACCUGGUGGACCCCCGGACCCCUCCGGUGGUCCCGGUACACUACCGGUGAUGCCCGGAACACUUCCGGUGGCCAAAACCAUACUUCCUAUAUAUCAAUCUUUACCUCCGGACCAUUCCGGAACUCCUCGUGAUAUCCGGGAUCUCAUCCGGGACUCUGAACAACAUUCGGUAACCGCAUACAUACUUUCCCUAUAACCCUAGCGUCAUCGAACCUUAAGUGUGUAGACCCUACGGGUUCGGGAAACAUGCAGACAUGACCGAGACACCUCUCCGGUCAAUAACCAACAGCGGUAUCUGGAUACCCAUGUUGGCUCCCACAUGCUCCAUGAUGAUCUCAUCGGAUGAACCACGAUGUCAAGGACUUAAUCAAUCCCGUAUACAAUUCCCUUUGUCUAGCGGUACGAUACUUGCCCGAGAUUCGAUCGUCGGUAUCCCGAUACCUUGUUCAAUCUCGUUACCGGCAAGUCUCUUUACUCAUUCCGUAACACAUCAUCCCGUGAUCAACUCCUUGAUCACAUUGUGCACAUUAUGAUGAUGUCCUACCGAGUGGGCCCAGAGAUACCUCUCUGUUUACACGGAGUGACAAAUCCCAGUCUCGAUUCGUGCCAACCCAACAGACACUUUCGGAGAUACCUGUAGUGUACCUUUAUAGCCACCCAGUUAUGUUGUGACGUUUGGCACACCCAAAGCACUCCUACAGUAUCCGGGAGUUGCACAAUCUCAUGGUCUAAGGAAAUGAUACUUGAAAUUAGAAAAGCUUUAUCAUACGAACUACAUGAUCUUGUGCUAGGCUUAGGAUUGGGUCUUGUCCAUCACAUCAUUCUCCUAAUGAUGUGAUCCCGUUAUCAACGACAUCCAAUGUCCAUGGUCAGGAAACCGUAACCAUCUAUUGAUCAACGAGCUAGUCAACUAGAGGCUUACUAGGGACAUGGUGUUGUCUAUGUAUCCACACAUGUAUCUGAGUUUCCUAUCAAUACAAUUCUAGCAUGGAUAAUAAACGAUUAUCAUGAAUAAGGAAAUAUAAUAAUAACCAAUUUAUUAUUGCCUCUAGGGCAUAUUUCCAACAAGUGUCCCAUCUUGGGGGGGCAUCCGCAGACCAGACAAGCUUCCACAACGGUCGGUCACCAUUAGGGUUAGAGCUCGACGCACCCGGACUGAGAUGAUCUGUUAUUGAAGACAUUGCAAAGUGGUAGGCACUCUUGACAGUAAACUGCCCCAAUCUGUCCCAAGGCCACGAUACAAAGUCCUCCUGUUGGCGCGGGGAAGUGCGGAUCAUCAGUAUUGCAUCUACAUCAGCCUAGCAGAAGAACUGUUGUAGCAAGUUUAACUUCCAGUUGCCGCGAUCAUCAAGAAAAUCCUGGACUCUAUUGAGGCGACAAUUGCCUCUUGGCAAGAUAGGAGUAAAUGGGGGACCCCUAGGGAUCCACGGGUCCCUCCACGUUCUGAUGCUAGCCCCAUUGCCCACUCGCUAGAGUAUUCCUUUCUUCACCAAUUCUGGUCCAUGCUCAAUGCCCUUCCACACCGCCGAGGAGUUCGACGGAAAAACUGUAUCCACCAAGUUCCCGUUAGGGUAAUACUUGGCUCGGAGUAGUCGGGCACAUAACGAUUCUGGAUUAGUGAGAAGCCUCCAGGCUUGUUUAGCCAGAAGAGCCUGAUUGUAAGCGCGCAUAUUCCUAAAACCAACGCCUCCUUGAGAUUUAGGGAGAGUCAAACGCUCCCAAGCAACCCAUGCCAUCUUUUUCUUUCCGUUUUCCACCCCCACUAGUAUUGCCUCAUCAUCUUUGUUAACUCAUCACAAACCGACAUGGGAAGUUUGAAUAUACUCAUAACAUAAACUGGGAUGGCUUGGGCCACCGCUUUUAUAAGCACCUCCUUACUUGCAAAAGACGAGUAUCGUUCACUCCAAUUCACCAAGCACUUACUCAAUUUAGACUGCAAAGAUUCAAAACGUCCGUUAUGCAUGCGCCCCUCUGGAACCGGGAGCCCCAAAUACUUUGGUUCAAACUCCUGUUGAGUAACAUUCAGAAUUUGUUUCACUUCCACCACAACUUGAUUUGGACAAUUGUCAGCAAAUAGGAUGGAGCACUUUGAGGGAUUGAUAAUUUGACCCGUAGCUGAAGCAUAAGUACUCAAAACAUCCUUGACAAUCAUCGCCAAAUCCGUAGUAGCACGGAAGAAUAGAAGGGAAUCGUCUGCAAACAAUAAGUGUGAUAUAGCAGGGGCUCUCCUACUAAUUUUGAUAGCCUCAAGUCCUCUAUCUUGGACUGCCUCAUGUAAUAAGGAAGACAAGGAGUCAGCCACAAAGAGGAACAGGAAGGGUGAUAUGGGGUCACCUUGACGUAAACCACACGAAGGAGAGAACUGCUCCAGUAGCCGGCCAUUAAACUUGACAGAAUACUUGACCGAUCUGACACACUCCAUUACUAGAUCAACCCACCGUGGGGAGAAGCCCCACUUCAAAAGAGCACGCUCCAGGUAGUCCCAAUCAACACGGUCAUAAGCCUUCGACAGGUCCAGCUUAUACGCACAAAAAUCAUUAUUUCCUGAAGAAGUUUGGAUAUGGUGGAUACACUCAAAAGCAAUCAUCGAAUUAUCUGAGAUUAAGCGUCCCGGGAUGAACACGCUUUGAUUUUCUGAAAUGAGAUCCACAAGGCACGGUCUGAGCCUAUUCACCAUACAUUUUGAGACUAUCUUGUAAAUCACAUUGCACAGAGAAAUAGGACGGAAAUCCUUCAAUGUCACCGGGUGUUGAACUUUGGGGAUCAGUACAAUACACAUAUCAUUGACCCCUUCUGGCAUAUGGCCUGUGACAAAAAACAGUCGAACCGCGGCUAUGAUUUCCUCUUUCAAGCAACCCCAGUUCCUCUGAUAAAACCGGGACGGGAACCCAUCCGGACCCGGCGCCUUUAAGGGUCCGAUUUGGAACAAAGCAUCAGAUAUUUCAUCAUCAUAAAAAGGCACGAGGAGACGGUCAUUCAUCUCAUUCGUAACCCUCGGCACAAGAACAUCUAGAACAACAUCCGGAGUUACAGUAGGAUCUUUCGUAUAUACCUCCUUGAAGUACGAGGCGGCCAUACGCUCCAUCUCCGAGGGGGAGUUACACCACGAGCCGUCACGUUUCAUUAGCCUCCUUAUGUUAUUCCUCCUAGCACGCCAAACUGCCUGCCGGUGAAAGUAGUUUGUAUUGCAGUCCCCCUCCUUCAACCAAACAAUACGACUCCUUUGCAGCCACAUCAUCUCCUCCCGGUAAAGUAGCUCAUCCAACUUUUCCAUUUUUUGUUUGAUCAAGAGACGGUCCGAAUUGUUUAGCUGUAAGUUUUCCAGUUCCUUCCGAAGAUCCUCAAUUUGUUUCACCACUUGGCCAAAAUUUUCUUUACUCCACUUCCAAAGAUCAGCCAUAACAGACUUCAGGGAUGUAGCCAUGUUCCCCAAGUCGCCCACAGGCCGAGACCGAUCCCAUGCCUUUGAAAUUAUCUCUGGCAGUUUUUUAUCACGUUCCCACAUGAUCUCAUAUUUAGGCAACCCCUUCCGGCGGCGAUCUUCAGUAUCAUCUAGGCAAAGUAUAAUGGGACAAUGGUCCGACCGAGGGGAAACCAGGUGCUGCCCCCUCGAGAACGGAAACAACUCCCUCCAAUCAUCAGACGCACUUGCUCGAUCUAACCGAACUCGAACGUUGCCAUGUCCAAGCUGGCCGUUAUCAUAUGUAUAUGGAGCUCCUGAGAACCCCAAGUCAAUCAAUUCGCACACAAAGAGAGUGUCUCUAAAUGCCUCCAUCUGGCUCUCUCCUCUACUGGUUCUCGAGAAGUGUUCAUGUUGCCAAAGAGCUUCAUUAAAAUCACCACAAACAACCCAAGGUAGGUCUGAGACCCCUUUCAAUCUGACUAGGUGAUCCCACAUGCGCUGCCGAUGUUCCACACGUGGUUCCCCAUAGACAAAGGUGGACCUCCAAGUUUUCCCGGAACCUUGAUCCUCAACAUUCACAUCGAUGUAUCUUUUACAGGAAUCCAGCACUGUCACCCAGAGGGAUUCAUCCCAAAACAGCUCUAGUCCACCGCCUCGGCCCUCACAAUCCACCCCGCAGAAUCCUUUGAGACCUAAUUUCCACUUCAUUCUUUCAACUUUAACACUUGUCUGUCUUGUUUCAGCGAGAAAGACCAAGCUUGGGGAAUGGGCUUUUACAAGAGCCCCAACUUCACGAACUGUCCGGCGGUUCCCCGCCCCCGGCAGUUCCAAAAGAGGUGACUCAUUGGGACUGGCGGCGCUCCUCCUGGGAGCCCGCCAAAAUUUUCUCUGAGUUUGAGGUCUCACCAUCUCGUUUUGCAUGUUUACUACCGGAACUAUUAGUAGGCGAUUCCGGUUCACCAUCAUCUUUCCCGUCUGUAAGCAACAGUACUUCCCUGUGCGCAGCAGAGGGUGUAGUUGUCCCAAGUGUUUCUGUACCUCCAUCCAUGUUGAGGCGCUUACGAGAAGACCUAUCCAAUUCCAUAUCACGAGACAGGGAAGUUUUUAUAGGGCUAGAUGCCGUAUCCUUCAGCUCUCCAUCCAUCCUGACUUCUCCCUUGCCUACAGCAGACUUAGGAACCGGUGGUUCAGUGUACAUCUUCUUCUCUCCCCUCCUUGCUUCCCAGUCCGAGCGAGCUUGUGCCGGGGGGUCAGCAUAGAGGUAAUCACCAAACUUGAGAUCCUUCUCAGCAAACACACCAUUACCACACUCCUUAUGCCCAUGGCCAAUGAUACCACACGCGCUACAGAAUCUUGCCAGCUUUUCAUAUCUUACUGCAUAAACCUUACGUGCUUCUCCCUUGACAAUGCUCACAAAUUUGGUGAGCGGCUUCCUGAUGUCAUGUUUCACUCUGACCCGAACGUAAUCCCCUCUGGAGUUACCAUUAAGCCUGGUUUCAAGGACCUCACCCGCAGAACGGAGCAACUUGGUAAUCAGAUCAUGUCUGCAAUACCCAUCUGGUAGCUUAUGGAUCUGGAGCCAGAUAGGCAUGUAAUCUAUUGGCACCUCUUCAGUGUUUGUGAACCCAUCAUAUGGCACUAACAGAACCGCCAUGUUGCGGAACAGCCACGGUCCUUGUCCCAUGAUGCGAUCCCAAUCACCAAGACAAUAAACUUGAACCACAAACAGAUUAGGGCCAAUUGGCCGGAAGCGAACCAACUGGGAACAAUUCCACGCCGCCCGCAUGUCUUUGUAGAAGGCCGAUUGGCUGAAAUUUUUCAUGGUCUGAACCCUAGCUAGGGCAACCCAACGAAUCUCCUCCAGCAGCUCUGGAGCUUCCUCUUCAACUACAACGUCAUCAAACUCCUCCUCAUGGAGAUCCAACUUGUCGAAGAAGUCACCGAGAUCAUCAUCUCUCCCUUGGGACCCGAGGUUCGUUGAAAACGCAUCUGAUGUCGCCGCCAUGGUGCCUCUUAGUAUAUAGUUAUUGUCUAAAUUUUGAGGACAUGUUUUGAUCGAUGAAUAUACGAUUUUAACCAAAAGUCACUUCACUACCAUGUGCCCGAAAAACAAACUUGAAGAAGAAGCUCCGCCAUCUGUGCGAGCGCUCCACUUGUGAGGACUAAAAAAUCGGAACUACACUACUAACCGGAGCAGAGGCACUGGGAUUCCCCUUCCCGCCACCAACCACCAGCAACAGGCCGAGGAGAGGUGAAUCCACGGACUCGUUGAUGAAAUCUGGAGGGAAGAGUUUACCGUAGCCCUCUAGGAUUAAGAAAGGAAACCAAGAGAACUAACAUUGUGCUUAUUUUGGCAAGUGGUGUUGUGGCGAAUGGUCGAUGGACUCCCUACCAUAGUUUUGGAUAACCUGCGUGCCCUGCCUUUUGGUGUGUGGAUUCCCGUGGCCUCCCCUGCCUCGUCCACCAACACAUUUCGGCACUCCAAGUCCGAGCGAGUGAGCAGAGCAGAGCACCCACCGUUUGGAUCCCAAAACCGUGCGUGGCCGACACCUUUUUGCUCGCUAUAAAUACAUGGCUAGCUCCUCGUCCCGGAAGCAUCAAGCAACAGCCAGCCAGCCAGCCCAUCUCAUCUCAUCUCGCUCCAUCGCACUCUUUCUACUGAGCUGUAUCUGUCGAAGAAGAUCACGGCGAAGAUUGUUGGAUCCAGACCCUGAAACACAACUCGAUCAGGUGGAAAAUUGGUGGAAAUCCCUCUCUGUAAUCUCCAGCAGAGUCCCUGACGAACAAGUUCAGAGAACAGAAGAAAACAGAAAACGGGAGACAGUAGUUUGCGACGCCUCAACCUCGCGUCCUUUUCGCUUCUAUCCUUUUAUUCCUUAGUAACAAACUGGAAGCCCACGAUCCGUUAUACCCGCGCCAUCCCACGGCCAGUUUGUGGUCAUCACUCUACCGAUUACAGAGGAGAAGAUAACUGAAUAAAACUAACACCUGAAGCUAUUAAGCCGCAGCACGAACAGAGCGCACUUCUGGCUAUUAUUCAGCAUAUUCAGAAAACUGAAAAAACAUCUACGUGACUACUUCCAGUACACCGAGAUUACUUCUAACAUUUUACCCCCUUAAACUUGGUGCACUGGCUUCAAAUCCUGCAUGCCAAUGUUCUUCUUCAUUUCCUGAAAGAGAGACUUUGGGAGAGGUUUAGUCAGGAUGUCUGCAUGCUGUUCUUCAGACCACAGAAAAUACACAAAAAAUGGACAAAAGAAGAAAGGGCCACGUCCCCAAACGACGACAUAAAUGGACCCAUGUGAAAAGAAACACGAGAACAAACUGACACAAAAUAAAACGGGACAAUAGGGCGCGGGAGAAAAAAUAACGAGCUGACACAGGUGAGACAUCACUACAUCUCAUCUAAAUGAUAUUUAGCAAAUCCGCAAGAAAAGAAAAUCUAGUUACACUAUCCUCUGGCUACACACAGCCAAUCAAAAUAAACAAAAAAUAAGGAAUAAAAAGACAUGUGGCCUUCCAUAAAAUGUUGCAACCCAAAAAAUUUACCCAAUACAUAAAAAUUAGAAAUGCCCCACUAAAAAAAGCCAUAUUGGGCCUCACUGCUUCACAGGAGACAGACAAAUAACAGGACACAAUGACAGCGAGCACCACGACUCAGAAGCACAUAUAGCUAACAACAUAUGAGUUAUACGAGACAUUGUUAACUCUCCUCAAGAUGAGACCUAGCAAAAGCAAUCCGAAACGAAAACACCCAGAUCGCGCAUUGCAAACGCCCGAACAAAAGACGCUCAUCGCGAUAGAGUACACAUGCGACAAAACAACCCAUGAUUAAAAUUUGCACGACAUUUAAAGCAAACAGAUGACGUAGUGAAAAGGUUCAAGAAUUUAAAAUAACUAAAUAAAGUAAAUAAUAAAUAAAUGAGAAAACAGAAAAUAUAAAUAAAAGAACAGAAAUCAGGAAUUUAAAAUAGUUCAUAAUUUGAAACAAAUGAUGAAAUAAUAAAGAGACAAAAUAAAAGGAACGAAGCUGCAACAUAUAGAAACACGAAAAGACAACAGCCCAUGAGAAGACGUGAGAAGAAAAACAGCCCAUACGAGCCUGGCGUACGUUUUUUUUAACACAGUAUAGACGCAAGUGCUCAUAUAAACGCGCAUACACUCAUCCCUAUGAACGCACACACGCACACCCUACCCCUAUGAGUACCUCCGAGAGACUGAGCCGGCAUAUCAUCUUGAGAUUUUACGAAGUCACCGUAGGCGCCUCGAAGUCGACGGAAACGUCUCCUCCCACUGAAAGCGUAUCGCCGGAAUUCCUGAAAUAAAUCCAGGAUAAAUGCGAGCAUCAGGAUUUGAACCCUGGUGGGUUGAGGAUACCACUGUCUACCUAAUCAUUUUAACCAGAGGUUGGUUCGCCUGGCGUAGGUAUUUUUGACCACCGAGGGACAUACCGUGAAGCGAAGGACAAGAACGAGCGGGAGCUGCCCAGGUAGAUUUUUUUUUACGGGAGCUGAACACGAAUCGUGAUGCUUUUCAUCGAACGGCUUAAAAGUUGGAUGUGAGACAAUAAUUCACAUUUAGAUGUGAAAUAGCAAAUCUGGUAAUUAAAAUAUAUUUUUGACCAACCAAACCACGCGGAACAUAUCCGGACAGUUGGGAUAUAUUUUGCUGCACGAAGUGGCCGUAGACUAGGCUGGCAAACGAGUAAUAAGUUCAUCAAGCCCGCAAAAAAAAGGCUGUGCAUCGAACUAUGUCAAAAACAAAGUUUACCAUCAAACCGACAAGUGGGCCCCAGACCAGCAAAUCCAUGGAGAAAUGCCCUACGCUUUGUGUAUAGAAUCAGACGGAGAAGGGCUAGUCCAGCGGGGACACAGUGAUGCCGCCGGUUUCACCCGCAAACUGGGAGGGCCGCUCAAAAUCUAGGGGUUGUUUGGUUGGAGACUCAAAUUGCCACACCUAAGGUUAGUCACUAGCCACAAGUGUGGCUUGCCAUAAUGUGUGGCAAAAUCAGAUUGUUUGGUUGGUAGCCAUGCCUUAGGUUAGGUGUGGCAGACAUUGGUGGAAAAAGGGCCUUUGGUCGCGGUUCGCAACUGCCAUUAGUCGCGGUUGCGCAACCGCGACCAAAUAGGCGCGAUUAAAGGCCCCCCCCCCUUUAGUCGCGGUUGCUUAAGAACCGCGACUAAAGGCCCGUCCACGUGGGCGCCAGGCGGCCGUCGGGGCGGAGGACCUUUAGUCGCGGUUCUUCCGGCCAACCGCGACUAAAAGCCGCCGCAGGUUUAGNNNNNNNNNNNNNNNNNNNNNNNNNNNNNNNNNNNNNNNNNNNNNNNNNNNNNNNNNNNNNNNNNNNNNNNNNNNNNNNNNNNNNNNNNNNNNNNNNNNNNNNNNNNNNNNNNNNNNNNNNNNNNNNNNNNNNNNNNNNNNNNNNNNNNNNNNNNNNNNNNNNNNNNNNNNNNNNNNNNNNNNNNNNNNNNNNNNNNNNNNNNNNNNNNNNNNNNNNNNNNNNNNNNNNNNNNNNNNNNNNNNNNNNNNNNNNNNNNNNNNNNNNNNNNNNNNNNNNNNNNNNNNUGUUUUCUGUUUAAUUUGUAUUGUUUUAUUUCUUUUGUGCUUUAUUUUAAUUUUGAAGGAGUUUCACAUAUUCUACGGUACUACAUACAUGCAUAUGAAUGUACAAUUUCAAACAAAUUUGAAAUUAGAACCAAAAAGAAUUCAAGAGGAAUAUACAAUAUAUAUUCAAUAUCAUCGGAUGACCAUAUACAAUUUUGAACAAGUUUCCAUACAUAAUUUAAUGCAUAUAAAGUUCUACGUCCUCGUAAUGGUGUUCUCCUUUAGGAUGGAGGACUUCCCUCCUGAACCAUCCAGCUAGUUCCUCUUGAAGUGGUCGGAAGCGAGCUUCUGGACUAAGCAUCAUCCGGAGGUUAUUCCUCUGAGCAUUGGUAUCACUCGGAACCCGCCGCUCAGAGGUGUAUCUCCGGAUCAUCUCACAGACAUAGUAUUCACAUAGAUUGGUCCCCGCUGGCUGAAUAUCCCCACCAUUCUUAGCCUUUGACCUUUUAAAUUCUAGCUCUUUUUUGAAUUCACCGACCUUUGUAUCUACGAACCGUCUCCAAACCCUACGAGGCAAAGAAAAUUAAAUGAACAAGAGAGUUAUUAGUUACUUGAUAUUAGGAAAUGAACGAAAUAGGCCGAUCGAUAUAGAGCGCAAAUGAAUGAAAAUAAUUACUUCUGCAGCAUUCUUCUCAUGCCGCCCCAAAGCUUUGGAUCCAUAUUCAGAGAGUCGUGGACGAGACAUUCUGAGGUGUCAACUUUAAUUACUAGCAGAAUCCAGUGGAACCUGCGGACACGAUACAUGCACAGUACGUCAUGCAUAACUCAUCGAUUAGCCGGCCACAUACCAUGCAUGGAGUAAACAAAAGAGAAUGUGCUCAAGACAGAUCUGCCUCCAUGUCGGCGGGGUGAUGAUCCAACACAUAUCCAUUAACGAUGUGUGGGUCAAUGAACCCAACAUCAUGGAUGUUCCUUACUCUGCAUUCCUUAAUCUUCAUUCUGCAUGUAUAAUAGCGGACACAACAAUAUAGUUAGGACAUAUAUAUAGUGCAGGCAAUAUGAACGAGAUGGGGUAGAAAUAAAUCACUUACAGAACGUAGCAACUGAUGAUAGAUUUGUCGAGCUCGCGCAGAUUGAAAAGCUGGAACAAUUCACUCAGAUGAAUUUGUACAUAGUAAUGUUUGAAGUGAUGCUCAUAUCUAACUUCCGCAUAAAUAUAUUCUUUGGCAUUUUUAUUUUUUAUGUAACCCUUGUACCAUUUCAGCAGACCUUUCAUUUGUGGAGGUAGAUCCUCUUCCUGCGCAGGCUCGACGAGAGGCCCAUUCUUCACAUAUGUAAUUACUACCUCCUUCACUGGCGCCUCAUCAAGGCCUAACAGUUCACGAAGAGUAAUACCUAAGUUGGCCGCUUGUUCUCUGGCACUCGUUACAGUCAAUCCAUGUGCUGUCGCAGCUGCUAUGAUAUCGGGGUCAUCCGGACCGGCGGCUUUCACUAUAAGCAGGGCAAUCGAUUGUUUACUUUGUUCCCCGAGCUGGGCAACUCGUUGUUGGAAAUAUGCCCUAGAGGCAAUAAUAAAUUGAUUAUUAUUAUAUUUCCUUGUUCAUGAUAAUCGUUUAUUAUCCAUGCUAGAAUUGUAUUGAUAGGAAACUCAGAUACAUGUGUGGAUACAUAGACAACACCAUGUCCCUAGUAAGCCUCUAGUUGACUAGCUCGUUAAUCAAUAGAUGGUUACGGUUUCCUGACCAUGGACAUUGGAUGUCGUUGUUAACGGGAUCACAUCAUUAGGAGAAUGAUGUGAUGGACAAAGACCCAAUCCUAAGCCUAGCACAAGAUCAUGUAGUUCGUAUGCUAAAGCUUUUCUAAUGUCAAGUAUCAUUUCCUUAGACCAUGAGAUUGUGCAACUCCCGGAUGCCGUAGGAGUGCUUUGGGUGUGCCAAACGUCACAACGUAACUGGGUGGCUAUAAAGGUACACUACGGGUAUCUCUGAAAGUGUCUGUUGGGUUGGCACGAAUCGAGAUUGGGAUUUUGUCACUCCGUGUAAACGGAGAGGUAUCUCUGGGCCCACUCGGUAGGACAUCAUCAUAAUGUGCACAAUGUGACCAAGGGGUUGAUCACGGGAUGAUGUGUUACGUAACGAGUAAAGAGACUUGCCGGUAACGAGAUUGAACAAGGUAUCGGUAUACCGACGAUCGAAUCUCGGGCAAGUACCAUACCGCUAGACAAAGGGAAUUGUAUACGGGAUCGAUUGAGUCCUUGACAUCGUGGUUCAUCCGAUGAGAUCAUCGUGGAACAUGUGGGAGCCAACAUGGGUAUCCAGAUCCCGCUGUUGGUUAUUGACCGGAGAACAUCUCGGUCAUGUCUGCAUGUCUCCCGAACCCGUAGGGUCUACACACUUAAGGUUCGAUGACGCUAGGGUUAUAAAGGAAGCUUGUAUGUGGUUACCGAAUGUUGUUCGGAGUCCCGGAUGAGAUCCCGGACGUCACGAGGAGUUCCGGAAUGGUCCGGAGGUAAAGAUUUAUAUAUAGGAAGUCCUGUUUCGGCCAUCGGGACAAGUUUCGGGGUCAUCGGUAUUGUACCGGGACCACCGGAAGGGUCCCGGGGGCCCACCGGGUGGGGCCACCUGCCCCGGGGGGCCACAUGGGCUGUAGGGGGUGCGCCUAGAGGCCCAUGCGCCAAGAUAUAGGAAAAAGGGGAGAGUCCUAAAGGGGGAAGGCACCUCCGAGGUGCCUUGGGGAGGAUGGACUCCUCCCCCCCUCUUGGCCGCACCCCUUUCUUGGAGUAGGGGGCAAGGCUGCGCCUUUCCCCUCUCCCCUGCCCCUAUAUAUAGUGGAGGGGAGGGAGGGCAUCCAUACCUGAGCCCUUGGCGCCUCCCUCCCUCCCGUAACACCUCCUCCUCUCCCGUAGGUGCUUGGCGAAGCCCUGCAGGAUUGCCACGCUCCUCCAUCACCACCACGCCGUUGUGCUGCUGCUGGAUGGAGUCUUCCUCAACCUCUCCCUCUCUCCUUGCUGGAUCAAGGCAUGGGAGACAUCGUCGAGCUGUACGUGUGUUGAACGCGGAGGUGCCGUCCGUUCGGCACUAGGAUCAUCGGUGAUCUGAAUCACGACGAGUACGACUCCAUCAACCUCGUUCACUUGAACGCUUCCGCUUAGCGAUCUACAAGGGUAUGUAGAUGCACUCUCCUUUCCCCUCGUUGCUAGUUUCUCCAUAGAUAGAUCUUGGUGAUACGUAGGAAAAUUUUGAAUUUCUGCUACGUUCCCCAACAGUGGCAUCAUGAGCUAGGUCUAUUGCGUAGAUUCUUUGCACGAGUAGAAUACAAAGUAGUUGUGGGCGUCGAUAUUGUUCAAUAUGCUUGCCGUUACUAGUCUUAUCUUGAUUCGGCGGCAUCGUGGGAUGAAGCGGCCCGGACCAACCUUACACGUACGCUUACGUGAGACCGGUUCCACCGACAAACAUGCACUAGUUGCAUAAGGUGGCUGGCGGGUGUCUGUCUCUCCCACUUUAGUCGGAUCGGAUUCGAUGAAAAGGGUCCUUAUGAAGGGUAAAUAGCAAUUGGCAUAUCACGUUGUGGUUCAUGCGUAGGUAAGAAACGUUCUUGCUAGAAACCCAUAGCAGCCACGUAAAACAUGCAAACAACAAUUAGAGGACGUCUAACUUGUUUUUGCAGGGUAUGCUAUGUGAUGUGAUAUGGCCAAAAAGGAUGUGAUGAAUGAUAUAUGUGAUGUAUGAGAUUGAUCAUGUUCUUGUAAUAGGAAUCACGACUUGCAUGUCAAUGAGUAUGACAACCGGCAGGAGCCAUAGGAGUUGUCUUUAUUUAUUUGUGACCUGCGUGUCAACUUAAACGUCAUGUAAUUACUUUACUUUAUUGCUAACCGUUAGCCAUAGUAGUAGAAGUAAUAGUUGGCGAGGCAACUUCAUGAAGACACGAUGAUGGAGAUCAUGAUGAUGGAGAUCAUGGUGUCAUGCCGGUGACGAUGAUGAUCAUGGAGCCCCGAAGAUGGAGAUCAAAAGGAGCAAAGUGAUGAUGGCCAUAUCAUGUCACUAUUUGAUUGCAUGUGAUGUUUAUCAUGUUUAUACAUCUUACUUGCUUAGAACGACGGUAGUAAAUAAGAUGAUCCCUUACAACAAUUUCAAGAAGUGUUCUCCCCUAACUGUGCACCGUUGCGACAGUUCGCUGUUUCAAAACAUCACGUGAUGAUCGGGUGUUUUAUUCAGACGUUCAAAUACAACGGGUGUUGACGAGCCUAGCAUGUACAGACAUGGCCUCGGAACACAUGCAAAACACUUAGGGUUAACUUGACGAGCCUAGCAUGUACAGACAUGGCCUCGGAACACGGAGACCGAAAGGUCGAACAUGAGUCGUAUAGAAGAUACGAUCAACAUGAAGAUGUUCACCGAUGAUGACUAGUCCGUCUCAUGUGAUGAUCGGACACGGCCUAGUUUGACUCGGAUCAUGUAAUCACUUAGAUGACUAGAGGGAUGUCUAUCUGAGUGGGAGUUCAUAAGAUGAACUUAAUUAUCCUGAACAUAGUCAAAAGGUUUUUGCAAAUUAUGUCGUAGCUCACGCUAUAGUUCUACUGUUUAGAUAUGUUCCUAGAGAAAAAUUAGUUGAAAGUUGAUAGUAGCAAUUAUGCGGACUAGGUCCGUAAACUGAGGAUUGUCCUCAUUGCUUCAUAGAAAGCUUAUGUCCUUAAUGCACCGCUCAGUGUGCUGAACCCCAAACGUCGUUUGUACAUGUUUUGAUAACUACGUGAUAGUUCAGUGAAACGGUUUAGAGUUGAGGCACCAAAGACAUUUUUCGAAAUGUCGCGGAACAUACGAGAUGUUUCGAGGGCUGAAAUUGGGAUUUCAGGCUCGUGCCCACGUCAAGAGGUAUGAGACCUCCGACGAUUUUCUUAACCUGCAAACUAAGGAGAAAAGCUCAAUUGUUGAGCUUGUGCUCAGAUUGUCUGAGUACAACAAUCAUUUGAAUCGAGUGGGAGUUGAUCUUCCAGAUAAGACAGUGAUGGUUCUCCAAAGUCAUUGCCACCAAGUUGUUAGAGCUUCGUGAUGAACUAUAACAUAUCAGGGAUAGAUAUGAUGAUCCUUGAGGUAUUCGCGAUGUUUGACACCGCGAAAGUAGAAAUCAAGAAGGAGCAUCAAUUGUUGAUGGUUGGUGAAACCACUAGUUUCAAGAAGGGCAAGGGCAAGAAGGGAUACUUCAUGAAACGGCAAAUCAGCUGCUGCUCUAGUGAAGAAACCCAAGGUAAAACCCAAACCCGAGACUAAGUGCUUCUGUAAUAAGGGGAACAACCACUAGAGCAGAAUUACCCUAGAUACUUGGUAGAUAAGAAGGCUGGCAAGGUCGAUAGAAGUAUAUUGGAUAUACAUUGUGUUAAUGUGUACUUUGCUAGUACUCCUAGUAGCACCAGGGUAUUAGAUACCGGUUCGGUUGCUAAGUGUUAGUAACUCGAAACAAAAGGCUACAGAAUAAACGGAGACUAGCUAAAGGUGAGCUGACGAUAUGUGUUGGAAGUUUUUCCAAGCUUGAUAUGAUCAAGCAUCGCACGCUCCCUCUACCAAAGAGAUUGGUGUUAAACCUAAAUAAUUGUUAUUUGGUGUUUGCGUUGAGCAUAGACAUGAUUGGAUUACGUCUAUCGCAAUACGGUUAUUCAUUUAAGGAGAAUAAUGGUUACUCUAUUUAUUUGAAUAAUACCUUCAAUGGUCUUACACCUAAAAUGAAUGGUUUAUUAAAUCUCGAUCGUAGUGAUACACAUGUUCAUGCCAAAAGAUAGUAAUGAUAGUACCACCUACUUGUGGCACUGCCACGUAAGUCAUAUCAGUAUAAAACGCAUGAAGAAGCUCCAUGUUGAUGGAUCUUUGGACUCACUCGUUUUUGAAAAGUUUGAGACAUGCGAACCAUGUCUAUUGGUGUAUAUGCAUGAAGAAACUCCAUGCAAAUGGAUCAUUCGGACUCACUUGAUUUUGGAUCACUUGAGAUAUGCAAAUCAUACCACAUAGGCAAGAUGACUGAAAAGCCUCGGUUUCAGUAAAAUGGAACAAGAUAGCAACUUGUUGGAAGCAACACAUUUUGAUGUGUGCAGUCCAAUGAGUGCUGAGGCAUGCAGUGAAUAUCGUUAUGUUCUUACUUCACAGAUGAUUCGAGUAGAUGUUGAGUAUAUUUACUUGAUGAAUCACGAGUCUGAAUUAUUGAAAGGUUCAAGUAAUUUCAGUGUGAAGUUGAAAGAUCAUCGUGACAAGAGGAUAAAAGAUCUAUGAGAUGAUCAUAGAGAUGAAUAUCUGAAUUAUGAGUUUUGGCACACAAUUAAGACAUUGUGGAAAUUGUUUCACAAUUAAUACCGCCUGGAACACCAUAGUGUGAUGGUGUGUCCAAACGUCAUAGUUGCACCCUAUUGGAUAUGGUGCAUACCAUGAUGUCUCUUGUCGAGUUACCACUAUCGUUCAUGGGUUAGGCAUUAGAGACAACCACAUUCACUUUAAAUAGGGCACCACAUAAUUCCGUUGAGACGACGCCGUUUGGAGAAACCUAAGUUGUCGUUUCUUAAAGGUUUGGGGCUGUGACGCUUAUGUGAAAAAGUUUCAGGAUUGAUAAGCUCGAACCCAAAGCGGAUAAAAUACAUCUUCAUAGGACACCCAAAACAGUUGGGUAUACCUCCUAAUUCAGAUCCGAAAGCAAUAUGAAUUGUUUCUAGAAUCGGGUCCUUUCUCGAGGAAAGGUUCUCUCGAAAGAGUUGAGUGGGUGGAUGGUGGAGACUUGAUGAGGUUAUUGAACCAUCACUUCAACCAGUGUGUAGCAGGGCACAGGAAGUUGUUCCCGUGGCACCUACACCAAUUGAAGUGGAAGCUUAUGAUAUUGAUCAUGAAGUUUCGGAUCAAAUCACUGCCGUACCUCGUAGGGUGACAAGGAUACGUACUACUUCAGAGUGGUACGGUAAUCCUGUCUUGGAAGUCAUGUUGCUAGACAACAAUGAACCUACGAGCUAUGGAGAAGCGAUGGUGGGCCCGGAUUCCGAUAAAUGGCUCAAGGCCAUAAAACCCGAGAGAGGAUCCAUGUAUGAAAACAAAGUGUAGACUUUGGAAGAACUACUUGAUGGUCGUAAGGCUGUUAGGUACAUAUGGAUUUUGAAAGGAAGACAGACAAUGAUGGUAAGUGUCACCAUUGAGAAAGCUCGACUUGUCGUUAAGAUGUUUUUCGACAAGUUCAAGGAGUUGAUUGCGAUGAGACUUUCUCACUCGUAGCGAUGCUAAGAGUCUGUUGGAAUUAUAUUAGCAAUUACUGCAUUAUUUAUGAAAUCUUGCAGAUAGGAUGUCAAAAUAUUGUUUCCUCGACGAUUCUUGAGGAAAGGUUGUAUGUGAUACAACCGGAAGGUUUUGUCUAUCCUGAAAUAUGCUAAUAAGUAUGCAAAGCUCCAGCAAUCCUUCUAAGGACUGGAGUGAGCAUCUCGGAGUUGGAAUGUAUGCUUUGAUGAUGAUCAAAGAUUUUGGGUGUAUACAAAGUUUAUGAGAAACUUGUAUUUCCAAAGAAGUGAGUGGGAGCACUAUAGAAUUUCUGAUGAGUAUAUGUUGUUGACAUAUUAAUGAUCAGAAAUGACGUAGAAUUUCUGGAAAGCAUAUAGGGUUAUUUGGAAAGUGUUUUCAAUGGAAAACCUGGAUUAAGCUACUUGAACAUUGAGCAUCAAGAUCUAUAAGGAUAGAUCAAAACGCUUAAUAGUACUUUCAAAUGAGCACAUGCCUUGACGUGAUCUUGAAGGUGUUCAAGAUGGAUAAGUCAAAGAAGGAGUUCUUGCCUGAGUUGUAAGGUAUGAAGUUAAGACUUAAAGCUCGACCAUGGCAGAAUAGAGAGAAAGGAACGAAGGUCGUCCCCUAUGCUUAAGACAUAGGCUCUACAGUAUGAUAUGCUGUGUACCGCACCUGAAGUGUGCUUUACCAUGAGUCAGUCAAGGGGUACAAGAGUGAUCCAAGAAUGGAUCACGGGACAGCGGUCAAAGUUAUCCUUAGUAACUAGUGGACUAAGGAAUUUUCUCGAUUAUGGAGGUGGUAAAGGGGUUCGUCGUAAACGGUUACGUCGAUGCAAGCUUAACACCUAUCCGGAUAGCUCUGAGUAGAGAUACCGGAUACGUAUAAUGGAGCAACAAUUUAGAAUAUCUCCAAGUAGAACAGUUAUUUGGAAUAGCUCUAAAUAGAACGUGGUAGCUGCAUCUAGGAGAUGACAUAGAGAUUUGUAAAGCACACACGGAUCUGAAAGGUUCAGACCCGUUGACUAUAACCUCUCUCACAAGCAUAACAUGAUCAAACCCAGAACUCAUCGAGUGUUAAUCACAUGGUAAAUGUGAACUAGAUUAUUGACUCUAGUAAAUUCUUUGGGUGUUAGUCACAUAGGGAUGUGACCUUGAGUGUUAAUCACAUAUCGAUGUGAACUAGAUUAUUGACUCUAGUGCAAGUGGGAGACUGUUGGAAAUAUGCCCUAGAGGCAAUAAUAAAUUGAUUAUUAUUAUAUUUCCUUGUUCAUGAUAAUCGUUUAUUAUCCAUGCUAGAAUUGUAUUGAUAGGAAACUCAGAUACAUGUGUGGAUACAUAGACAACACCAUGUCCCUAGUAAGCCUCUAGUUGACUAGCUCGUUAAUCAAUAGAUGGUUACGGUUUCCUGACCAUGGACAUUGGAUGUCGUUGUUAACGGGAUCACAUCAUUAGGAGAAUGAUGUGAUGGACAAAGACCCAAUCCUAAGCCUAGCACAAGAUCAUGUAGUUCGUAUGCUAAAGCUUUUCUAAUGUCAAGUAUCAUUUCCUUAGACCAUGAGAUUGUGCAACUCCCGGAUGCCGUAGGAGUGCUUUGGGUGUGCCAAACGUCACAACGUAACUGGGUGGCUAUAAAGGUACACUACGGGUAUCUCUGAAAGUGUCUGUUGGGUUGGCACGAAUCGAGAUUGGGAUUUUGUCACUCCGUGUAAACGGAGAGGUAUCUCUGGGCCCACUCGGUAGGACAUCAUCAUAAUGUGCACAAUGUGACCAAGGGGUUGAUCACGGGAUGAUGUGUUACGUAACGAGUAAAGAGACUUGCCGGUAACGAGAUUGAACAAGGUAUCGGUAUACCGACGAUCGAAUCUCGGGCAAGUACCAUACCGCUAGACAAAGGGAAUUGUAUACGGGAUCGAUUGAGUCCUUGACAUCGUGGUUCAUCCGAUGAGAUCAUCGUGGAACAUGUGGGAGCCAACAUGGGUAUCCAGAUCCCGCUGUUGGUUAUUGACCGGAGAACAUCUCGGUCAUGUCUGCAUGUCUCCCGAACCCGUAGGGUCUACACACUUAAGGUUCGAUGACGCUAGGGUUAUAAAGGAAGCUUGUAUGUGGUUACCGAAUGUUGUUAGGAGUCCCGGAUGAGAUCCCGGACGUCACGAGGAGUUCCGGAAUGGUCCGGAGGUAAAGAUUUAUAUAUAGGAAGUCCUGUUUCGGCCAUCGGGACAAGUUUCGGGGUCAUCGGUAUUGUACCGGGACCACCGGAAGGGUCCCGGGGGCCCACCGGGUGGGGCCACCUGCCCCGGGGGGCCACAUGGGCUGUAGGUGGUGCGCCUUGGCCUACAUGGGCCAAGGGCACCAGCCCCUAGAGGCCCAUGCGCCAAGAUAUAGGAAAAAGGGGAGAGUCCUAAAGGGGGAAGGCACCUCCGAGGUGCCUUGGGGAGGAUGGACUCCUCCCCCCCUCUUGGCCGCACCCCUUUCUUGGAGUAGGGGGCAAGGCUGCGCCUUUCCCCUCUCCCCUGCCCCUAUAUAUAGUGGAGGGGAGGGAGGGCAUCCAUACCUGAGCCCUUGGCGCCUCCCUCCCUCCCGUAACACCUCCUCCUCUCCCGUAGGUGCUUGGCGAAGCCCUGCAGGAUUGCCACGCUCCUCCAUCACCACCACGCCGUUGUGCUACUGCUGGAUGGAGUCUUCCUCAACCUCUCCCUCUCUCCUUGCUGGAUCAAGGCGUGGGAGACAUCGUCGAGCUGUACGUGUGUUGAACGCGGAGGUGCCGUCCGUUCGGCACUAGGAUCAUCGGUGAUCUGAAUCACGACGAGUACGACUCCAUCAACCUCGUUCACUUGAACGCUUCCGCUUAGCGAUCUACAAGGGUAUGUAGAUGCACUCUCCUUUCCCCUCGUUGCUAGUUUCUCCAUAGAUAGAUAUUGGUGAUACGUAGGAAAAUUUUGAAUUUCUGCUACGUCCCCCAACACUCGUUUCCCGCUUUUUUUACUUUCUAAUUCCGUUUUCUCGGCCUCCUCCAAGGCUUUGUUCUCCUGGUUCUCCGCCCGCUCUUUCUUCUCCUUCAACAUGAGUGCCUGCCUACGAAGUUCACGUGCAUAGUCGUCAGGCAGAUUCUUCGCGGCUUGGGACGGUGUGCUCAAAAAUGACUUAGCCCACUUCUUUUGAUCAUCAGAAAAUACUGGCUUGGGCUCGGGCUCUCUUUUCUUCUUGCAGUCCGCCUUCCAUUUCUCAUGAUCAGCAGCCGCGGCCGCGGCAGUUUCCUCGGCACUACGUUCCCAAGGCCUUGUGGGGAGAGGCUUCAGUGAUGGCUCCGGUACCUUUGUGGUCUUAGGUACAUAAGGGUCCGGGUUAAUAAUCCAGGACUGCUUCUGCUUCUUUGCCGGAGGUGGAUUGGGGGGCGGCGUCUGAUCACCCGCCGGACGAGGACUGGGGGGCGGCGUCUGAUCACCCGCCUGACGUUGUGGACUGGGGGGCGUCAGCUGGCGUGACGGAGGUGUAGGUGAACCGCCACCACCACCACCACCACCACCACCGCCACCGCCACCACCACCACCGUAGGGGGGUGGACUUGUUGUCCUUGGCGCCUCGCCUGGAAACUUGAUAAACUUCUUUUGCCAUAGAAUGAAAUGGCGCUUGACAUCUCCAAGUCUUUUCUCCCCUUCAGGUGUAGCAAUGUCAAUCUUCAGGUCCUCAAACCCUUGGACUAUGUCCUCCACCGUGACACGAGCAUAGCCAUCUUGAAUGGGGUUGUUGUGGUGGAGUGCUCCAGGUAACACAUGGUAAAGCACUGCCGAUGGCUACCUUCAUGGACAUGUUCCCGAUAGGAUAAUACAAAUGACAUUCUUUCAUCUCCUUUAUAUCGUCCACGGGGUAGCGAGGAGGCUCCGGUGCAGUAAUUUCGACCACCAGAGGCUUCGGUGCAGUAAUUUCGAUCGUCGGUGCAUCUGCACCAGCCGGUGGGGCCUUCGUGGAAGCCACGCUGCUUCUCCGUUGCUGGCUUCCGAGAUCCGCUGGAUGAUCUUCAUGCUGCGCCCGAGCUGCAUCUCUUUCGGCUACUAGUACACUCACGGUUUUCUUCAUCACAUCCAUUUCCGAUGCCAACCGUGCCACAACAUCUGCUUGCUGAUCCAUCUUUCUCUUCCAGCUUCUGUAACCGUACGGGUCAUCGUUCUGGGUGAACCCUAUUUUCCACGGAAUGUGCCCCAUGCCUCGUACACGUCCUCCGUGUUCAGGAUUCCCGAGGGGUUUUGUCAGCGCGUCGUUCUCUCUGUUGAACUUGAUCUUCCCCUCUUGAGCAUCCCUCAUUGCGUCAAUAAGGGCUUGGGUGGGUUUAAUUAUUUUGCCCCGGUAAACACACUCCCCUGUCUCCGGGUUCAGCGUUCCCCCAUGCCCGUACCACCAGCUUUUGGCCCUUGGGUCCCAUCCCUCCGUACCUGGACGGAUUCCUCGCGCCCUCAGCUCGUUCUCCAUCUUCUCCCACCUAGGCUCCCAAAGGCGAUACCCUCCUGGCCCCAUAAUAUGAUUGUACUCCUUCUUAGCCGCAUUUUCCUUAUUUUUUUCGAUAUUUGAAUGAACUGCUCCGAUUUCUUUUGCUUCACAAAUUCUGGCCAAUCAUGUUUCAGUUUCUCAUAUUGUCCUUUGAAAUCCGGAGUCUUGUUCUGCUUGAAAAAGUCAUGGGCUAGAUUUUGCUUGAAUUUCCGGAAUGCGUCGGCCAUCUUAUGAAGAGUGAACUGUUUGACUAGCCUCCUCCUCUCCUUGUUUUCCUCAAUCUUGUUACCCUCCUCAUCGAAUUUGUUGUAUUCCGGAGGUAGAACGAAAUGUUCCAUAAGCUUCUUGAAGCAAUCUUUUUUUGUUCUCUUAUCGACAAAAGUGAAACCAGCAAUUCGUGCCUUCUUUGGCUUAUUCCACUCCUGGACGGUGAUCGAGACGUUGUCUCUAACAACGGCUCCGCAUUGGUUGACAAACUUGGUGGCGUUCUUGCGGGGCUCCAGCGGCCUGUCGGUUGCACUGUCGACAACCUCGAUGGUGCAUGUUUCUCCUUGUUUCAUCGUCUUGGUUGCGCCACGCUUUGACGACGUACUCGAUUGUUUCGACGAUCCGGCCGAGGGCUAAAAUAAGAAAGAGAGUCGCGCGCGUUAGUACACACAUAUUUAUUCAAAUCAGUUAGUUUGUAUCACCAGAGGCUCAAUGUAUAUAUAUACCUCGGCGCCGGAGGUGGUUGCUACUUCCAUUUGAAGAUCGUCGUUUAUCGACGUUUGUUCGGCAUCAUCUUGCUGACGGCGCCCUUCAUCUUCACCGUCAAGGUUCAGAUAAGAAGAGAUAUCAUCUUCUUCUUGUCCGGUCGGCACAUAUAGAAUAUCGCCGUUUAUGAUGCUGAACAUAUGUGCUUCACCGUCCGGAUCAUAGUUGUCCAUAAUCGGGUCAGCUCUAUCGUCCACCAUUAUGUCAGUCCUGAAAACAUGUAGUAAAAACAAAUUAAUUAAGUGAAGAAGGGGGGCGGUGGCGGUGGCGGUGGCGAAAGGGCGGUGGCAAAAGGAGGGGGCGAGGAAGGGGUGGGAGAGGGUGUCGCGGUAGAGCGCGAGACGGGGCGGCAGACGACGGCGUCACGGAGAGGGAGGCGAGGACAACACACAUGUAUAACCCUCGCCGCCCCCUCUCGAUCCCAACAAAAAAACACCGCGGGCAUCGCCGCCCCCCUCGCCGCCCCCUCUCCGUAUAUGCGCGGGGUCGUGUACAUUUUUUUAAAGCGGGAUCGUUGUACAUUGACGCGCGGGGUCGUUGUAUAUAUUGAUUAUCAAGUUUUACUUUUUUUGUUGUUAAUUAUCAAGUUUUAUAUACGUUUUUUUUGUUAAUUAUCAAAUUUUACGGUUUUUUUUGUUAAUUAUCAAGUUUUAAGUUAUUUUACCGUUUUUGUUAAACUAAUUAACUAGUUAAAAUUAAAAAGAACAAAAAAAAGAAAAAAAAGAAAAAAAUCCGGUGGCUCGCGGCGCCCCUCUCUCUCUCCACGAUCUCGCUCUCUGUCUGAGAGAGGCGCGCGCAUGCGCGCACGGCAGUAUCGAGGCCGGCCGGCGGCGUUNNNNNNNNNNNNNNNNNNNNNNNNNNNNNNNNNNNNNNNNNNNNNNNNNNNNNNNNNNNNNNNNNNNNNNNNNNNNNNNNNNNNNNNNNNNNNNNNNNNNNNNNNNNNNNNNNNNNNNNNNNNNNNNNNNNNNNNNNNNNNNNNNNNNNNNNNNNNNNNNNNNNNNNNNNNNNNNNNNNNNNNNNNNNNNNNNNNNNNNNNNNNNNNNNNNNNNNNNNNNNNNNNNNNNNNNNNNNNNNNNNNNNNNNNNNNNNNNNNNNNNNNNNNNNNNNNNNNNNNNNNNNNNNNNNNNNNNNNNNNNNNNNNNNNNNNNNNNNNNNNNNNNNNNNNNNNNNNNNNNNNNNNNNNNNNNNNNNNNNNNNNNNNNNNNNNNNNNNNNNNNNNNNNNNNNNNNNNNNNNNNNNNNNNNNNNNNNNNNNNNNNNNNNNNNNNNNNNNNNNNNNNNNNNNNNNNNNNNNNNNNNNNNNNNNNNNNNNNNNNNNNNNNNNNNNNNNNNNNNNNNNNNNNNNNNNNNNNNNNNNNNNNNNNNNNNNNNNNNNNNNNNNNNNNNNNNNNNNNNNNNNNNNNNNNNNNNNNNNNNNNNNNNNNNNNNNNNNNNNNNNNNNNNNNNNNNNNNNNNNNNNNNNNNNNNNNNNNNNNNNNNNNNNNNNNNNNNNNNNNNNNNNNNNNNNNNNNNNNNNNNNNNNNNNNNNNNNNNNNNNNNNNNNNNNNNNNNNNNNNNNNNNNNNNNNNNNNNNNNNNNNNNNNNNNNNNNNNNNNNNNNNNNNNNNNNNNNNNNNNNNNNNNNNNNNNNNNNNNNNNNNNCAGCGCGGCGGGCGACGGCGGGCGGCGUCGAGGGCGAGGGCGACGGCGGCAGGCCUUCGGCGCGGCAGAGAAUCGGAGAAGACGAGAAAUGGAGGCGAUGGUUCGGGCCCUUGUAUUUAUAGCCCCCCCCUUUAGUCGCGGUUGGGGAGGCGACCCGCGACUAAAGGGUAACCUUUAGUCGCGGUUGGCCAGACCAACCGCGACUAAAGGGUUUUUUGGCGGGUUUUUGCAUUCCCGCGCGCAACGACCUUUAGUCGCGGUUGGCCAGGCCAACCGCGACUAAAGGUAUUUUUCAAAAUACUUUUUCUUUUUCAAAAUCUUAAAAAUACAAAUAAUAUAUCAAAAAAUUCAGAAAAAUAAAACUAAUUCAAUUCAAUAUGUUAAAAACACAAAUAUUAUAUCAAAAAAUUCAGAAAAAUAAGACUAAUUCAAUUCAAAAUUCUAAAAAUACAAAUAAUAUAUCAAAAAAUUAAGAAAAAUAAAACUAAUUCAAUUCGAAAUGUUAAAAAUACAAAUAAUAUAUCAAAAAAUUCAGAAAAAUAAAACUAAGUCAAUUCAAAAUUUUAUACGCCUAGGCAGGAGUACGACAGCGACGACAGCAGCGACGACGACGGCGGCAACUUAGAAGGCGACGACUACCAGUAUAACGGCGGCGGCUAUGAAGACUACGAGUAUGCAUAUUAUACGCCUAGGCAGGAGUAUGACUAAAUCACUCCAAAUUUCAUGUAUCAUCAGUGGUAUCUCGAAUCAUUCGAAAAUGGACACCAAACACAUCACAGGUAAUAUAAUUCACAUGAUCCAUUCAACAAAGUUUGGUACAAUAAAUUAUUACACAUCAUUUCUUCCCUUGUGUCCCUGCUUGCUUACGAUUGUGCCGUAUCCAUGGAGCAUCCUCAUCAUUUAACUUAAUGCUUGGGUCGGUGUUCACUUUGAAGGGCGGAAUUUCAGCAAACAUAUUAUAAUCUUCUGACAUGUCUGUCUUGUCCUCCACUCCCACGAUGUUUCUUUUCCCUGAAAGAACAAUGUGGCGCUUUGGAUCAUCGCAUGAUGUACUGAUCGUUUUCUUAUCUUUCCGUUUCCUCGGUUUGCUACUCAUGUCCUUCACAUAGAAAACCUGAGCGACAUCUUUCGCUAGGACGAAUGGUUCGUCAAGGUAACCAAGAUUGUUGAAAUCCACCAUUGUCAUUCCGUAUUGCUGGUCCACCUUUACCCCACCUCCUGUUAGCUUGAACCAUUUGCACCGGAACAAAGGGACCUUAAAGGAGGGUCCAUAGUCAAGUUCCCAUAUCUCCUCUAUGUAACCAUAAUAUGUGACCUUUUGCCCAUUCUCGGUUGCUGCAUCAAAGCGGACACCACUGUUUUUGUUGGUGCUCUUUUUAUCUUGGGCGAUCGUGUAAAAUGUAUUCCCAUUUAUCUCGUACCCUUGGAAAGUCGUUAUAGUCGAAGAUGGUGUCUUGGCCAACAUGUACAGCUGAUCUACAACAUCAUUGUCAUUCAUUAAAUGUUUUCUCAACCAACUGCCGAAAGUCUCCAUGUGGGCCUUCCUAAUCCAGGAUUCAGGCUUCCCCGGGUUGUCCGAGCGUAAAAUAUUCUUGUGUUUCUCAAAGUACGGAGCCACCAAGCUAGAAUUGGUCAGUACAGUGUGGUGUGCUUCAGUCAGAGAAUGGCCGUCCAUACAUAUCGUUGAUUUCCUUCCGAUCGUGCCUUUUCCACUUAGUCUCCCCUCGUGCCGCGAUCGAGGAAGACCAAUCGGCUUAAGGUCAGGAACAAAGUCAACACAAAACUCAAUUACCUCCUCAUUUCCAUAGCCCUUGGCGAUGCUUCCUUCUGGCCUAGGAUGGUUACGAACAUAUUUCUUUAAUACUCCCAUGAACCUCUCGAAGGGGAACAUAUUGUGUAGAAAUACAGGAUCGAGAAUGAAAAUCUCUUCGACUAGGUGAACCAAGAGGUGCGUCAUAAUAUUGAAGAAGGAUGGAGGGAACACCAACUCGAAACUGACAAGACAUUGGAUCACAUCGUUCUGUAACCGUGGUAGAACUUCUGGAUUGAUUACCUUCUGAGAGAUUGCAUUGAGGAAUAUACAUAGCUUCACAAUGGCUACUCGAACAUUUUCCGGCAGGAGCCCCCUCAAAGCAAUCGGAAGCAAUUGCGUCAUAAUCACGUGGCAGUCGUGAGACUUCAGGUUUUGGAACUUUUUCUCCGCCAUGUUCAUUAUUCCCUUUAUAUUGGACGAGAAUCCAGACGGGACCUUCAUACUGCUCAGGCAUUCAAAAAAGAUGACCUUCUCUUCUUUGGUCAGAGCGUAGCUGACAUGACCUUGAAACCAUUCCGGAUGCCGGUCAUCAGGGUCUUUCAAACGUUGCUGGUCCUGCCGUGCUUCCUUUGUAUCAUUUGUCUUCCCAUACACGCCCAAGAAGCUUAGGAGGUUCACGCAAAUAUUCUUCGUAACGUGCAUCACGUCGAUUGCAGAGCGGACUUCUAGGACUUUCCAAUAUUCUAGCUCCCAGAAUAUAGAUUUCUUCUUCCACAUGGCUGCGUGCCCGUCAGCUCCCUUCGGAACUGAUUGUCCGCCAGGACCCUUUCCAAAGAUGACUUUCAAAUCCUUGACCAUAUCAAAUACCUCAGCACCAGUGCGUUCUGCAGGCUUCGGCCGGUGAUCUGCCUUGCCGUUGUAAUGCUUGCCUUUCUUUCUUACUGGAUGAAUUUUCGGAAGAAAUCGACGAUGCCCAAGGUACACGUUCUUCUUACAAUUUGGCAAAUGUACACUUUCAGUCUCAUGUAAGCAGUGCGUGCAUGCAUUGUAUCCCUUAUUUGACAGUCCCGAAAGGUUACUAAGAGCAGGCCAAUCGUUGAUGGUUACGAAAAGCAACGCUCGUAGGUCAAAUUCUUCUUCUUUGUGCUCAUCCCACACACGGACACCAGGUCUGCCCCACAGCUGUAAAAGUUCAUCAACUAAUGGCCUUAGGUACACAUCGAUGUCGUUGCCGGGUUGCUUCAGACCUUGGAUGAGCACUGGCAUCAUAAUGAACUUCCGCUUCAUGCACAACCAAGGAGGAAGGUUGUAGAUGCAUAGAGUCACGGGCCAGGUGCUAUGCACUACUAGGAAAAGGGCUAUAGAUGGAAAUGACACUAAUGGCGCACCAGACAUGUGGUGCGCCAUUAGUAUAUACUAAUGGCGCACCACCUUCUGAUGCGCCAUUAGUGUUAAAACUACUAAUGGCGCACCCUGCCUACGGUGCGCCAUUAGUAUCACCAUUAUUUUUUUUGAACUAGUGCGCCUGUCCAAACGUACUAAUGGCGCACCGUGGGUGUGGUGCGCCAUUACUAGUUAAACUAGUAAUGGCGCACCAUGCCACGNNNNNNNNNNNNNNNNNNNNNNNNNNNNNNNNNNNNNNNNNNNNNNNNNNNNNNNNNNNNNNNNNNNNNNNNNNNNNNNNNNNNNNNNNNNNNNNNNNNNNNNNNNNNNNNNNNNNNNNNNNNNNNGGAUCGCCUUUUCAGUUUAAAAAAAAUAAAGCAAAAUGAUAAAAAUGUCAAAAAAAUAAAAGAAAAUAAGUUUCGCAUGUGAUAUGUGGCCUAGUUGUUGGGAAAAUUUGCAAAUAUGAAUUUUGACUUCAUUUGCAAAAUCUCGCGAGAAUUUGUAAAAAUGGGCAUAACUUUUGCAUACUAACUCGGAUGAAAAAGUUUUUUAUAUGGAAAAUCAUCUACUCGAAAAGUUACAUCCAAAAUCCUCAAAAACCUAACAGAAAAAAAGAUACGGGGCUUUUAAGAUCUAGAGAGGCAAAAAAAAUCAAAAAAAUUCAAACUUACUAAUGGCGCACCUGCCCAUGGUGCGCCAUUAGUAUCUUCCCGCCUUCAAAAUUCAAAAUAAAUCAAAAAAAUAAAAAAUUUUACUAAUGGCGCACCUGACCAUGGUGCGCCAUUAGUAUCUUCCCGCCUUCAAAAUUCAAAAUAAAUCAAAAAAAUAAAAAAAAAUUACUAAUGGCGCACCUGCCCGUGGUGCGCCAUUAGUAUCUUCCCGCCUUCAAAAUUUAAAAUAAAUCAAAAAAAAUAAAAAAAAAUUACUAAUGGCGCACCUGCCGGCGGUGCGCCAUUAGUAUGCCGUAUAUAUGGCUGGUCCUCUCCUCCUCUCUUCAUUUCAUCUUCCCUUCUCUCCUCCACCAUACUUCUCCUCUCCGGUGACCUCCUCCUCCUCUCCNNNNNNNNNNNNNNNNNNNNNNNNNNNNNNNNNNNNNNNNNNNNNNNNNNNNNNNNNNNNNNNNNNNNNNNNNNNNNNNNNNNNNNNNNNNNNNNNNNNNNNNNNNNNNNNNNNNNNNNNNNNNNNNNNNNNNNNNNNNNNNNNNNNNNNNNNNNNNNNNNNNNNNNNNNNNNNNNNNNNNNNNNNNNNNNNNNNNNNNNNNNNNNNNNNNNNNNNNNNNNNNNNNNNNNNNNNNNNNNNNNNNNNNNNNNNNNNNNNNNNNNNNNNNNNNNNNNNNNNNNNNNNNNNNNNNNNNNNNNNNNNNNNNNNNNNNNNNNNNNNNNNNNNNNNNNNNNNNNNNNNNNNNNNNNNNNNNNNNNNNNNNNNNNNNNNNNNNNNNNNNNNNNNNNNNNNNNNNNNNNNNNNNNNNNNNNNNNNNNNNNNNNNNNNNNNNNNNNNNNNNNNNNNNNNNNNNNNNNNNNNNNNNNNNNNNNNNNNNNNNNNNNNNNNNNNNNNNNNNNNNNNNNNNNNNNNNNNNNNNNNNNNNNNNNNNNNNNNNNNNNNNNNNNNNNNNNNNNNNNNNNNNNNNNNNNNNNNNNNNNNNNNNNNNNNNCUCCUCCUCCUCCUCUCCGGUGAGCUCCUCUCCGGCAAAAGACCAUGGCAACAAGAUCCAAAAACAGGAACAAAAUUUGAGAAUAUUGUCGUGCCAAGAAACAAGCAAAAAAAAACGAGCAAAAAAUGGGCAAAAAAUCACGAUCCAGAUCUAGAUUCAAAAUGGCGCAUCACAGGAAAGUGCGCCAUUAGUAUGCCGCGGUUACUAAUGGCGCAUCCAGUUGUGGUGCGCCAUUAGUAUCCAAAGCACCUGGCCCCUGGGAGGCAUACUAAUGGCGCACCGUGGCCUAUACUAAUGGCGCACCACUGGUGCGCCAUUAGUAAAAAUUACUAAUGGCGUGCUGUUAGUGGCGCACCACAGAUGCGCCAUUAAUGGCCAUAUUAGGUGCGCCAUUAGUAGGUGUUUUUCUAGUAGUGAUGGCUGGAGCUCUGCUCGCCAAAAGGAUUCAUGCCAUCUGUACUUAGACCAAAUCUUAUGUUCCUUGCGUCAGCUGCAAAAUCUUUGAACUCUCUGUCGAUCUUUCUCCAUUGCGUUCCAUCUGCGGUGUGUCUCAACUCCCCGUCCGACUUACGGUCCUCUUUGUGCCAUCGCAACAACUUGGCAUGCUCUUUGUUCCUGAACAGACGUUUCAACCGUGGUAUUGUAGGAGCAUACCACAUCACCUUGGCGGGAACCCUCUUCCUGGGUUUCUCGCCCCCAACAUCGUCACCAGGGUCAUCGCCUCUGAUCUUAUAACGCAAUGCAGUGCAUACCGUGCAUUCAUUCAAAUUCUCGUAUUCACCGCGGUAGAGGAUGCAGUCGUUGAUGCAUGCAUGUAUCUUCAGAACCUCUAAACCUAGAGGGCAGACAACCUUCUUUGCUUCGUACGUACUGGCGGGCAACUCGUUAUUCUUUGGAAACAUAUUCUUCAACAUUUUCAGCAAGUUUUCAAAUGCCGAGUCAGCUACACCUGCCUGUGCCUUCCAUUUCAGCAAAUCCAGUGUGCAGCCCAGCUUUUUCAGACCAUCAUCGCAUCCGGGGUACAACGACUUUCUGAAAUCCUAUAACAUGCGAUCCAAAUUCUCCCUCUCCUUUUCAGUUUCGCAGCGUCUCCGUGCAUCAGCAAUGGUCCGACCAAGAUCAUCAACGGUCUCAUCACGUGCCUCUUCUUCACCUUCACCUUCCCCUUCACCUUCCCCUUCACCUUCAGCAUCCUCCAUGAAAGUAUCACCGAAAUGAGCAAGAUAGCUUUCAUCGAUGAAAUCAUCCCCUUCUUCAUCUUCUUCCAUUAUAACCCCUCUUUCUCCAUGCUUGGUCCAACAAUUAUAGCUUGGCAUGAAACCGUGCCGAAGCAGGUGCAGGUGAACUUCUCUUGAGGAAGAGUAACCCUUCUGAUUCUUACAGUCAACACAUGGACAGAUAACAAAACCCUUCUGCUUGUUCGCAUUAGCCACUACGAGGAAAUCUUUCAAACUCGUAGUGAACUCGCGGGAGAGUCGGUUACCGUACAUCCAUUGCCGAUUCAUCUGCAUUAUUAUAAUAUAAAAUAUAUAAUUAACCAUCAUGCAUUUGUUAAACUAACUAGCUAUAAACAAUAGAAAUUAAACAAUGAACAACACACAUGCAUAUUUUAUCAAUGACACACAUGCAUGAAAGGUUCAAGUUGCUAACCGCGAUCGAGGAGGAAAAAAAAUGAGGAACCUCAAGUGUGGCUCCAACACUUCAUAUCAUGUUUGUUUCACGCUCUUGGGGCAUUUCAUCAAACACCUUGUGUGCAUAAGAGGAACCAAAAGCAAACCUACACCCCCUUGUGAAGCUUGUGAAGAGAAGUGGCACCAAAUGGCUAAGUGAGUGUGCUGAACUGGUAUAUAUAGGGGAGGAGCUUUAGUCGCGGUUGGCCUGGCCAACCGCGACUAAAGGCCUUUGGGCACCUUUAGUCGCGGUUGGCCUGGCCAACCGCGACUAAAGCCCCUCACGUGCACCAGCUGGCCACCGAGCGCCCUGGGCCCAGGCCUUUGGUCGCGGUUCGUCUGCCGAACCGCGACUAAAGACUUCAUUAGUCAUGGUUCCUACAGUUUCGCGACUAAUGGGGCUGGACGGAAGCCUCUUUUUCUACCAGUGAGAUUUUGUGUCAUGUGUAUUUGGAUUGCUUCCACACAUGUUUGGCAAAAAAAACUGUGGCUUAUGUUUGGUUUCUUGCCACAUCUGGUUAGAAUCACCUUAGUGCUAGAGUGGUGAGAUUAUGCCAUUUUUGUUACAAACCAAUCAGAUUACAACAUGCUCUAGUAAAUGUAAGAAGAUUUUGUACAUUACUAAUAGCCACAAAAAAUAACAUGGAUCAUUUUCCGUUAAAUACCAUCUGUGCAAAAUAAGUCACAGCCACAAUUUAGUAUCAAGAUACAAAAUAAGAUAGAUGCAUGCAAGUUCCAGCCAUCAUUCAUAAAGUCAUGAAGUAACAGUCCUAACCAUAGCACAAGUUCCAGCCACCUUACAUUAAAGUGUUUCGCUACACAUCAACAGAUCAAUAGGUGUAGCACAAGUUCAACUCCCAAAAGCAGCGAGCAGACACAUCACAAUCUCCUAAAUACCAAAAGUUGCCAUCUUCUAAACAUCACACGUGAGCAACUAGCAAACCACACAGGUUGCUAUCUCCUAAACAUCAUCUUUGUCAAAGAACUUCCAAACCCAAGUUUCAAAAGUUUUGUCACUUGCACAACAUAACCAACCACGCAAACCUUCAUUGUUCUUGCUAGACAAGUGCAUACCAAUAGUAAUUCUUUGAUCCAUGGUAAUUGGGAGUACCUCCAACCUGUGCCAUAAACUAGCAUAUGGGUCAAUAACUUGGGGCAUUUGAGGAGCAGGGGCAGCAAGAGAUUGCUGGAGUGACUUCAAUGUAGAGUUGAUUUCUUCAGCGGACUCCGCGAAAGACUCUUGAUUUUUUGUCGCUUCUUACUAGGCGACCUGCUACCUCUUGGGCGCUUCGUACCAACUCGGCUACUGCUAGAUGAGGAAUUAUCAGCACGUACAUGAACUGGAGGUCUUUUAAGACCAUAUGUUGUUGGCAAAGUGUCAGAAUCCUCCUCAAGAGGGCCCUCAUAUAGUCAUAUUGUGGAUAGCAAUUAAGGUCAUACAACCCUUCAUCAUUAUCCGAGUCAUGAGAAUCAAUUGUGCAUGUAUGCUGGUCCAUGGCUAAAGAACCAUCAGCACUAGUGCCUGUGAAUAGCUCUUGCAUCUCGUAGAUGCAAGAGAGGCAAAACCAAGCAGCUGCUAGACUAGGAAAUCCUGCAGAUCACGGAAGAAGGCUGCUAUUUUUCUCUUGAAAAAACAAGAACGCCCAGAUCUGCAUGUUUGAGAUGAAUAGUAGGUGAUGAGAUAGACGAGAUGGCGGAGAUUACUAUUGCGGUGGUGAGGAUUUUUACCAGGGAAGAGAAGGUCAAUUGUAGCGGCGAGCUCCUCCUCAGUUGGAUCGGUCAGGAGAGAGAAGGGCUCUCAUCCAUGGCGGUCAAGAUUGUGUGAAGCAGAGUUUCGGGGGAGGAAACAGGGAAGCGAUGACUUUAUUAAUCAGGCCCGCGGGGAUUUUCACGGCUUCUUUGGCGCGCCACGGCGAGUAUGGCGGGCAAAUCGAGCGCCACACAUUUGGCGAAUUUUUCUGCGGCAAAGGCCCUGUGGCGCUGUGGCGAGUCUAACCUUGAUGGAGAACCAAACGCCUGCCUACGAAGUCGUGGCACGCCUCACCUUAGGCGUGGAGAGCUGAGGCUCUGAACCAAACAGCCUCCUAAUCUUCCCGCGGACCGACGCGCCGACGACAACGAGUGAAACCGGCGGCGCUUGUGAUCAAAUCAGCACCGUUGUGCCUAACUUUAGAUCGACCGAGAUCUCCUUUUUCUUGCUAGCUAGCUUUGGCACGCAAAAAAGGACGAGGGAGGACCGGAGGAUACCUCCAACAAACAACAUCAAAUCCUGUGGUCUGUGGAUUUCCAACCAUAGUUUUGGAUAACCUGCCGCUCCCGGAAAGAAAGCGUGCAGUGGCACCCCCUGCCUUUCCCACCAACUCAGUUCACCACUCCAAUCCAAGUCCAAACGAGUCAGCAGAGUACCCACGGUUUGCACCCAAAACCGUGCGUGGCCGCCACCUUUUUGCUCCCUAUAAAUACAUGGCUAGCUCCUCGUCCUCGAAGCAUCAAGCAACAGCCAGCCAGCCAGCCCAUCUCUUCUCACUCGAUCAUCGCACUCUUUGUGCUGAGCCGUUUCUGUACAGGAUCACGGCGAAGAUGUCGACGACGGCCACCGUCGCCCGCGCCCACCUUGAGAACAAGCUCGCCCUCGCCAAACGCUGCUCCAGAGGUACGUAGGAAUCAGGAUCCACUUCUUCAGAGUUCAGUUCAGUUCAGCCAAGUUGUGUGCUGAUAGUCUGACACUAGCAAUGCAUUUCUCUUUUUAAAAUCUUCCCCAGAGGCGACGCUCGCCGGAGCCAAGGCGGCGGCCGUCGCCGCGGUCGCGUCUGCGGUGCCAACGGUGAGCUCAUCCGUCCAACGGUAGUUGCUGAUUUUCAUGCACGUUGGACUCUGAUUUUCGUGACUGUUAUACUCAUGCAGCCGGCGAGCGUGCGGAUGCUGCCGUGGGCCAAGGCGAACCUGAACCCCACCGGCCAGGCGCUCAUCGUCUGCACCGUCGCCGGGAUGGCCUACUUCAUCGCCGCCGACAAGGCCAUCCUCUCGCUGGCGAGGAGGCACUCGUACGAGAGCGCCCCCGACCACCUCAAGGACACCUCCUUCCAUGGUGGUGCCGCCGCAGCUCGUCCCCGUCCGCCGGCAUUCUUCAGGCCUUGAGCUAGUAUUAUCCUGCUUGUGCCGUUGCGCGUAUUCUAGAAAAAAUGUAUGCAUCAUUGUCAGUGUCCCAAGAAACCGCUGCCGCAUGAAUAUCUGACGCCGAAAUGUAUGUAUAUCCGUGUACUGAAUGAAACAGAGGGCUCGAUCCUGGUUUCAUAUAUGCUGUGUACGACAGACUUCAGAAGUUCAGAUAUCGACGAAGAAGAUGGGAUCAUAUAAUAUAAGCUGUGUAUUCCCAUCCAUUGCAGCUUAUGCGACUGCUGAAACUUGAUCUUGAUUAACAUUCCUACGUCGAUCCCAAACUGCAGAGGCCGCCAUGGCGGGAGCCAAGGCCGCGGUCGUCGCCACCGUCGCUGCCGCAGUCUCCAUAGUUUUUUUUUAAGAUCCAGCAAAUUGCUGACUUCAAUUAGAUUAAGCAGAAAACAGCAGAAAAACAACAUGAAAAGGAUCCAAAGAUCAAAGAGAAAAGAAAAACGGCAAUCCUAUUGGCCGCCGAACAACACUACCCUUACAAGACGGAACGCCAUCCACUCACAGCAGGACAACGCAGCUCAGACUCUGGCGGAGAACUACAAAAAGCAAAGAAAUAUUGGCAUCACGGAAGAUCACCGAACGGACCACUUGUCGCUCGUCAUUGUACACCACCGGUGCCCCGCACCGCAGCUUCGACUUCACAUCAACAAGCAGCCGAGGUAGUCUCAAGGAUACGCCGGAGAAGAGCCGACUACCACGACCAAUGCCACGCCUCCGACAAUGCUCACCACCGUUAUCGUUGCCACAGAAGCCAAACCGCCCCAUUGCCGGACGGACACGACCGAGCAGCACAAACAACCUCCCCCACCUAUCACUGGUCCCUCUGGCCGGUAAGGAGCUCCUGGAACGAUGCCCCAAGAGGUGCGAUGCACGUCGCCGUCAUCGUCCGGUUCUAGGGGAUCAAGGGUUUCCCUCGAGCAUCCUUGCGUAGUGGAGCGAGCAGGAACGCCUCAGCGACGCCUUCAAAAAGGAAACGGCGCCCGCAGGCGUCGCAGUCGCUUGCCCCAGCCCAAGGGCCGGCAGCAAAGUCUUCACCCGGCGCUGCACCUCCAACCACCAAACCCGAGCCAGACCAUCACCACAGACACACGGUCGGCGGCCGCCGGCCCCACGCGCCCAACGUCCGCCGCAACCACCUUCAAAACUGGACGCCGGGGCCUAGGUCUUCAUCGCUGCCGCCGGUCCACGCCAGAUAGAGCCGCCGGCCCCAUGCACCCGACGGUCGUCACGGCCUCCUCGCAGAACAGGACGCCGAGGCCCGAUCUGCUUCGCACCGCCAUGGAGCCCAACUAGCCGACGGCCGCCGGUGCACAGAGCCGUCUACAGCCCACGCGGCGCCGAGAAGCUGGCUCCCGCCUGACCCAUCUCCUCUGCCGCAGCAUCGAGCAAGAGCCCGUCCGACGGCAGCCCUCUUCAGAUCCAGCAGGGGCUCGCCCGCGACCCGCGCGACCACCACAUGCCCCAGACCGCAGCCAUCCCCGCCUCGCCGCUCCAUUAGUAUAUCUCACGGUGCGCCAUUACUAACAAUUUUUUUCAUUUUUUUUAGAAUUUUUUUUCAUUUUUUUUUCAAUUUUUUUUUGUUUUUUUCUUAAUCUCGAGUCAAUCUUAAUCUCAGGUCAAAUCGCACUCUAUGGUCAAACUUCCCGAAAGGUCACCCAUCGUCACACUACUCCAGCCCGAGCACGCUUAACUUUGCAGUUCUAUCCAACCCCAGCACCAGCUCACUUCACGAGCACUUGUUGAUACAUAUAUCAUAUCAAUCCUAUUAAACCGUGUUGAUGUCUAGGACUUUGUUCAUGUUCAUGAGUGUGAUGAAAUUUUGAAAAAAUAUUUCAAACUUCCGGUCAUAUUACGUAUCAUAUUUUGAAAAAAAUUCCAAUAUUUUUUUGAAACCAAUUUUUUUCUGUUACUAGUGGCGCACCUAGCAAAUGGUGCGCCACUAGUAAGUUUGAAUGUUCUUUCAUUUUCCCCCCCUCUAGAUCUUAAAAGCCCCGUAUCUUUCAUUCUGUCAGGGUUUGGGGGAUUUUGAAGAUGUUGAAAGGGGUUCCCCAGUUCAAUUCGUAUGUAACUUUUCGAGUAGAUGAUUUUUUAUAUAAAAAACUUUUUAAUCUGAGUUCGUAUGCAAAAGUUAUGCCCAUUUUACUAAUUUUCCCAACAACUAGACCACAUAUCACAUGGGAAAAUUAUUUUCUUUUUUUACAUUUCCAGCAUUUUCUUUUAUUUUUUAAAAAAUUGAAAAGACGGUCCAUGGGGGGGUGCAUUUAGCACCAGGGUUACUAAUGGCGCACCUGAUGUGUGGUGCGCCAAUAGUAAUUUUGAAAAAAAGAUGUUAGUAAUGGCGCAACAGUGGAUGAUGACCCACAAGUAUAGGGGUUCUAUCAUAGUCCUUUCGAUAAGUAAGAGUGUCGAACCCAAUGAGGAGCAGAAGGAAAUGAUAAGCGGUUUCCAGCAAGGUAUUCUCUGCAAGUACUGAAAUAAGUGCUAACAGAUAGUUUUGUGAUAGGAUAAUUUGUAAAGAGCAACAAGUAACAAAAGUAAAUAAAGUGCAGUAAGAUGGCCCUAUCCUUUUUGUAGCAAAGGACAGGUCUGGACAAACUCUUAUAUGAUGUAAAGCGCUCCCGAGGACACAUGAGAAUAUCGUCGAGCUAGUUUUCAUCACGUUCAUAUGAUUCGCGUUCGGUACUUUGAUAAUUUGGUAUGUGGGUGGACCGGUGCUUGGGUACUGCCCUUACUUGGACAAGUAUCCCACUUAUGAUUAACCUCUAUUGCAAGCAUCCGCAACUAUAACAAAAGUAUUAAGGUAAACCUAACCAUAGCAUGAAACAUAUGGAUCCAAAUCAGCCCCUUACGAAGUAACACAUAAACUAGGGUUUAAACUUCUGUCACUCUAGCAACUCAUCAUCUACUUAUUACUUCCCAAUGCCUUCCUCUAGGCCCAAAUAAUGGUGAAGUGUCAUGUAGUCAACGUUCACAUAACACCACUAGAGGAGAGAUAACAUACAUCUCAUGAAAAUAUCGAACGAAUACCAAAUUCACAUGACUACUAAUAGCAAGACUUCUCCCAUGUCCUCAGGAACAAAAGUAACUACUCACAAAGCAUAAACAUGUUCAUAAUCAGAGGGGUAUUAAUAUGCAUAUAGGAUCUGAACAUAUGAUCUUCCACCAAUUAAACAAACUAGCAUCAACUACAAAGAGUAAUUAACACUACUAGCAACCUACUAGCACCAAUCCCGGACUUGGAGACAAGAAUUGGAUACAAGAGAUGAACUAGGGUUUUGAGAGGAGAUAGUGCUGAUGAAGAUGUUGAUGGAGAUUGCCCUCUCCCGAUGAGAGGAGCGUUGGUGAUGACGAUGGCGAUGAUUUCCCCCCUCCGGGAGGGAAGUCUCCCCGGCAGAACAACUCCGCCAGAGCCCUAGAUUGGUUCUGCCAAGGUUCCGUCUCGUGGCGGCGGAGUUUCGUCCGAGAAGAUGGCUUAUGAUUUUUUUUCCCAUCGAAAGACUCCAUAUAGCAGAAGAUGGCCACCGGAGGGCCACCAGGGGGCCCACGAGGUAGGGGGCGCGCCUAGGGGGGUAGGGCGCGCCCCCACCCUCGUGGGCAGGGUGUGGCCCCCCUGGUGAGGUUCUUGCUUUCAGUAUUUUUUAUAUAUUUAGAAAACGUAUUCCGUGAAGUUUCAGGACUUUUGGAGUUGUGCAGAAUAUGUCUCUAAUAUUUGCUCCUUUUCCAGCCCAGAAUCCCAGCUGCCGGCAUUCUCCCUCUUUAUGUAAACCUUGUAAAAUAAGAGAGAAUAGACAUAAGUAUUGUGACAUAAUGUGUAAUAACAGCCCAUAAUGCAAUAAAUAUCGAUAUAAAAGCAUGAUGCAAAAUGGACGUAUCAACUCCCCCAAGCUUAGACCUCGCUUGUCCUCGGAAAAUAUGUCCACAUGUUUAGAGAUAGAGGUGUCGAUAAAAAUAAAAUACGGACAUGAGGGCAUCAUGAUCAUUCUUAGAACAACAACUUAUAUAAUUCUUGUCAUAUAAUCUCUUAUGCUAGAGUAAUAAUUCAAUCACAAUAUCAAGUAUGAAUCGUAAACUUCAUUGAAAACUAACAAACUACAAUCUCAGUCAUUGAAGCAAUUGCAAUUUAUCAUAACAUAGGAAAGAGUCAAUGUAUAAGAGCUUUUCAGCAAGUCGACAUACUCAACUAUCAUAUAGUCUUUCACAAUUGCUGGCACUCAUGCAAUACUUAUGGGUAUGGAGUUUUAAUCGGACACAGAGAAAGAUAGGGGCUGAUAGUUUUGCCUCCCAACAUUUUAACUCAAGGGUAGUGUCAACAGUAAUAGUUCAUGAAAAUUCACAUCCAAUUAGCCAUAUAUACCAGGAUCUUUCCAACAUAUGGUGCUUGCCAAAGGAUAAAAUGUAAAAAGGAAGGGUGAAGAUCACCAUGACUCUUAUGCAAUGUAGGAGAUAAAAGUAAAAGAUAGGCCCUUCGCAGAGGGAAGCAGAGGUUGUCAUGCGCUUUUAUGGUUAGAUGCACAAAAUCUUAAUGCGAAAGAACAUCACUUUAUAUUGCCACUUGUGAUAUGGACCUUUAUUAUGCAGUCUGUCGCUUUUAUUACUUCCAUAUCACACGAUCAUAUAAAGCUUAUUUCCUCCACACCAAUCAAUCAUACAUAUUUAGAGAGCAAUUUUUAUUGCUUUGCACCGAUGACAACUUACUUAAAGAAUCUUAUUCAAUCCAUAGGUAGAUAUGGUGGACUCUUAUGGCAAGACUGGUUUAAGGGUAUUUGGAAGCACAAGUAGUAUCUCUACUUGGUGCAAUGAAUUUGGCUAGUAUGAGGGGGAAAAGCAAGCUCAUCAUGUUGGAAGAUCCAAGACAAUAUAAUUCAUCUCAGAUGUAAGACAACAUAACCCAUUACGUUGUCUUCCUUGUCCAAUGUCAACUCUUUAGCAUGUCAUAUUUUAACGAGUGCUCACAAUCAUAAAAGAUGUCCAAGUAGUAUAUCUAUAUGUGAAGACCUCUCUUUCAUUAUUACUUCCUAUUAAUUGCAACGAUGACCAAAAGUGUGUUUGUCAACCCUCAACAACUUUUAUUCAUCAUACUCUUUCUAUGUGAUCUCAUUACUCUCCAUAAGACUCACAUGAUCUCUUCGUUUCUUUUUAUUUCUUUCUCUUUUCUUUUAUUCACUUAAGAUCAUGGUAAAAUAAUCAAGCCCUUGACUCAACACUAAUCUUUAUUAUAUAGCUCACGGACUCGAUUACAUAGAAGGAUAAUAAAGCAAAACUCACAACUAGAUCAUACUAAGAACUUUUAUUCUACUAGAUCAAGAUAUUACCAAAAGGAUCGAACUAAGAAAAAAACGGUAAAGAUAAAAGUGAUGGUGAUACGAUAUCAUGGCACUCCCCCAAGCUUGGCAGUUGCCAAGUGGAGUGCCCACACUAGAUAAUCAAUUCUUCUUUGUUGGUGAAGAAGGUGAGGAUGUUGAUGACGGAUAGUCGCACAUUGAGCGCAUGAGGUCUUCUAACUUGCGGAUAAUGCCUUUGAGUGCGAUGAUGUGCUCCUUCAAGAAAACAUUUUCACGUGUGAGAUACUUAUUUUGUAUACGAGCUAACUCAAUCAUCUUGAAAGCUUCGCUUUUUGUUGGGGUAAGAAGAUUGUGAUUCAGUUGAAGGGUGCCUUCUGUUGCCGGAACUUGGUCCUCCAUGGCCUUAUUGAUCCCUUCAUCCUUGUUGAUCUCCAUGGGUUCUUCUCUCUUCAGCUCUAUCUUCAUUAGCCAAGCAUCGUUGCCCUCAUGGUUGGAGGAGGAGGGAGAUGAUAUAGUGCCUGGCCUUGACAACCCUGACAAAAAACAGCUCGAAACAAAGACAGGAGAUUUUUGCGUGAUACAGGAGUCAAAACCUCCGGGAGAUUAUAUAAUGAAUUUUCACCGACCAAAAUACGUGUCAUGUACGAAAACAGAGUCCGGAGAGCACACGAGGUGCCCACGAGGUAGGGGGCGCGCCCAGUAGGGUAGGGUGCGCCCUCCACCCUCGUGGAGCCCUCGUGUCCUUCCCGGACUGCUGCUUAUUUUUCUAUUUUUCUAAACAUUCCAAAACGGAGAAAUAUUGCCUUAAAACUGUUUUGGAGUCGGUUUACUUACCGUACCACAUACCUAUUCCUUUUCGGAGUCUGAAAUGUUCCGGAAAGUGUCCCUUAUGUAUUCCUCCGGGGUUAUGGUUUCAAUAACAUUGGUUUCAACAUUUAUGGGAUUACCUGAGAUAUAAUGUUUGAUUCUUUGACCGUUCACCACCUUUGGAUUUGUGCCUUCGAAGUUGUUGAUUUUCAUGGCACCGGAACGGUAGACCUCCUCGAUAACGUAAGGGCCUUCCCAGUUAGAGAGAAGUUUUCCUGCAAAAAAUCUUAAACAAGAGUUGUAUAUCAAUACAUAAUCACUGAUACGUCUCCAACGUAUCUAUAAUUUUUGAUUGCUCCAUGCUAUAUUAUCUACUGUAUUGGACGUUAUUGGGCUUUAUUAUCCAAUUUUAUAUUAUUUUUGGGACUAACCUAUUAACCGGAGGCCCAGCCCAGAAUUGCUGUUUUUUUGCCUGUUUUAGGGUUUCGAAGAAAAGGAAUAUCAAACGGAGUCCAAACGGAAUGAAACCUUCGGGAACGUGAUUUUCUCACCGAAUACAACUCAGGAGACUUGGACCCUACGUCAAGGCACGUAACAGGAGGCCACGAGGUAGGGGCGCGCGCCCUACCCUACCAGGCGCGCCCCCACCCUCGUGGGCCCCCUGUUGCUCCACCGACGUACUUCUUCCUCCUAUAUAUACCCACGUACCCCCAAACGAUCAGAUACGGAGCCAAAACCCUAAUUCCAUCACCGCAACUUUCUGUAUCCACGAGAUCCCAUCUUGGGGCCUAUUCCGGAGCUCCGCCGGAGGGGGAAUCGAUCACGGAGGGCUUCUACAUCAACACCAUAGCCUCUCCGAUGAAGUGUGAGUAGUUUACUUCAGACCUACGGGUCUAUAGUUAGUAGCUAGAUGGCUUCUUCUCUCUUUUUGGAUCUCAAUACAAUGUUCUCCCCCUCUCUUGUGGAGAUCUAUUCGAUGUAAUCUUCUUUUGCGGUGUGUUUGUUGAGAUCGAUGAAUUGUGGGUUUACGAUCAAGUCUAUCUAUGAAUAAUAUUUGAAUCUUCUCUGAAUUCUUUUAUGUAUGAUUGGUUAUCUUUGCAAGUCUCUUCGAAUUAUCAGUUUGGUUUGGCCUACUAGAUUGAUCUUUCUUGCAAUGGGAGAAGUGCUUAGCUUUGCCUUCAAUCUUGCGGUGUCCUUUCCGGUGACAAUAAGGGCAGCAAGGCACGUAUUGUAUUGUUGCCAUCGAAGAUAACAGGAUGGGGUUUUCUUCAUAUUGCAUGAGUCUAUCCCUCUACAUCGUGUCAUCUUGCUUAAGGCGUUACUCUGUUUUUACUUAAUACUCUAGAUGCAUGCUGGAUAGCGGUCGAUGAGUGGAGUAAUAGUAGUAGAUGCAGGCAGGAGUCAGUCUACUUGUCUCGGACGUGAUGCCUAUAUACAUGAUCAUACCUAGAUAUUCUCAUAACUAUGCUCAAUUAUGUCAAUUGCUCAACAGUAAUUUGUUCACCCACCGUAGAAUACUUAUGCUCUCGAGAGAAUCCACUAGUGAAACCUAUGGCCCCCGGGUCUAUCUUUAUCAUAUCAAUCUCCUACUACUUAGUUAUUUACUUUGCUAUUUACUUUGCCUUUAUUUUACUUUGCAUCUUUAUCAUAAAAAAUACCAAAAAUAUUAUCUUAUCAUAUCUAUCAGAUCUCACUCUCGUAAGUGGCCCUAUAGGGAUUGACAACCCCUAUUUGCGUUGGUUGCGAGGAUUUAUUUGUUUUGUGCAUGUACGAGGGACUUGCGCGUAGCCUCCUACUAUAUUGAUACCUUGGUUCUCAAAAACUGAGGGAAAUACUUACGCUACUUUGCUGCAUCAUCCCUUCCUCUUCGGGGAAAACCAACGCAGUGCUAAAAGAGGUAGCAAGAAGGAUUUCUGGCGUCGUUGCCGGGGAGGUCUACGCAAGAGUCAACAUACCAAGUACCCAUCACAUACCCUUAUCUCCCGCAUUACAUUAUUUGCCAUUUGCCUCUCGUUUUCCUCUCCCCCCACUUCACCCUUGCCAUUUUAUUCGCCCUCUCUCUAUCCUCCCUCUCUAUUUGCCUUCUUUUGCCCGCUUGCUUUCUGUUUGCUUGUGUGUUAGUUUGCUUGCUUGUUGCGAUGGCUCUACCUAAAUUUGGUGACCUUCAGCUUAAAAGGUUAGAAGAAAUCGAAAAUAAUGUUAGGAGUUUCAUGGUUUUGCAAUUUGAACAUAAUAGUUUCUUCAGAAACGAGCUUAAAGAACAGAAAAGUUUUAUGAAUAAAGAGCUCGAUGAUAUGUCUAAGAAUUCGAUGGUUUAAGAUCCCAACUUGCUCAUCUUGAGAAAUUAACUACUGAAAUUUCGGAUAAACAGGCUACCCUAGUUAAUAAGAUGGCCGCUAAACCAAGUUUCUAUGAAAAUAAUGAUGAAGAUCUAAAAGUUCUUGAUGUGUCCCCUAUUAAAUCUUUGUUUUGCAAUAUGAAUCUUGAUAAUGAUGGGACUGAAUAUGAUCCACCUUUACCUAGUAGGCGUUCCAAGAAUUCUGAAUCUUUUGAUCUUGAUGCUAAAUUUGAUAAAAGGUGAAAAUUGCUCUUUGAUUGAUUGUAUUUCCUUGUUACAAUCCGUGCUAAAUGCUCCUCACGCUUAUAGUCAAAAUAAAGCGUUUACUAAACAUAUCGUUGAUGCCUUGAUGCAAUCUUAUGAAGAAAAACUUGAAUUGGAAAUUUCUAUCCCUAGAAAACUUUAUGAUGAGUGGAAUCAACUAUUAAAAUUAAAAUUGAAGAUCAUGAAUGCUAUGCUUUAUGUGAUUUGGGUGCUAGUGUUUUCACGAUUCCAAAGACUUUGUGUGAUUUGUUAGGUUUCCGUGAUUUUGAUGAUUGCUCUUUAAACUUGCACCUUGUGGAUUCCACUAUCAAGAAACCUAUGGGAAGAAUUAAUGAUGUUCUUAUUGUUGCAAAUAGGAAUUAUGUGCCCAUAAAUUUUAUUGUUCUUGACAUAGAUUGUAAUCCUUCAUGUCCUAUUAUUCUUGGUAGACCUUUCCUUAGAACAAUUGGUGCAAUUGUUGAUAUGAAGGAAGGAAAUAUUAGAUUCCAAUUUUCAUUAAGGAAAGGCAUGGAACACUUUCCUAGAAAGAAAAUUAAAUUACCUUUUGAAUCUAUUAUGAGAGUCACUUAUGGAAUGCCUACCAAAGAUGGCAAUACCUAGAUCUAUUCUUGCUUGUUAUGCUUAGCUAGGGGCGUUAAACGAUAGCGCUUGUUGGGAGGAAACCCAAUUUUAUUUUUAUUCCUUGCUUUUUUUCCUAUUUAGUAAUAAAUAAAUUAUCUAGCCUCUGUUUUGGUUGUAUUUUUUGUGUUUAAUUAGUGUUUGUGCCAAGGAGAACCAUUGGGAAGACUUGGGGAAAGUCUUGUUGAACUUGCUGUAAAAAACAGAAACUUUACCACUCACUAGAAUUGCUGUCAUUUUUAUUUGGAGAGUGAUAUUUAGUUAAUUAUUUUUGCAGAUGAUUAAUAGAUAAAUUCCUCACGUCCAGCAAUUUAUUUUAGAAUUUUUGGGGGUUCCAGAUCUUGCGCUAGCUACAGAUUACUACAGACUAUUCUGUUUUUGACAGAUUCUGUUUUUCGUAUGUUUGUUUGCUUAUUUUGAUGAAUCUAUGGCUAGUAAAAUAGUUUAUAAAUCAUAGAGAAGUUGGAAUACAGUAGGUAUAACACCAAUAUAAAUAAAGAAUGAGUUCUUUACAGUACCUUGAAGUGGUCUUUUGUUUUCUUUCGCUAACGGAACUCACGAGAUUUUCUACUUUAAGUUUUGUGUUGUGAAGUUUUCAAGUUUUGGGUAAAGAUUUGAUGGAUUAUGGAACAAGGAGUGGCAAAGCCUAAGCUUGGGGAUGCCCAUGGCACCCCCAAGAUAAUCUAAGGACACCUAAAAGCCAAAGCUUGGGGAUGCCCCGGAAGGCAUCCCCUCUUUCGUCUACUUCUAUCGGUAACUUUACUUGGAGCUAUAUUUUUAUUUACCACAUGCUAUGUGUUUUGCUUGGAGCGUCUUGUAUUAUUUGAGUAUUUAUUUGUUUGUUUACCAAAUCAUCCUUGCUGUAAACACCUUUUGAGAGAGCCAUACAUGAUUUGGAAUUUGUUAGAAUACUCUAUGUUCUUCGCUUAUAUCUUUUGAGUUAUAUAAUUUUGCUCUAGUGCUUCACUUAUAUCUUUUAGAGCACGGUGGUGGAUUUGUUUUAUAGAAACUAUUGAUCUCUCAUGCUCCACUCAGAUUAUUUUGAGAGUCUUAAAUAGCAUGGUAAUUUUCUUAAAAGCCUAAUAUGCUUGGUAUGCAAGAUUAAUAAUAAAAUUUUCUUAUGAGUGUGUUGAAUACUAUGAUAAGUUUGAUACUUGAUAAUUGUUUUGAGAUAUGGAGAUGGUGAUACUAAAGUCAUGCUAGUUGAGUAGUUGUGAAUUUGAGAAAUACUUGUGUUGAAGUUUGUGAUUCCCGUAGCAUGCACGUAUGGUGAACCAUUAUGUGAUGAAGUCGGAGCAUGAUUUAUUUAUUGAUUGUCUUCCUUAUGAGUGGCGGUCGGGGACGAGCGAUGGUCUUUUCCUACCAAUCUAUCCCCCUAGGAGCAUGUGCGUAAUACUUUGCUUUGAUAACUUGUAGAUUUUUGAAAUAAGUAUAUGAGUUCUUUAUGGAUAAUGUUGAGUCCAUGGAUUAUAUGCACUCUCACCCUUCCACCUUUGCUAGCCUCUCUAAUACCGUGCACCUUUCGCCGGUAUCAUACACCCACCAUAUACCUUCCUCCAAACAGCCACCAUACCUACCUAUUAUGGCAUUUCCAUAGCCAUUCCAAGAUAUAUUGCCAUGCAACUUUCCACCGUUAUGUUUAUUAUGACACACUCCAUCAUUGUCAUAUUGCUUAGCAUGAUCAUGUAGUUGACAUAGUAUUUGUGGCAAAGCCACCAUUCAUAAUUCUUUCAUACUUGUCACUCAUGCAUCAUUGCAUAUCCUGGUACACCACCGGAUGCAUUCACAUAGAGUCAUAUUUUGUUCUAAGUAUCGAGUUGUAAGAAAAAUAAAAGUGUGAUGAUCAUCAUUAUUAGAGCAUUGUCCCAGUGAGGAAAGGAUGAUGGAGACUAUGAUUCCCCCACAAGUCGGGAUGAGACUCCAUACAAAAAAAGGAGAAAGAAAAGAGGCCAUGAAAAAAACAGAAAAGGCCCAAAUAAAAAAAUGAGAGAAAAAGAGAGAAGGGACAAUGUUACUAUCCUUUUACCACACUUGUGCUUCAAAGUAGCACCAUGAUCUUCAUAGUAGAGAGUAUCUCAUGUUAUCACUUUCAUAUACUAGUGGGAAUCUUUCAUUAUAGAACUUGGCUUGUAUAUUCCAAUGAUGGGCUUCCUCAAAUUGCCCUAGGUCUUCAUGAGCAAGCAAGUUGGAUGCACACCCACUCAGUUUCUUUUUGAGCUUUCAUAUACUUAUAGCUCUAGUGCAUCCGUUGCAUGGCAACCCCUACUCACUCACAUUGAUAUCUAUUGAUGGGCAUCUCCAUAGCCCUUUGAUACGCCUAGUUGAUGUGAGACUAUCUUCUCCUUUUUGUCUUCUCCACAACCACCACUCUAUUCCACCUAUAGUGCUAUAUCCAUGGCUCACGCUCAUGUAUUGCGUGAAAAUUGAAAAAGUUUUGAGAAUGUCAAAAGUAUGAAACAAUUGUUUGGCUUGUCAUCGAGGUUGUGCAUGAUUUAAAUAUUUUGUGUGGUGAAGAUAGAGCAUAGCCAGACUAUAUGAUUUUGUAGGGAUAACUUUCUUUAGCCAUGUUAUUUUGAGAAGACAUAAUUGCUUUGUUAGUAUGCUUGAAGUAUUAUUAUUUUCUAUGUCAAUAUGAACUUUUGUCUUGAAUCUUUCGGAUCUGAAUAUGCAUACCACAAUUAAGAAGAAUUACAUUAAAAUCAUGCCAAGUAGCACUCCGCAUCAAAAAUUCUGUUUUUAUCAUUUACCUACUCGAGGACGAGCAGGAAUUAAGGUUGGGGAUGGUUGAUAUGUCUCCAACGUAUCUAUAAUUUUUGAUUGCUCCAUGCUAUAUUAUCUACUGUUUUGGACAUUAUUGGGCUUUAUUAUCCACUUUUAUAUUAUUUUUGAGACUAACCUAUUAACCGGAGGCCGAGCCCAAAAUUGUUGUUUUUUGCCUGUUUUAGGGUUUCGAAGAAAAGGAAUAUCAAACAGAGUCCAAACAGAAUGAAACCUUCGGGAACGUGAUUUUCUCACCGAAUACAACUCAGGAGACUUGGACCCUACGUCAAGGCAUGUAACAGGAGGCCACGAGGUAGGGGGCGCGCCCUACCCUACCAGGCGCGCCCCCACCCUCGUGGGCCCCCUGUUGCUCCACCGACGUACUUCUUCCUCCUAUAUAUACCCACGUACCCCCAAACGAUCAGAUACGGAGCCAAAACCCUAAGUCCACCACCGCAACUUUCUGUAUCCACGAGAUCCCAUCUUGGGGCCUGUUCUGGAGCUCCGUCGGAGGGGGCAUCGAUCACGGAGGGCUUCUACAUCAACACCAUAGCCUCUCCGAUGAAGUGUGAGUAGUUUACUUCAAACCUACGGGUCCAUAGUUAGUAUCUAGAUGGCUUUUUCUCUCUUUUUGGAUCUCAAUACAAUGUUCUCCCCUCUCUUGUGGAGAUCUAUUCGAUGUAAUCUUCUUUUUGCGGUGUGUUUGUUGAGACCGAUGAAUUGUGGGUUUAUGAUCAAGUCUAUCUAUGAAUAAUAUUUGAAUCUUCUCUAAAUUCUUUUAUGUAUGAUUGGUUAUCUUUGCAAGUCUCUUCGAAUUAUCAGUUUGGUUUUGCCUACUAGAUUGAUCUUUCUUGCAAUGGGAGAAGUGUUUAGCUUUGGUUCAAUCUUGCGGUGUCCUUUCCCGGUGACAGUAAGGGCAGCAAGGCACGUAUUGUAUUGUUGCCAUCGAGGAUAACAAGAUGGGGUUUUCUUCAUAUUGCAUGAUUCUAUCCCUCUACAUCAUGUCAUCUUGCUUAAGGCGUUACUCUAUUUUUACUUAAUACUCUAGAUGCAUGCUGGAUAGCGGUCGACGAGUGGAGUAAUAGUAGUAGAUGCAGGCAGGAGUUGGUCUACUUGUCUCGGACGUGAUGCCUAUAUACAUGAUCAUACCUAGAUAUUCUCAUAACUAUGCUCAAUUCUGUCAAUUGCUCAAUAGUAAUUUGUUCACCCACCGUAGAAUACUUAUGCUCUCGAGAGAAGCCACUAGUGAAACUUAUGGCCCCCGCGUCUAUCUUUCUCAUAUCAAUCUCCUGCUACUUAGUUAUUUACUUUGCCUUUAUUUUACUUUGCAUCUUUAUCAUAAAAAAGACCAAAAAUAUUAUCUUAUCAUAUCUAUCAUAUCUCACUCUCGUAAGUGGCCCUAUAGGGAUUGACAACCCCUAUUUGCAUUGGUUGCGAGGAUUUAUUUGUUUUGUGCAGGUACGAUGGACUUGCGCAUAGCCUCCUAUUGGAUUGAUACCUUGGUUCUCAAAAACCGAGGGAAAUACCUACGCUACUUUGUUGCAUCAUCCCUUCCUCUUUGGGGAAUACCAACACAGUGCUAAAAGAGGUAGCAAUCACCUACAUUAAACUCACGCUUUUGUAUCCUUUUGUCGUGCCAUCUUUUAAGUUUUUCUUUAAACAACUUGGCAUUUUCGUAGGCUUGUGUUCUCCAUUCAUCAAGUGAGCUAAUAUCAAAUAAUCUCUUCUCACCGGCAAGUUUAAAAUCAUAAUUAAGUUCUUUAAUAUCCCAAUAAGCCUUAUGUUCUAGUUCGAGAGGUAAGUGGCAUGCUUUUCCAUAGACCAUUUUAUACGGAGACAUACCCAUAGGAUUUUUAUAUGCAGUUCUAUAGGCCCAUAAUGCAUCAUCAAGUUUCUUGGACCAAUUCUUUCUAGACCUAUUAACAGUCUUUUGCAAAAUUAAUUUGAGUUCUCUAUUACUCAAUUCUACUUGACCACUAGACUGAGGGUGAUAAGGAGAUGCAAUUCUAUGAUUAACAUCAUAUUUAGCAAGCAUUUUACGGAAAGCGCCAUGAAUAAAAUGUGAACCACCAUCAGUCAUUAAAUAUCUAGGGACUCCAAAUCUUGGAAAAAUAACUUCUUUAAGCAUUUUAAUAGAAGAAUUAUGAUCAGCACUACUAGUUGGAAUAGCUUCUACCCACUUAGUAACGUAAUCAAUAGCAACUAAAAUAUGUGUAUAACCAUUAGAGGAAGGAAAAGGUCCCAUAUAGUCAAAGCCCCAAACAUCAAAUGGUUCAAUAACAAGUGAAUAGUUCAUAGGCAUUUCUUGACAUUCAUCACAAGAUAAGACAAACUUAUGGGCAUCCUUGAAGAGAGUAGGCCAAUAAAAACCAGAUUGUAGUACCUUAUGUGCAGUUCUAUCUCCAGCAUGGUGUCCUCCAUAAGCUUCGGAGUGACACUUGCAUAGGAUCUGUUCCUGCUCAUGCUCAGGUACACAACGUCUAAUAACACCAUCUACUCCUUCUUUAUAAAGAUGUGGGUCAUCCCAAAACUAAUGUCUCAAAUCAUAGAAGAACUUUUUCUUUUUCUGGUAUGUGAAACUAGGUGGUAUAAACUUAGCAACAAUGUAAUUAGCAUAAUUAGCAUACCAUGGAGCAGUAUGAGAAGCAUUUAUGACAUUUAGUUGCUCAUCAGGAAAGCUAUCAUCAAUAGGAAGUGGGUCAUCAAGCACAUCUUCUAACCUAGACAAGUUGUCUGCAACAGGGUUCUCAGCUCCUUUUCUAUCAACAAUAUGUAAAUCAAAUUCUUGUAGCAAGAGAACCCAUCUAAUAAGUCUAGGUUUAGCAUCUUUCUUUUCCAUGAGAUAUUUAAUAGCAGCAUGAUCAGUGUGAAUAGUUACUUUAGAAUCAACAAUAUAAGGUCUGAACUUAAUUAUCACAAGCAAAUACAACUGCUAAGAAUUCUUUUUUAGUGGUACAUAAUUUCUUUGAGCAUUGUCAACGGUUUUACUAGCAUAUUGAAUAACAUUUAGUUUCUUAUCAACUCUUUGUCCUAGAACAUCACCUACAGCAUAAUCACUAGCAUCACACAUAAUUUCAAAGGGUAAAUUCCAAUCAGGUGGCUGAACAAUAGGUGUAGAAAUCAAUGCUUUCUUAAGUAUUUCAAAUGCUUCUACACAAUCAUCAUCAAAGACAAAUGGUAUAUCUUUUUGUAAUAAAUUAGUCAGAGGCCGAGAAAUUUUUGAGAAGUCCUUAAUGAACCUCCUAUAAAAACCGGCAUGACCAAGGAAACUUCUUAUACCUUUGAUGUCCUUGGGACAUGGCAUCUUUUGAAUAGCAUCAACCUUGGCUUUAUCAACUUCAAUACCUCUUUCAGAAACUUUAUGACCCAAGACAAUACCUUCGUUCACCAUAAAGUGGCACUUUUCCCAAUUCAAGACAAGAUUAGUUUCUUCACAUGUCUACAAAACUCGAUCAAGGUUGCUCAAGCAAUCAUCAAAAGAAGAUCCAUAGACCGAAAAGUCGUCCAUGAAAACCUCACAAAUCUUUUCACAAAAGUCAGAGAAUAUAGCCAUCAUGCAUCUUUGAAAGGUAGUAGGUGCAUUACAUAAACCAAAAGGCAUACGUCUAUAAGCAAAAGUACCAAAAGGGCAUGUAAAAGUAGUCUUUGAUUGAUCUUUGGCCGACACAGGUAUUUGAGAGAAACCAAAAUAACCAUCCAGAAAGCAAAAAUGUGUAUGUUUGGACAAUCUUUCUAGCAUUUGAUCGACAAAAGGUAAGGGGUAAUGAUCCUUUUUAGUAGCCUUAUUUAAUUUGCAGAAAUCAAUUACCAUCCUAUAACCUGUAAUAAUUCUUUGAGGAAUCAAUUCAUCUUUAUCAUUAGGAACAACAGUAAUACCUCCCUUCUUAGGGACACAAUGGACAGGGCUUACCCACUAACUAUCAGCAACGGGAUAAAUUAUACCUGCCUCAAGGAGCUUUAGUAUCUCCUUUCUUACCACUUCUUUCAUUUUAGGAUUUAGCCGGCGUUGAUGAUCAUGAACUGGUUUAGCAUCUUCUUCCAAAUUAAUUUUAUGUUGACAUACAGUGGGACUAAUGCCCUUAAGAUCAUCAAGAGUAUACCCAAUAGCAGCAUGGUGCUUCUUCAGAGUUUUCAAUAAUCUCUCUUCUUCAUGCUCUGAAAGGUUAUCACUAAUAAUAAUAGGAUAUAUCUUUUGCUCAUCAAGAUAAGCAUAUUUAAGAGUAUCAGGUAACGGUUAAAGCUCAAAUACGGGAUCACCCUUGGGUGGAGGAGGAUCCUCUAGGAUUUCAACAGGUAAAUUGUUUUUCAAAAUAGGUUCCUGUUUAAAGAAUACUUCAUAUAAUUCCCUUCUUUCAUUCAUAAACAUAUGAUUUUCAUGGUCUAGCAAAUAUUGUUCUAAAGGAUUAGUAGGAGGUAAGGCAAUAGAAGCAAGACCAAUAAUUUCAUCCUUACUAGGUAAUUCUUCUUCACGGUGUUGUCUACUAAAUUUAGAAAAAUUAAAUUCAUUAUCCAUAUCAUCUAAACCGAUAGUAACAACAUCUCUUUUGCAAUCUAUGGUAGCAUUAAUGGUAUUGAAGAAGGGUCUACCAAAUAUAAUGGGACAAAAGCUAUCUUGUGGGGAACCAAGAACAAGAAAAUCAGCAGGAUAUUUAGUUUUCCCACACAAGACUUCAACAUCUCUAACAAUUCCCAUUGGUGAAAUAGUAUCUCUAUUGGCAAGUUUAAUUGUGACAUCAAUAUCUUCUAUUUCAGCAGGUGCAAUCUCAUGCAUAACUUCUUGGUAUAAGGAAUAAGGUAUUGCGCUAGCACUGGCACCCAUAUCACAUAAGCCAUGAUAACAAUGAUCUCCUAUUUUAACAGAAAUAACAGGCAUGCCUACCAUAGGUAUAGGUUUAUCUUUAUCACGGGGUUUAGCAAUUCUAGCAGUUUCAUCACAGAAAUAAAUAACAUGCCCAUCAAUAUUAUCAGACAAGAGAUCUUUAACGAUAGCAAUAUUAGGCUCAACUUUAACUUGCUCAGGAGGUGUAUAUGUUUUAAUAUUGCUUUUAUGAACUACAGUUGAAUCUUUAGCAUGAUCCUUUAUCCUAAUAGGGAAAGGUGGUUUCUCAACAUAAGAAGUAGGAACAAUAGGAUCAUUAUAAGUGAUAGUCUUUUCUUCAACUUUAAUAGGUGCAACUACUUUUACUUCUAUGGGAGGAUGACAUUUAAACCACUUCUCCUUGGGGAGAUCAACAUAGGCAGCAAAAGAUUCACAGAGAGAAGCUACUAUCUCAGAAUCAAGUCCAUAUUUAGUGCUAAAUUUACGAAAAAUAUCGGUAUCCAUAAAAGAUUUAACACAAUCAAAAGUAGGUGUCAUACCUGACUCCUUACCAUUGUUGAGGUCCCAAUCUUCAGAGAUGCGUUUAAUUCUUUCCAAUAAAUCUCAUUUGAAUUCAAUAGUCUUCAUCAUAAAAGAGCCAGCACAAGAAGUAUCAAGCAUGGUGCGAUUGUUACCAGAAAGUUGAGCAUAAUUUUUUUGAAUAAUCACUUCUCUUGAGAGCUCAUGAUUGGGGCAUGAAUAUAACAUUGAUUUAAGCCUCCCCCAAGCUUGAGCGAUGCUUUCUCCUUCGCAAGGCCAAAAAUUAUAUAUAUAAUUGCGAUCACGAUGAACAAGAUGCAUAGGAUAAAACUUCUGAUGAAAUUCCAAUUUCAAUCGUUUGUAAUUCCAAGACCUCAUAUCAUCACAUAGCCUAUACCAUGUUGAUGCAUCUCCCCUCAAAGAUAAAGGGAAUACCUUAUUCUUAACAACAUCUUCGGGUAUACCUGCAAGCUUAAAUAAUCCACAAACUUCAUCCACAUAUAUGAGAUGUUCAUCAGGAUGUUUUGUUCCAUCUCCUAAAAAAGGAUUAGCUAGCAGCUUUUCUAUCAUACCUGCAGGAACUUCAAAGCAAGCAUUUUCAUUUUCAUUUUCAUUUUCAGUAGGUUCAGUAGGUUGAGGAGCAACUAUUUGCUCUACUGGUCGGGGUAAGGUACCCCGAACAAGCCCCUCAGAGGAUUACGUUCCAUGGUGACAAGUGAUAGUAAAUUUCAGCACACUAUAUAAAUUUUUCCUUACCAAAUUCCACCUACCAAAGGCGCUUCACUCCCCGGCAACGGCGCCAGAAAAGAGUCUUGAUGACCCACAAGUAUAGGGGAUCUAUCAUAGUCCUUUCGAUAAGUAAGAGUGUCGAACCCAACGAGGAGCAGAAGGAAAUGAUAAGCGGUUUCCAGCAAGGUAUUCUCUGCAAGUACUGAAAUAAGUGGUAACAGAUAGUUUUGUGAUAGGAUAAUUUGUAAAGAGCAACAAGUAACAAAAGUAAAUAAAGUGCAGCAAGGUGGCCCAAUCCUUUUUGUAGCAAAGGACAAGUCUGUACAAACUCUUAUAUGAUGUAAAGCGCUCCCGAGGACACAUGGGAAUAUCGUCGAGCUAGUUUUCAUCACGUUCAUAUGAUUCGCGUUCGGUACUUUUAUAAUUUGGUAUGUGGGUGGACCGGUGCUUGGGUACUGCCCUUACUUGGACAAGUAUCCUACUUAUGAUUAACCUCUAUUGCAAGCAUCCGCAACUACAACAAAAGUAUUAAGGUAAACCUAACCAUAGCAUGAAACAUAUGGAUCCAAAUCGGCCCCUUACGAAGCAACGCAUAAACUAGGGUUUAAGCUUCUGUCACUCUAGCAACCCAUCAUCUACUUAUUACUUCCCAAUGCCUUUCUCUAGGCCCAAAUAAUGGUGAAGUGUCAUGUAGUCAAUGUUCACAUAACACCACUAGAGGAGAGACAACAUACAUCUCAUCAAAAUAUCGAACAAAUACCAAAUUCACAUGACUACUAAUAGCAAGACUUCUCCCAUGUCCUCAGGAACAAAAGUAACUACUCACAAAGCAUAAACAUGUUCAUAAUCAGAGGGGUAUUAAUAUGCAUAUAGGAUCUGAACAUAUGAUCUUCCACCAAUUAAACCAACUAGCAUCAACUACAAGGAGUAACUAACACUACUAGCAACCUACUAGCACCAAUCCCGGACUUGGAGACAAGAAUUGGAUACAAGAGAUGAACUAGAAUUUUGAGAGGGGAUGGUGCUGAUGAAGAUGUUGAUGGAGAUUGCCCUCUCCCGAUGAGAGGAGCGUUGGUGAUGACGAUGGCGAUGAUUUCCCCCUCCGGGAGGGAAGUCUCCCCGGCAGAACAGCUCCACCAGAGCCCUAGGUUGGUUCCGCCUCGUGGCGGCGGAUUUUCGUCCGAGAAGAUGGUUUAUGAUUUUUUUUUUCUCAUCUAAAUACUCCAUAUAGCAGAAGAUGGCCACCGGAGGGCCACCAGGGGGCCCACGAGGUAGGGGGCGCGCCCAGGGGGGUAGGGCACGCCACCCACCCUCGUGGGCAGGGUGUGGCCCCCUGGUGAAGUUCUUGCUCUCAGUAUUUUUUAUAUAUUUGGAAAAUAUCUUCCGUGAAGUUUCAUGACUUUUGGAGUUGUGUAGAAUAGGUCUCUAAUAUUUACUCCUUUUCCAGCCCAGAAUCCCAGCUGUCGGCAUUCUCCCUCUUUAUGUAAACCUUGUAAAAUAAGAGAGAAUGGGCAUAAGUAUUGUGACAUAAUGUGUAAUAACAGCCCAUAAUGCAAUAAAUAUCGAUACAAAAGCAUGAUGCAAAAUGGACGUAUCAGUGGACAGUGCGCCAUUACUAGUUUUAACUAGUAAUGGCGUACUAUCCCAUGGUGCGCCAUUACUAACAAUUGUUUUUUAUUUUUAUUUUCAAAACUACUAAUGGCGCACGGUGGGUGUGGAGCGCCAUUACUAUGUCAACUAGUAAUGGUGCACUAUCCCAUGGUGCGUCAUUACUAACAAUUUUUUUCAAAACUACUAAUGGCGCACCACACACCAGGUGCGCCAUCAGUAAUAUGUCAAUAAUGGCGCACCUGUAUCUGGUGUGCCACUCCUAUAUAGCAGUGGCGCACCACAUACAUGGUGCGCCAUUAAUGUCCAUAUCAUCUAUAGCCAUUUUCCUAGUAGUGAGAGGAGCUCUCCCAUCGCGCCCAACUCACCAGAUCUGCAGCCUCUCCGACACAGCCAAGCUACGCCGUCCUACGCGCGCCUCCCCGCGCUCGAAUGCGGCUGCCCCAGCCCGUGCACGCACCAGCGCGGGAGCAGCGCCCUGGAUCCCGCCGAGAUGGGCAGCCCGCGCUGCUGGAGCUCAGAUGGGAGGAGGAAGUGCCCCGCCGCCGCCGAGCCGCGCGGGUUUGCCCAGCGACAUCUGCCAGCGGCGGCGAGGGGAAGAUGACCGAUGGAUCUACGCAAGCGGCGGCUAGGUUUUCGCCUCCCUGGCCGCCCACGGGAGCGACCCAGGAGCGUUUCCUGAAAUAUAGUCCACUCCCUUGAAUUACUAAGCCAAUUUUCCCAUAGUCUCCAUACUAAGUAGCCAUGCAGUUCUUCGACGAAAUCCUUCCACGGUUCAUAGCACAUAACCCCACCGGGCAGGCGCUCAUCAUCUCCACCGUCGUCGACCAUCCUCUCCAUGGCCAGGAAGCACUCCUUCCAGGACGUGCCAGAGCACCUCAACAACACCUCCUUCCACUAAGAUCAUCUCCAGCCGUGCCCCCAACAGGCCCUCCCGAGGCGUUUAUGCUGCGCCGGCGCCCAAAAUUCGGCCCACUCGCGCCCCUAGUAGCCCGUUUUUCGCCGGCUCGGGCUGAAACUGGUGUCGGCGGACCCAAACCGAACCCGGCGCGCUAGGGCGCACCUGGGGGCGCCGGCACAAGCGAAAAGGGGCAUGGGGCCGCUCUGUCUGCGAGUCGAGAGCCUCUUCCCACUGUUUCUUCCCGCCCUCGCCCCCACUUCCCUCUCAUUCUCUCCUUUCCUCCCGCCAAUCUCCCUCCCGCUCGCCUCCCAGCCGCCGCCAUGCCGCCGAAGAAGUACGUGAUCCCCCGCGCUGCGACCACCGCGUCUGCCUCCAUCGCCCAACCGAAGCAAAGGAGGCCUAGGGCGCCGUCGUCCAAGCCACCGGGCAUGACAAACACCGAGUGGAGGGAGGAAGUUCAGCGACGGGAGGCUGACACCGCCAACCGUCGGAACAGGGCAAUUGCCAAGAAGGCCCGUGACAACGCGGUGCGUGCCACUACAGCUACGGCGGACCAAGCCGAGGCCGAGGCGAAUCGCGUGGGGAUGACGAAUCCACCCGGCGGCCACGCCCAGUACGCACCCUGAAGCUAGCAAAGCGUCGGCUCUCCGUCCGGCUUCUCAUCGUCGCCGCAGCCAUGGCGAUGCACGCCGUCGCCAGGCUACGCUGACGGGGACGCGCACGGCGGGUUCAACCCCAACGUCACCUUCCCCCAUGGACACCCGGCCCAGCGCACGCCCCCGCCCCCCUUCACCAGCGUGCAGUACCCUCCAUACAACUACUCGCUGCCAGCUUAUGCGUGCUCCCCGAUGCCCCCUCUCCGCCGUGGCGCGCUGCCCUUCUCACAAGCUUCCACGUCGCACCUCGGCGACACCGACGAGACCGAUGCUGACAUGGACGACAUCAUCGCGGCAGGCUCGGCCGCGGCCGCCGCGUCCCUCGGGUUCGUGACCCCGGAAGACACGGUGGAUCUUAGCGACGGCAUGGACGGCAGUCUCGGCUACAGCGAGGAGGAGCCGGAGGAGGACGAGGAGGAGGAGGAACCGGCGACCGUUCCAGCGAGGAGGCGCAAGAAGAAGAGGGGGGCGGCCAGGACCGGCCAGCCGCGCAUCAAGUGGGCGUCCAAGGAGUAGGAAUGCCUCACCGAAGCGUGGAAAGUCGUCUGCCUCGACCCGACCACCGACACAAACCAGAGCAUCGAGACGUACUGGGAGCGCAUUAAGGCCGAGUUCGACGAGCACAAGCUCGUCGAUCCUUACUUCAAAGGCGUCUAGAUGCAGCGCGGGGCGAAGGCAAUGGCGAACCAUUGGGGGCUCAUCCAGGCGGCGUGCAAAAAAUGGCAUGGGGUCGUCAAGAAGGUCGCGGCUCGCCCGGAGAGCGGCACCAAUGUUGAGGAUUAGGUAUGGCACGCCGGUCUCCCGCUUCUCUUCGUCGUGUGCGCCCGCCAACUGUUUGUUCCUUCGCACAGCUGGUGCGCAUGUUCGCCUUGUAUCGCCUAGGCAACCGCGACCAAGAGUUCAAGUACAUCCACGUUUACAAGCGCAUUGACAAGUGCGAGAAGUGGGUAGAAGUCCAGCGCACCCUCGACAAGGCCAAGGAGACCUACAAGUCGGAUGCGCCAACGUCGGGCGCGUCAGAGGGGCGGCCGGACGGCAACAAACGGGCCAAGAAGGCGAAACACGCCGACGCGGCUACCGCGCGAGUGCAGGAGUCCAUCGAGCAUUACCUCGCCGACGCACAGGCUCGGGCCGUCCUGUGUGAAGAGAAGACCGCGGCGCGGUGGUCGGCGUUGAUGACGAGCAGCGCCGUCAAGCUCGACCUACUCCGGACCAACAUCGCCGCGAAGAAGAGGAACACCGACCUGGCUUUCCUGCUGGGCGGGGCGGACAUGCUCCAGAGCAAAGACGAGGCGGCCAAGACAUGGUACUUGGCAGAGUGUGGUCUCAUCCUGAACCAGCUGCCGUCGACGGCGCCGCCAACUCCCACGCCCAUGCCGCCACCGCCGCCAAGCUCGAGCGAUGAUGCCUACACGACUCCCUGCAGUACAGAAGCCAUGCCGACACCGCCCAACACAGAAGAAGCUCCGACCCCACCAAGCCCGCGCACGACCCCGCCAAGCCCGCGCACGCCAACUACGCCGACGCCGGAGGCCGACCUCGCCGUCUGAUGCGCUGCACGCGCACUCUUUCUUUUGUAAGCUGAACUUUUCAUUUGAUCGCCGAACUAUGGCCACAUGAUCGCCGUCUAUUUUGUGAGCGGGAAUGACUAAGUUUGAAUUUGCCGCGGGUUGGGGCGUCUGGGGGCAUGGCUGGGAGCUAGGUCACCCCCGGGGACCGAUCUAGCGCCGGUUCGCCCCAUGCCGCUCUUUUUUGACGCCUUGGGGGCUGAACCGCUGGAGAUUCUCUAAGUAGCCUAUAAUAGUGUAACACCCAUGAUGUGGCUAUAUCUCCCACGUGUCGGAGCACGACUUAGAGGCAUAACUGCAUAGUAGGCAUGUCGCAAGAGGGGUAAUCUUUACACAUCCCAUGUACUGAAUAAGAAAGGGAUAAAGAGUUGGCUUACAAUCGCCACUUCACACAAUACAUAAAUAUAGCAUUACAUCAUCCAGAAUACAAUCAAGGUCCGACUACGGAACCAAAUAAAGAAAGACAACCCCAAAUGCAUAGAUCCCCGAUCGCCCCAACUAGGCUCCUCUACUGAUCACCGGAAAGGAAACAUAAUAACGUCCUGAAUCCUCGUCGAACUCUCACUUGAGUUUGAUCGCGUCCCCUGCACUGGCAUCGUCGGCACCUGCAUCUAGUUUUUGGAAGUAAUCUGUGAGUUACGGGGACUCAGCAAUCUCACACCCUCGCGAUCAAGUCUAUUUAAGCUUAUGGGUAGGAAAAGGUAGUGAGGUGGAUCUGCAGCAAGCACUAGCAUAUAUAGUGGCUAACUUACGCAAAUGAGAGCGAGAAGAGAAGCAAAGCACGGUCGAUAAGCUAUCAUGAUCAAGAAGUGAUCCUGAAACUACUUACGUUCAAGCAUAACACGAGACCGUGUUCUCUUCCCGGACUCCGCCAAAAAGAGACCAUCACGGCUACACAUGCAGUUGAUUCAUUUUAAUUAAGUUAAGUGCUAGGUUUUCUACAACCGGAUAUUAACAAAUUCCCAUCCGCCCAUAACCGCGGGCACGGCUUUCGAAAGUUCAAAACCCUGCAGGGGUGUCCCAACUUAGCCCAUCACAAGCUCUCACGGUCAAUGAAGAAUAUUCCUUCUCCCAGGAAGACCCGAUCAGACUCGGAAUUCCGGUUACAAGACAUUUCGACAAUGGUAAAACAAGUCCAGCAAAAGCACCCGCUGUGCUGACAAAUCCCGAUAGGAGCUGCACAUAUCCCGUUCAUAGGGCACACCGGAUAAGCUAAGCGUACAGGAGCCAACGUAACCCAAGUUUCCAAGGGACGCCCCCGCACGGUGCUCUAGUUUGGACCAACACUCAGAGGAGCACUGCCCGGGGGUUUAAAAUAAAGAUGACCCUUGAGUCCGCGAAACCCAAGGGAAAAAGGCUUAGGUGGCAAAUGGUAAAACCAAAGUUGGGCCUUGCUGGAGGAGUUUUAUUCAAGGUGAACUGUCAAGGGGUUCCCAUUAUAACCCAACCGCGUAAGGAACGCAAAAUCAAGGAACAUAACACCGGUAUGACGGAAAACUAGGGCGACAAGAGUGGAUCAAAACACCAGGCAAAAGGCCGAGCCUUCCACCCUUUACCAAGUAUAUAGAUGCAUUAAAGUAAACAAGAUAUAAUAAUGAUAUCCCAACAAUAACCAUGUUCCAACAUGGAACAAACUCCAUCUUCACCUGCAACUAGCAACGCUAUAAGAGGGGCUGAGCAAAGCGGUAACAUAGCCAAACAACGGUUUGCUAGGAAAGGUGGGAUAGAGGCUUGAUAUAGCAAUAUGGGAGGCAUGAUAUAGCAAGUGGUAGGUAUCUUGACAUAGCAAAAGAGCGAACAACUAGCAAGCAAAGAUAGAAGUGAUUUCGAGGGUAUGGUCAUCUUGCCUGCAAAGUUCUCCGAGUUGACGUAAGCUUGAUCCUCGUAAGCGUACUCAACUGGUUCCUCAAUCACGUAUUCGUCUCCCGACUCUACCCAAAGCAAGAACACAAGCAAAGGAAACGACAAUCAACCACGGUGCAAUGCGCAAGCAACAAGAUGCAAAACAUGGCAUGAUAUGCGGGAUGUGAUAUGCAAUGCAUACGCGUGCUCUGGAAGUAAAAGAUUGAUCAAGGCAUCAACUUGGAAAACCAAGUGCGCCGCUGGAAAGAUGAGUUGAUUUCGGUCGAAAUCGAUAUAAAGAUCACCGGAAUCGGAUGCACGGUUUGCAAAUGGCAAGCAAAACAAGAAUGGCACAAUUCUGCGAUUAACAGCACGAUGCCAUCUAAAAUGCAACAAGAAACUAAUAUGUUGCACUCCAACAUAGCAACAAAGCACAUGGCAGUGAUCUACUCAAGAUGCUUGACAAAAGAUGAACACUGAGCUACGGCUAAAUCACACCAGAGCAGGUUCAAACAAGCAUGGCAAAUGUGCAAAAGAUAUCAGCUUCACAAACUUAGUGAAAAUACUAACAUGCCAGGAAUUAACAUCAGGAAGCAAUGUUUAUAGCAAGCAAACAACAUGCUACAGGAACAGAACAUAGAAAAAAAGACAUGGCAUGAAUCUACUCAAAGCAUAGAACAAAAGUCCAUUACUGACCAUGAGCCAAAGGGGCACAGAAAAUAUGAUGGCACCCAUGUAAACAUAGUAAGUUUCGUUAACAGAUUCAGACUUAGCAGAAAACAGAGCAUGGCAAAACAGAGUUAUGAAGGCCUCUUUGCGAGCUCGACUCACUCACCACAAGGCAUUUCAUGACAAACUAAGCAAACUACCAGCAAGAAGACAUGAUCAUUAAGCUAACCAAAGCAAGAACAAGUUUAUAGCAUGCUUGGAUCAACUACAACAACCUUGGCAAAAUUAAUUAAUACGUAAACAAUCUACCAGGAACAUUUUGUAGCAAAAGUAGAGCAAGAUUAAGUCAUGCUAGGGCACUCCAUAAAUGCAAACACGGGCAUGGAUGGAUAUAGCACAAUCAUAUGUACAAAUCAUCCUUACUGAACAUACUCAAAAGAAGCAUGGAUCUCACUGUAGCAACAUGAAUACAUGGCAUAAAAAUAACAGCAGGAAAAUGACAGUGAAAUUCUAAGUCCCUGAAAUCAGCAAUAUCAUGAGAGCUACUUUGCAUGCUUGUGCUCGUCACCACAAUGAUCACAAAAAUACAUGGCAUACACCCCUAUAAAGAUGGCAUGGCAUAACUCAAAACACAUGUAGAGCACAUGUUCAUAUGCAGCACACAACAAUUGUAGCAAAAAUGACAAAACCUCAUACUCUGCUAAGAAACAACAUCUAACAUUUUACAGCACUCUUGCAUCAGUCAUUUGGGCAUCAAGAUGGACUCAAACAAGCAGACCACAAUGGAACAAAAUGAAGAGCACAUCAUGAUGAAUACUUUGAUAUAUCAUGCAUGCAAAAUGGAGUUAUGGAUGAGAAGUUAUGGCACGUUGAAUAGGGCUUCAGAAUGCAAAAUAAAAUGACUAAGGAAAUCUGGAGAGUCAACCUGCUCAGAUCUAGGGUUCGGGCACGGAAUCCGAGGUUUGUCGGGAUCUCGCCGGAGUUGCAUCGCGGUGGCCCGAGUUUGCCAGAGAAGAGGAAGGAGAGGACGGGGAGGUUGGAUCCGGCNNNNNNNNNNNNNNNNNNNNNNNNNNNNNNNNNNNNNNNNNNNNNNNNNNNNNNNNNNNNNNNNNNNNNNNNNNNNNNNNNNNNNNNNNNNNNNNNNNNNNNNNNNNNNNNNNNNNNNNNNNNNNNNNNNNNNNNNNNNNNNNNNNNNNNNNNNNNNNNNNNNNNNNNNNNNNNNNNNNNNNNNNNNNNNNNNNNNNNNNNNNNNNNNNNNNNNNNNNNNNNNNNNNNNNNNNNNNNNNNNNNNNNNNNNNNNNNNNNNNNNNNNNNNNNNNNNNNNNNNNNNNNNNNNNNNNNNNNNNNNNNNNNNNNNNNNNNNNNNNNNNNNNNNNNNNNNNNNNNNNNNNNNNNNNNNNNNNNNNNNNNNNNNNNNNNNNNNNNNNNNNNNNNNNNNNNNNNNNNNNNNNNNNNNNNNNNNNNNNNNNNNNNNNNNNNNNNNNNNNNNNNNNNNNNNNNNNNNNNNNNNNNNNNNNNNNNNNNNNNNNNNNNNNNNNNNNNNNNNNNNNNNNNNNNNNNNNNCCGGGGUGCCCUGUGGCGCGUCCUGGUUCGUCGGGCGGCGGCGGGCGGACGUGUCCGACCCGAUCCGGAUGUGUCCGGCGGCGGGGGGGGAGAAAUUUAGGGUUUGGGACCCGAAUUUAAGGAGGGGUGCACAUAUUUAUACAUAGAAGGAGGUGGGAGUGUCCAAAUAAGGUGUAAUUUUCGACCACGCGAUCGUGAUCCGAUGGCGAAGGACAUGGGAUAGGUUUGGAUGGGUUAUUGGGCCACUUUGGAGGGGUGUUGGGCUGCAACACACACGAGGCUUUUUACGGUUCCCCGGUUAACCGUUAGAGUAUCAAACGAACUUCAAAUGGCACGAAACUUGACAGGCGGUCUACCGGUGGUGUACCAAGGCCUCUUGGCAAAUCUCGGUCCAUUCCGAGAAAGUUUAACACCCGCUCACGAAAAGAGACAAAAGAGGGCGCUGGAGGACGUAGGAGUGCCGGAUUGCAAAACGGACAACGGGGAAAAUGCUCGGAUGCAUGAGACGAACACGUGAGCAAAUGAGAUGCACAUGAAGGCAUGAUGUGAAAUGCAUGACAUGAGCAAAAUGCAAAACGAAGACAAAACUCAACCACGAAUCUCAUAACUUAAAGCCGGAAAUGCCAAGAGUUGGAAUACAAAUAUGAUAAGUUACAUCGGGGCAUUACAAAUAGAUCCAUUAGUAGUAGGUAAUAAACCGUGUACCCCGGUCGCCGGCCGGUCUGUAGCCCUGUAUAAUGUUCAGCGAGCCACGAUCAGGUGUACUCCCUUCGUCUAGGUGUGUAAAUCAUCUUACGAAAAUCAAAUAAUCCCAAAAUACUUAGACAUGGUACAUUAACUCGCAUGUCGUUUCUUGUUUCAUAACAUAUCAACUAAUAAGAGUUGUGGGCCAUGUAUGCUUUAAAUUACUUGAGCUAUCAAACACGACAUGCAGUGGCUAGUUCAUUGCAUGCAAUGUUAUUAAUUAGCAAAAAACAUUAAGUUCUCUCGUUUUCCCCUUUACCUUGGUCGUGGUGCACAAAUAAGAUGACUUGCACACCUAGACGGAGGAAGUACUGCGCUUCCUUCUGAUAAUGUAUGGAAUAAUGUGGUCAUGCUUUCCAUCUUAGUAUCUUUCCAGACAUCUUUAAUUAACAACUAGAAGUACUUUUUGUACUACAACUCUGGUGCAGGUGUACUCACUCAUCUCACCUUUUUUUACCAUUUGACAUGCGUCAGAGCAUUGCAAAAGACCGAGAGAACACUAGACUAAUAGUUCAUUCUUUUUGAACUCGUACUACUUUCCUCUGUUCUGUCACGAAAUGCCACCUGACCUCACACUUUAAAUCUUUUUGAUACAGUUUAUUAUUGGAUGCCUUGGCAAAUAAGGAUGGAAAUUUUAGCAGUUUGGAAACAAGCUUUCUGUACUAGCGGAGCCCNNNNNNNNNNNNNNNNNNNNNNNNNNNNNNNNNNNNNNNNNNNNNNNNNNNNNNNNNNNNNNNNNNNNNNNNNNNNNNNNNNNNNNNNNNNNNNNNNNNNNNNNNNNNNNNNNNNNNNNNNNNNNNNNNNNNNNNNNNNNNNNNNNNNNNNNNNNNNNNNNNNNNNNNNNNNNNNNNNNNNNNNNNNNNNNNNNNNNNNNNNNNNNNNNNNNNNNNNNNNNNNNNNNNNNNNNNNNNNNNNNNNNNNNNNNNNNNNNNNNNNNNNNNNNNNNNNNNNNNNNNNNNNNNNNNNNNNNNNNNNNNNNNNNNNNNNNNNNNNNNNNNNNNNNNNNNNNNNNNNNNNNNNNNNNNNNNNNNNNNNNNNNNNNNNNNNNNNNNNNNNNNNNNNNNNNNNNNNNNCAUAAGGGCAUCUCGAACGCGGACCCCCAAACCGUCUGCAAACGUUCAAACCAUGCGGUCCAGACAUGUUAUGUCAUCCAACGUGGUUCUGUAUUGGUCCGCUUGGUGGUCCUGACACACUUUUUCUGGCAAAUCGGAGAACUUGGGGAGGGGGGGGGGGGCUUUGUAGGCAUCCAGAAUGCUGCCACGUCCACUCCUAAGUGGCAUGGCCCACCAAAUAACCCCACCCGCAUCUCCCGUGCUUUCCUUUCAAUGCACACGCCGCUUCCCGCGCCGCAUCAUGGCCGGCCCAGAGCACGCAGCAGCCGGCAUUGAUGUCAUGUGAUGUGAUAGUACGGAAGGGCGGCGUUGACUGAUGCGACCUCUCGGGAGUCGCCGCUUCAAUGCAGACGCAUCUUCCCGACGAACCAAUUUCGACCGCUGCGCCGCAUUGAAGCAGCUGACCGUCUGUUCUCAUUUCCUAGCCGUGGCCUUAUAAGCUGUGCUCCGGCGCUGUCCACAUCGCUCCGCACAUCCUCCUCCUCCCAUCCCUUCUUCCUCCACAACUCCGGCGAUGGGCAAGUCGUGGGCCUCCGUGCCGGCAGGCGGGCGGCUCCGGAGGAUCUUGGCGAUGCCGCCCACAAACCCCGGGGUUGUCGUCCUCAUCGGCGGGCGGCUCCUCGCAGAAGGCAGAGAUCAUCAUCUCCUCUGGCGACGAGGAGGACCAGUCAGCACCGGUGUUCGCCGUCAUGGAAGAGGAGUACGAUCAACAGAUGAAGGUAAUGCUAUGUCGCUCCUUCCUCCACGUCAAUGGCCCGGUGGCUCCACCGGAGACGCUCCUCCGCAUGAAGCCUGAGCCCACCUACCCCCUGCGCUCUCCCUCGCGCAACUGCGGUGUCCGGAUCGGAUGUCGCAUCAAGGACAAGCCCCUCUCAUCGCGGCGAUGCACCAAGCAUGAGCGACUCUCUCCGCCGCCCCACCACGUGAAGGAGGAGUCGCACUCUCCGCCGCCCCCAUUGAGUCAAGGAGGAGCACCGAUCACCACCGCCCUUGCCCCGUGCGAUCACCAUGAAGGUGCGCAGUCGCAUUCGCCACUAUCUCGGUGGUGGCAACAGUUCAUCAUCCCGGAGCAUCGUAACGGUGUAGGAGUACGCCGACAGGGAGCGACGCCGGCGGGAUAGGCACAACGCGGCGCGCCAGUCUGAGUUCAUGGACUCCGAUGUUCUGCCGCCACACAUCGCGGCGGACCAGGACCUGACAUACACCUAGGUCCUGGAUCGCUCCAUGACGAUGGUGAGCAAGUGCCAUCUUCGUCACCUCGACCAGGAGAUGGCCCAGUACAACGAAGAGUGGUCUCUCAGUGAGAUUGUUGUCGCCAACGCUGCCUCCUCCAAGGCCCGCCACCAUCUCCCCCUGUCCACAUCAUCGGUGGCCGCGGCCGCAUUGUGCACAAUGGAGCAGAAAGCGGGGAGAAUCAUCUGCGAGCGUCAGGCGGCUACCGGGAAGCCCUGCCGCGACGCCGCACCCUUCCGCCGCCCGAAGCCCAACGACGUCGAUGAUGGAAACGACUCCGGUGAUGGUGCCAGAGGAACUGCUGGCCAGCCCGGCACGGUCUACGAGGUCACCAUGAAGUAUAGGGUAGUGUAGGAUUAGGUUUUUUUAAGGUUUUUAGUUCAUCGUACGAAAUAUUGUCCGGUUUUAUAAAAAAAAAUAUUUAAGUUUAAAUGAAUAUCGUUCGGUUUGUUUGAGUUUGCAUCAAAUUUGGUCAUUUUCAUUAAAAUUCAUUUAAAGUGUAAAUGGACAUAUGCGCCUAACUUUGGAUGGUCGCCUCAUGUAUCCGUGUCCGCGAACUAGACCCCCUGUUGGCAGACGGAUUCCACAGCAAAUUUGCGGGACAACGUUGGAGAUGUCCUAAGAGUAUCUAAAACCGGAGCUCCAAUAUCUAUUCUAAACUUCUCAAAUUGCUUAAUCAAAUCCCACUAAGUUACUAUGGUAGCGUCUACAUGCAAUUGACAGUAAAACCCGUCACUAAUUGUCAAGCUACCAUCUGGCAGGCGUUCGUUGUGACAUCCAUGCCAAAUCUUCAACAACAUCAUGAAGCUGCUAGGUGGCACCAACCUAACCAAAGUAGCAUGGCAUGGCCACACCAUUUGAAACCCAAAUGGGAAUCACAAAACAAUUACAAGAUAAUGGUUGAUUUCUUUACCCGAUAGGAGACAUUAUACUUUCAUCGUGCUCUAGAGGCCGCCGUCCCUCGCCGCUGUCAAGAUCCAGGCGAAUGGAGGUUGUGGAAGCAAUGAGUGGGAAAUAGAUCAACGGGAGGACGUGAUUGAAAGUGGCCGGAAAAAGGGGCUCUAAUGACCAAAACUUAGGGAGGUGCAAUGGUGCAGGUGAGCCCACAAUUAAGAAAGACACACAUAAGAGUGGCAAAAAUGGAAAUCAUGGCCUUAACAGAGAGCAGUGGCGGAGACAGGGGCACGAGCAGGGCCUGGCCCCCCUAUCAAUCGACAAUUCUUUUGGCUGCUACGAGUAAUUAGUGUUGGAUAAGGGAAUACAUGUUGUUGCCACCUUAACUCAAACGACGGUGAAAACUGAGAGUAUAAAAUCUGGAAAAAAAAAAAGGCCCAUAAGAAAGCCCAUUUAUGCCCACGGCCUUCUCCAUUCCUAGUACGCUCCCGGCUUUAUUUUAUUAUAUCCUAAAAAAGGGGAGCUUUAGGCGAGACUUCCUAUACGACGCAUUUUGCAUCAAAUAGGAACCCAAUGCACAUGGGGGCACGCUAACUGGGCCGGCCCACACGGUGUGAGAUGGAAAAUGGCAAAUGCGAAAAAGGAGAGUUGGCGGGAUUCGUACCUAUGACCGCACGCUUUUGUGCGAGUGCGGCUAGCCAAAGCGCCUAUCAAGUGUUAAUGAUGAAACUACAACACGAUACUAGAAGACCAAAAUCCAGCCCCAAAACAUAACACUUGGAAAACAAUCGUGAGCAGAUUUCUAAAAGAUGGAGCAAAAAAAUUGUACUUCCAAACAAUCAUGACAGAAACGACAAAAUUUUCAAAACUGAUGAAUACAUUUUAAUUUUGAACACAAAAUUGAAAAUCCCGUACAUCAUUUGAAUUUAGAGAACAAAAUUUACACAUGAGAUUUUUAAAAUCCCGAAUAUGUUUUGAAUUUAUAGAACAAAAUUUUGAAAUCAAGAACAAAAUUUGAACAUGGGGACAAAAAAUUAAAAACGCCGAACAUUUUUCAAUUUAGACAUUUUCUAUUAAAAUCAAGACCAAAAAUUUAACAUGGGAACAAAAAAUUGAAAAUCCCGAACAUCUUUCGAAUUUAGAGAAUCAAAAUUUGGACAUGGGAUUUUUUAUUAAAAUCCCGAAUAUGUUUUGAAUUGAGAGAACACAAUUUUGAAAUCAAGAACAAAAUUUGAACAUGGGGACAAAGCUAAAAACGCCGAACAUUUUUCAGUUUAGAAAUUUUCCUUUAAAAUCGAGACCAAAAAUUUAUCAUCGGAACAAAAAAUAAAAAAACGAACAUUUUUUGAAUUUUGAGAAGAAAAUUUGAAAAUUCAAAAGUUCUGAACAAUUUUUGGAAAUGCAAACAAUUUUUAAUACAUGAUAGUAGAAACAUUUUCGAAAAUAUGAAAAUCCUAUAUGUUUUAUGAAUGUUCGAUCAUUUUUUGGAAAGAAGCAAACAAAAAUUCUGAUCAAAUGAACAUUUUUCGAACUUCUGAACAUUUUCCAAAUUUCUGAUUUUUUGUAAAGCAGGAACAUUUUUUGAAAUUUCGUAUAGUAUUUGUAAAAAUAAGAUUUUUUUUAAUUUUCUAAAAAAAUCUGGAAAACCAAAAUAAAUUUGAAAAGCAAUCUGAAAAACAAAGAAAGGAAAACAGGAAAGGAAAGAAAAAUACAGUUAAUAAAAUAAACAGAAAUUGGAAAAGUAGAGAAAAGAAAAAAGGGAAAAUUAAAAAUAAAAAGAAAAAAUAAACAGAACAGAAAAAAAAGCCGGCUUAGGGGCCUUCUAGAAGUUUCCCUAAACCGAAGAAAACUGGCUGGAAACAUCUAGAAGGUUCCCAAAACUGGGAAAGCUGAAACACCUAAACGGGCCGGCCAAUCCUAACGCGACCGAUUGAUCCCUAUGCGAAACAGCAACACCUUGACGCAAAGCGCGUCAAAUAGGAAUUUCCAAUUUAGGCGCCGCAUCAGCUUCGUGGCGCCCGUGCGCCCCCGCUCGUGGACUGGCCCAAGCGCUCGACAACUGGUUCCCUGCUUCGCUCUCAUUCGAUCGUGUUGACUGGGCGCGGUUGACCAGCUGUCAACCGUUGACUUUAGAAACAAACACGAUUUGUUUGUGAGAAACGUGAAUUAAAAAUGUACACGGGUUUUCAAAAAAAUUCAAAAACUAGUAGAAAGAGAAAUCCAAUAUUAGAAAAAGUUCACAAAAUUGAAAAAACAGUUCAUCAAUUUAGAAAAAAGUUAAUGGUAUUUGGAAAAAAAUUAGGAAAAGGUUCAUCAAAUUUGGAAAAAGUACAUCGAUUUGGAAAAAAAUUAUCGGAUUUGAAAAAACGUUCAUCGGAUUUGAAGAAAGUUCAUCUCACCAAUUUUGAAAAAUGUUCAUUAAAUUCGAAAAAAGUUCAUCAAAUUUGAAAAAAAAUUCCAUGAACUUUGAGAAAAGUUCAUCGAAUUGUAAAUAUAGUUCAUCAAUUGAAAAAAGUUCACCGAAUGGAAGAAAGGUUCACCGAAUUUUAAAAUGCAAUAAAAAAGGAAAAAUAAAUAGAAAAAUGGAAAAAAAGCGAACUGGGAUAAGAGAAAAGGAGAAAAAAAAGUUGUUAUGCACGAAGUGAGCGAUAUCCGUAUUGGUUAGCGCGCUGAGUUAGGAACGUAGAGGUCUCGAGUUCCAUUCUUUGUAUGCGCUCAAUAUUUUUGCAGUUUAAAACGGAAUAAGGAAAAACACCAAUGGGCCAGCCCAGCUCGGAGGGGGUGUGUGUGCGCCGGUUGCGAAUUGUACGUUAGCGGGGGCUACGGGCGCCGUUUAGGAAUCGCCUAAAAAAGGUUUACCCGGCGUGAUUAACGUACGACUUGAGGCGAUUACAUCCCAGAAAAAACUUGAGGUGAUUAGAGCUGGCGGCGGCCGCUGCCUAAUCAGGCGCCACCAGCACCGCGAUUGGUAAUCUGUAGACUAGACUCUUUCAAUAUUCUAGCGGUCCAGCGCCAAGGUUAGCAUUAUUGAGUGCUACCCCUCUCAACUAUCAUCUUGUACGUGUUAAAAUUAUACAUCGAAUUUUAGUUAUUUUGAUGACAAGGUCAAUGAUUAUAGUUCAUUUUUAAUUUCAUUUGAUUGUUUGUUUUGUGAUGUGAUCAUGAAGAGCAAAACAUCAUAAAGAUUGAUUUUUAAACACAAGGCUAAUGCGCGAGUUACCAAUCCUAGUCCAAUGGAAUAUUACUUACUUUGAAAUUACAUGAUGAUAUACAUUCAUAGGAAAUUACUAGCAAUUAGGUUAUCUUUGGAUGAAAUUAUUAAUAGUUUUUUAUCUUAUUGGUAGUUGUAGGAAAAAAUUAAACUAAUACAAAUGUACUUGUGUUUUGCGUUGAAACGAUACAUUAUUAUGGUACUUAUUUUUCACGUUGCACAUAUUUUUUUUUACAACUUGGCUCGGCUCCGCCUAUACUCAAAUCCUGGCUCAGCCCCUUAUGGAGGGCUCCCACAUCGACAAGAACACUCAAAGAGUCUUGUCAUCAAUAUUGGUUGGUACACGUCAGAGUGGAAAAUGGAAAUUAUGGCCUCAAGAGUGGGCCCCCCACAUUGCCCAAAGGGGCCAAUCGAGUCUCCUGGUGGUUGUUGUUGAUGUGGUGAAGUGGAGGGUCCAAAAUGGGAGGAAACGACGCAAAGUCGAUGGUAACUGGCAGUGACGACUUGUGGGGGAAUGCAUCUAAUUUUUAAAAAAUCCCUAGUGGCCCAAAUCGAAAUAUGGAAGCUUAAGUGGCAGGACUCAAAUAUGCAAUUUCGGUAGUCGCAUAGACCAAUUCUUCCCCAAAAUAUGAUAUGAAAACUUUUUUAUGAUGGGUUUGAGGAUAUUGAUCGGUAUCGUACAUGUUAAUAUUUCUUUCUUAUAAACUAGAUCAAAGUGUAAUCAAACAAAACAAAUAUGCAUUCUAUUUUGAAAUGAGGGGAGUAGGUGGCUAUUUCUUGGUACUAGUACCAAUGACAUUUUAUUGGACUAGGUAAUUGCCUGUGCAUUGCAACACGGCCGAUCUAUCACUAGUAGAAAAGGAGCCAUUUGUCCCGGUUCAAGAGGGCCUUUAGUCCCGGUUCUGGAACCGGGACUAAAGGGUCGGUACUAAGCUUGAGCAUGAAGUCACACAUUUCACAGUUUGAGUUUGAAACUAUUAUUCUAAAAAAUAAUAAUUAUUUAGUAACACAAAUAUUUCUUGAAUAAGCAGUUUGACCAUAGUUUGACCAGAUUUGACCAAAAUUCAAAAAAUGAAAUAAUUAUUUAGUAACACUAAUAUCCUUGAAUAAUUAUUUAGUAACACUAAUAUCCUUGAAUAAUUAUUUAGUAACACUAAUACUUCUUGAAUAAGUAGUUUGACCAUAGUUUGAUCUGAUUUAACUAAAAUUCAAAAAAACUGAAAUUUGAGCAUAUCUUUUUUUUCUUUUAGAAUUUGAGGAUUAUAAAAAUUUGCAAACAGGCCGUAGGCGGUCAAAAUUGGAUGCGGAUUUUCGUGCUGAUAUAUUAUACAUUUUUUUUCCGACAUCGUAUGCAAAAGUUAUAGCCGUUUUACUUUUUCAUAACACUUUUUUGCAAAGCAUGUCCAAUUUUAAGUUUUUUAGUUUUCCUAACUAGCAGAUGUAGUAAUAUAACUACAUCUCGAAGGAUUUUUUUGAAGUUUUUAUCAGUUUCUUUUGUUUUACUCAAAAUUUAAAUGGCGAUACGUGCCGGUGGUGGGGGGUAAAGUUUGAGAAAUGGGCCCUUUAGUCCCGGUUUGAAACACGAACCGGGACUAAAGGGCCCAUUUGAACCGGGACUAAUGCUCACAUUAGUCCCGGUUCGUAAUGCAACUGGGACUAAUGUGUAUAUUGUCAUGUGACCGAAGCCCUGUUUUCUACUAGUGUAUUCUGAUGGUUCAUGCACAUCAUGACAUUUUUUGCUUAUAGUACCGCAGGAUCACUCUUCUUCCUCAAUCUCUCACUCACCCCCCGUGCGCUCUCUCUCUCUCUCUUCUUCCACCUUGUCUGAAUGUUAGAUAGGAAUACUUGCCUAGAGACCAGAUGUCGGACUUGGAGCCAAAUGGAAUGUCAGCAAGAAGUUCAGGGCAUAUGUAACUGGGCGUUCCUACAACCUUCAAAAGAGACAUGGUAUAUCAAAUCAUAAGCAACUUAGAAAGAGAAAGACAUACAUAGGGGCAGUGGCGGAGCUUGGCCCAGAAAACUGGGCGGGCCGACAGUAGGAAAGAACUAUUGGGAUGGUGUUUCAUGGCCCAAAAGUAAGUAUACACUACAGAAAAAUCGAAUGGGCUGGGCGGGCCACGGCCCAUUCGGCCUUGCUGUAGCUCCGCCACUGCAUAGGGGUUGAGCAAGAACAACUUACUGAUGAAGCUAAAUCAUCCGAAGUCAAUACUUUUGCCAAAAUCACCUAUGUCAGACAACAUAUAUUCAAAACACAAAAUUUGUCGUCAGUUCAUACAAGUAUUCACAGUGCAGUUAUUUCCAUUUAUUUUUUCGUGAGAGCAUACUUACCGAGCCGUAUAAUUUGGUCCUUUGUAAGAAAAAAAAAACAAUGCAUGGUGAGUAACCUGCUAGGAUUAACUGAACUGCAAUUAUCAAAUAAAGUCGCUACGUACUAUUAUCAGAAGUUGUCCCAGGCCCUUGAGUCGCCCACCUCCCAGGGCAACUCGGGUGACGGUGAGAUCUAGUCCACCAGGUCCCUCUCACACCUUCUCUCCCCCCUCGCCGCCGCUCUAUGGACUCGGCAGGGCUAUGCACGUGCAGAUCCGGCGGCGGCGGGGCCCCUGGCACCCUGGUGUGGCUUGUCGGGCGGCUCAAGCGAUGGGUGGACGACGCGGCGCUCCUCCGCCCACGUCGCUAGGCCCAGUGGUGGUGGAGGACUGUGAUGGUCGUUGUUGUGCGCCCAUGUCACCACAAUCCUCUUCUUCAAGAAUGGGAUCCUGCCCAGAUCCAUGGAGGAGGCGUGGUGGGCGCAGUGCGGGCGCACGCGCGCGGAUGGCGUCCAAUCUGGUAGCAUGAUCAACCAUGAUGGUGGCGGUGGCUACCUCCGGCGGUCAGGUGUCCUUCACGCUGAUUUUGUCCGGUGGGCGGCUUGGCGGCGCCUCCAGCCAGAUCCGAUCUAGCCGGUGCAGCCGGUGGUGGUCGCCAUCUCCUCCAUCGGAGGUGGUCGGUCUGAGGCUGGAUGAUCAGAUCUCGAGAUCUGUCAUCUAGUUCCGGCUGCGAGUCGGGAUGACAUUGUUGCCGGUGAAAACCGAGCCGAUGGCAGGCGAUGACGGCGUUAUGCGCCAUUACCUUGAUGAAGGCAUCGUCAUGCAACGACUGUCGACCUACUCGUGCUGCUCCGGAGGAAACCCUAGGAUCUGGCCUUGCAGAUCGGACGAUGACGGUACUGCGGUGUCGUUUCUCUCUUGGGAGCAUCAUUUGUGAAGCAACGCUGGAAGACAGAGGCAGGAGAUGGAGCGGCUUCGUCUGGCACGGAGGUUCGAUGGGAUGUCUAAGUCAUGCCUGACUGACAGGUGCUAUGAUGUGUCAUGCCUGGUCGGCAGGUGCUACGCACGACAGAUCUUUCAUAAUCUUUGUAUCUGGAUUGACGAACGUGGGGCGAUGGCGCUGUUAGGUGCCGUGGUGGCGUUGACGGAUGGACGGACUGACAAGGAUGAUGUGGAUCUCUCUCUUGAAGAUGGGUCAGCAGUCCGAUGAUGAUGACGGCGUCUAAAACGUGUGCAUAUGUGGUGUACACUUUAGGUCUACUGCAUCAAUUGUUCAUUCCGAUACUUAUGUGGAUGGAUCGGCGACGACACCGGUUUAGAUAUGGGGAGUGAGAGAUCUCCACAUAAUCAAGUUUUGUAGGUGUAAGUGGUGACUUCGAGUGGUUUGAUGUAUAUUCUUGUUAGACCUUGGUGAAAUAAUAAAUAAAGAUGGCCGCAUGCAUCGCUUGAUGCAGAGGCCGGGGAUUUAAACCUCUUUUUCCAAAAAAAUAAUAUUAUCAGAAGUUGAGCAACUAAAAAUGCAUGGACAGACUCGCUUACUUUAUUGCCUGAUCAGGGCGGCUUGGGAAGGCCGGCGGCUCCACAACGUGUGGGCACUAUGAGAAGAGUUGUGAUGUUGCUCCUCGUCACUGGUUAAUUGUCCAAUGCUACUGCCACACAAUUUUGCAAACACGGUAAUGAAAAGGCCAAACCAUAACUCCACGCUUACCUUAGAAGGCAGAUCAACAAUUAAAAUUGAGUCAGUGAUUAGAAUCCUGCAGCCUCGCGUGGUUGUUCAUUGACACAACAGAUAGAACUACUGCUAUGAAGAGAAUCAAUCUAAUAGAUACGUGUCCCUGGAAAGAGUAUGAACUUGGGAUUCCCAAUUGGCGACGGCUUGGUCGUCGGACGAGCACAUGCGCGCAUAUGUCCUGGACGAGCUUUUCGGCCAGGCCCAGGCGUCUCCUCCUAGCACCGAUGUUGCGGACCCGCCUCAAACCUGAACCAUAGAUUGAUGCAACCGUGAUGGUCCUCAUCACAUUUUAGAUUGAUGCGGCAGUGUCGGGCUCAACACGUAGCGGCAUCCGGGCAGGGGCAUGUACUGUGGAGUGUGCCGUCAAUGACUGCCAACACAGGUCGGUGUUGGCUUAAGCUCAUUCACUGCUGGGCUGUGUAGCUUAGGGUCAUUUUGCUUUUCUGUUUUGCUGUAAUAAUGUGUGUGCAUGGACAUGACAUGCGCAUGCACGUAGAUGGUGAUGUGUGGCGUGCUCGCCCACUCCCAACUCCUUCCUAGUUUCUCUCCCAGUGGACUUGGUGCUUUGAUUCGUGGUCGUGGGAUGGCGCGGCCGGCUCGGAUCAUGGCAUGCCCACCGGGAGUUGGUUAGCUAGGCCGUUGUAUCUAGCAUAUAGGAAGGAAGAGAAAUAACAGAAGAAAAACUGUGAGGUUUGACAGCGCAAUACCCUCUCUCUCUCGCGAGUUCUCCAUCCUCUCUCCCUCAUGCUCGAUCCGGCAACGACAGUCGGCUGGGCGAGAGAGGAAGGAGGAAGACCGGCGAUGAUAAUUACAGAGAGUCAGAAGCAGCAGCAUGGGUGACAGGGUGGUCGGUGGUGCGUUGGUGCGUUGCAGGGAGGCAUCAAGGGCGGCGGCGGCAUAUGAGUGGCUGGAGGCGGCCGUCACUAGUAAAAAACAGGGCUUUGGUCACGGGGCAGUUUUCACAUUAGUCCCGGUUCAGUUAAGAACCGGGACUAACGUGACCAUUUAUCCCGGUUCGUACGGCUAAGGCAUUACUCCCGGUUUACCUAGGUCCUUUAGUCCCGGUUCGUGCCACGAACCGGGACUAAAGGGUGUGAUGCCCAUUAGUCCCGGUUGGUGGCACCAACCGGGACUAAAGGUUAGACCUUUAGUACCGGUUGGUGCCACCAACCGGGACUAAUGGGUUUUGAGGCAUUAGUACCGGUUCAUGGCACGAAUCGGUACUAAAGGUCCCAUUUCAAAACUCCCCCGACCGCCUUUUCAGUUUUAGAAAAAACAAAAGAAAAUGAUGGAAAUGUCAAUAAAAUAAAAUAAAAUAAGUUUCCCAUGUGAUAUGUGGUCUACUUGUUGGGAAAAUUUACAAAUAUGAAUUUCGACUUUAUUUGCAAAAUUUCUUUGGAAUUUGUAAAAUGGGCAUAACUUUUGCAUACGAACUCGGAUUAAAAAGUUUUUUAUAUGAAAAAUCAUCUACUCGAAAAGUUACAUCCGAAUUUAACAAGGGGACAAUUAUCGUGGUCGAGAUUAAAACCAACCGGGACAAAAGCCCCUUUUUCUACUAGUGCGUGCAUGAGAGCACGAGGCGUACGGGGAGGCGCCGAGGGUUGGGUGUGGCUAGCGCCGACGCUAAACCUAGCGCAUCAUCGUGGUCGAGAUGGGGUCUCGUGGUUUUGAUAGGCUUAGCCCAUGUGCGACUGUGCGGACGAUGUUGACGAAAGGAGGAUGAAACGAUGGGCGAAGCGAAGAGGCCCGGUCAGUCGGCAGCAAAAGACUUUACUAGACUUGGAGUCAUUUUGUGGGCGAUUUGCAGCUCUAGGAGAAAAUUGAUUCAUGAAGGGGUGCACCAAACACCAUACGCAACAAACGCAUUCGUGGUCUCUUUCAUCAACGAUCUCCAGGUGCUAGCGAAGCCACAUGGGCAGCCUAGGGCGGCGCAGCCCCGCCCGGGUAAGUGGGUGCCACCCCAAGAAGGCACAUGCAAGAUUAAUGUCGAUGUUGCGCUCAUGAGGACCAGGCCGGUUGGUGCAGUCACAGCGGUGUGCAGAAAUAGGCAUGGGGUUUUUUUGGGCGCGUCCAUGAUUACCUUUCAUGGUCUUGCUGAUCCUACGACGCUAGACGGCAGUACGGGAAUCACUCGCAUUGACAAAUGAUCUUUAUGAGCGCAGGAUUUCAAUGGCCUCAGACUGCAAAGUGGUCAUAUUGAUGAUAUCGGGCAGAUGAGUGCAGCGGCAUACGGAGCUAUCAUUAGGGAGAUUGUAGAUCGAUCUAAGCAUUUUGUUACCUGCUUUUUUAGUCAUGAGUUUAGGGGCUCGAAUGUCGAGGCUCAUAAUUUAGCGAAGCAUGCUCUCUCACUUGGAGUUGGCCACCAUGUGUGGUUAGGCAACCCAGGAGAUCUAUCUUUCGUCCCUGUAAACAUUGUGACGAGUUAAAUAAAAGCUUCGCGAGAUUGCCUAAAAAAAGUCGGCAGCAAAAGAAACAUUACUCUUUUUUUAAGUAGUAGAGAUUUAUUUGGCAUUUAUUUGGAUAAGGAUGACCUUUAUCCAAAGAAAAACGAAACAUGUCAUUUAAUGCCAUUAAUUGGAUAAGGAUAGCCUUGAUGCCAACAUAUCUAUAUAAGGCGACUGAAUGGUACCCCUCAUGACCACAAAAACAUUCUGGUUGAUAGAUUCUUACAUAACUAUAUAUUUUCUAUCGUUCUGUGUUCUUAGGCAAUGGCGAACAAUGGCAUCUUCCAAGUGAUCAUUGUUUUUCUCAUGGCGCAAGUCUGCUUGCUCAUGAUGAUGGCAGCACCGGUAGCACAUGCAGCUGCUAGACCGGUGGGGUACAAUCCAGUGUGCUGCCCUAGGAACAUCUAUUGUUGCGGGUUCGGUAGCGGAUUGGCCAAUUCACCCGCACCAUCCAUUGUAUCUUGAUGCGUGGUUUAUUCUCCCCCAAGUAGUAAGCUUGACAUAUAAAUGAUAUAUGUGAUUCAUGUACCUAAUCCUGAAUAUUUGUGAUGCUACUUUCAAAAAGUUAUUGUACUGGUUACUUACAUAAUAAAAUGGGAGGAGAUUAUUAUAUAUCUUAUUCGGAGUAUACCGCAAAGAGACUUAAUGUUAUGUUUGCUUUAGUCCUUUUGAAAACUAGAUUAUUUUGCCGCAUUGAUUUACGACAAAAAGAGAGUGGCUAGGCAUACAGGUUGACCUCAUGAGUCUGCAGUCCGUGCCUUUGGGAAUCUCCGUUUUAUCAUUCUGUUGGUCAUACGUUGUGUCAAGAUCGUCCGUGUUAUGGUGACAUUCUUUAUUUCUUCGCAGAGAUCAUACUUUUUAAAAGCAUUUAUUGGGUAAUGGAGUAUGCCACCAAUUAUUAGAAACCAACUACUAUUGGCAGGCUUGUUUGUGCAUUCAGGGAUGCACACUAUUUCUUUUUCCAUGAAUUUCAAGGUCAUAUAUUAAAAUGGUCUCGUCCCCCGUAGUGGUGGUUCCGGGCCAGGAUCGAAGCAGACGCCGAGGACUUGAUUGCUUUUUGUUUUGUCUUCUAGGGUCCUAUUCGCAAAGUUUCUCAUUUGGGCUGUAAUUUCUACUUUCUGUUAGGUCCUUUUGUAAAAUGUUGCAUCAUGUUUUGUCUACUGGGGUCCUAUUUGUAAAGUUUCUCAUCUGGGCUGUCAUUUCUACUUUCUGUUGGGUCCUUUUGUAAAAUGUUGCAUGCUUAUCUAAUUUAGGUCUAGGUUCUUCCUGAGUUCAAAAUAUAUAUAUAUUAAAAUGGUCCAACCCUUACAGAACCAUCCUUCCAAAAGCAGAAAAUAAAACACAUAUCCUUGUGUAUAUCAACAACGUCUUUCUCUCGCACUCGCACCCCGUGAGCAAAGCUCGAUAUUGCAUUUGUAUAUCCAACACACCCUCAGAGCUAGGGUAAAGCAUUCUUUGCGUGUGCUCAAUUCCUAAAAAAAAUCAAAAUCAUAUAUAAAUACAACUCUUUGCUCUUUGACGGAGCACAAAAGGAUUGUUUGUUGUGGAUCCUAUAUGUGUAAUCUAUCUAUCUAUACUUUAAAGAGUUCUCAGAAACUCCAAUGGUUAAUCGGAAAUUACAGACCAUUCAUCUGGUGGGACGGAGUUUGGCAUAGGGUCUGGGCGACUGGAAAAGGGAAGGGAAAUGGACGGAAACUAAAGUGAAGGCAGAGGAUCAGUAGAUAAAGAGAAGUGAAGGCCCUGCCCCGAGCUACUCACUAAGCGCAAGCGGAUUCAACAGUAGAUGAAUUUUUUUAUUUACCAUCCAUCUCGAAUACUUACAACAAGAGGUUAUGCUGUUCUAACCGCCUCCGGUGUGCAUAUUACAAUCGACUUUGUUCUAUUUGAUCACAACCGCUUGCGGAGGCCGCUUCUAAUGCCCAUUUUCUACUAAUAGAUGUUUGUUAAGUGCGUCAACUUGUGAUGAUUGCAUUAUUCAUGGUCGCCUUUGAUGAAGUCGGAGUCACUGGAUCUAGGGCGAUAGGUGAUAAUGAUGACGCCUUUGUCCAGCCAUGGCGGUUGCUCUUUCCGGUUCUGUGUGGAGUCUACGUUGGUAGCUAGAUCGGCUGCUGCCAUGUGUAUUGUCAUGUUCCAUGACGAUAGUCUGCUCGGCGUGUUGUUAUGAUUUUUGCUUGAUUCUUAAAAAUUAACUAGAUAAUUAUUUUUUGUUAAUAAUGAAAAUGACAAAUCUUUUCUCUCAUUUACAUUUUUUUGCAAAUAAACUAAGAGCAUCUACAGCCAAACCUCAUAUUUCUCCUCUGAAAGUCUGAAACAUUCGUUUGUUAGUGUCCGCUGAAAAAGAGUGACCCAACCGAACCCCCCACUUCAUCCCUAAACAUCUGGACUGACCAGCUCAAGCCGAGACCAAAUCUGAGGUCACUACGAGAGUUCCCACUCAUUCCCGGACACGCCUGGGCAGUGCUCCACGUCAGCUCUAGCGAUCGAAGACCCCACCUGCAGCAACUACGACCAGAAGACCGAGACGGCAGGACGCGGCUGCGGAGCUCGCGCUUGGCGGUGCUGCUAUGCCUUGGCCGGCCGGAGCUCGCGGGUGUUGCGGCUGCAGUGCCCGUCCUCCGCCGCGCCGGGGCCGAAGCUCGUCUGCGCCUGGUUCUUGUGCCCGCCGUGCCACGCUCGUGUCGCAGCUCGGCAUGGCUGUUGUGCCCGCGCCUCCCCGCGCCCCGCGCUCUAGCCGUCGUGCUCGCCGCCGUGCCGUGCUAGCGCUGGCCACCACGCUCGGGCUGGCCGUUGUGCUCGCGCAGCCGUGCCGUGCUAGUGCUGGACAUCGCACUCGAGUUGGCCGCCAUGCUCGCGCAGCCGUGCUUGCGUGCUGGCCAUUGUGCUUGCGCAGCCGUGCAGUGCUAGCGCUGGCCAUCGCGCUCGAGCUGGCCUCCAUGCUCACGCAACCAUGCAUGCAUGCUGGCCGUUGUGCUCGGGCGGGCGGCCGUGUCAUACUAGCGCUGGCCAUCGCGCUCGAGCUAGCCGCCAUGCGUGCUCGAGUUCUUAGGCAAUGGCGAAAAAUAACAUCUUCCAAGUUAUCAUUGUGUUUUUCAUGAUGCAAGUUUGCCUACUCGUGAUGAUGGUAGCACAGGCAGCACAUGCAGCUGCUAGACCGUUGGGAUACAAUCCGGUGUGUUGCCCUGGGAACAUCUUUUGCUCCGGGUUCGGUGGAGGAUUCGCCAAUGCACCCGCACCAUCCGUUGUGUCUUGAUGUGUGGUUUUAUUCUCCCCCAAAUAGUAAGCCUGGUAUAUAAAUGAUAUAUGUGGUAAAGAGCAUCAUUACAAUCUUCAUACUCUUCAAACAAAGAUUCAAUUUUAUAAGCAGCCUUAAAAGCAACAAAUUCUUCUAUUUGUUCCACAUCAUAGUAAUCAUAUACACAAUUGGCAUAAGAAGCUAAGGUUUCACUCUCAUUAAAUUCACAUCAAAAGGGGAGGUGUGGAGCCUCCAUCUUAGAGCAACAAGUAAAAUCAUAUCUUAAUCAUAAAUUUCAAGCAUACUGACACCGAUGACCGGCCCUCCCGCUGGAAUGGGUAGCGAAGACACCCGCCGGCCACUGCCAGCAAGAAGGGUCGUGGCUGCCAAGUGCUCGACUAAAUGCCGACAAGGUAAAGAAAACCGUCUUUCACAUUUCGGCCAACGAGUUUUAGACGGUGAUUGCUGGUGACCGAUGGUGAUGGAGUUUGUUCGUUUUGUUGUCGUAGUGUGGAGAUGAACAUGGCCGUAUUUUUAGCGUCUUUAGAGUCCUCAGCAGUGAUGGGGCUAGAUGAUCUCAAUUAUGACUUAGUUUGGGAUCGUUCGGAGGCGGCCGAAGAGAUGGAAGAAUAGGAGAUGACCGAUGAAGAUGAAGUUGAGGAGGUGGCUGAAGCAAGCAUGUGGUCGUCAAGGUCACGCACCGCCAACUACAAUCAAGUUGAAGAUGUUGCUCUAUGUUAUGCUUGAAUGAACAUCUUCAUGGAUGCAACGAUUGAAACGAAUCAAACCAAGACUAUGUUUUGGGGAAGUUACAGACUACCACAACAAGUCCGUGGAAGUGCAAUCAAGCCGUACACAAGGUUCUCUUGGGUAUCCUUGGAGCACCAUUCAUGACCAAUGCAACCGAUGGUCCGAUUGCAUCAAUCAAGUGAAUCAUGCACCACCAAGUGGUGUGCAAGUGGCGGAGUAUGGCCCCUACAUCAAAGAACUAUUCAAGCAUAGGAACACAAGUUCGGCCACAAGCCCUUCAUGUUGCUCAUUGCUACAAAGAGCUAUGCAAGAACGAGAAGUGGAUCCAAAGAUUUCCGGAGACCACUCCAAAGAGACAAGGUUGAGCAUAUCCGUUGAGGAGGACAACGAGGUUGAUGAAGAGGCCAACAAUAUAUAGACUGGAAGGGAAAAAAUUGCAAAAAAGAGAAAUGCAUACGGUGGCACAUAAAAAGAAGAACUUGUGGCUAUGAUUGAGGCCAAGAAGUUGUUGGCAACCGAACGCAAAGAAGAUAAGAUGGUGAGGUAGAAUGAGCUCGACAUAUUGGAGGAUGAGAAAUGGAAGGCCAAGUUAGUGGCGGAGGAGAGAAAGUUGAAGGUGGAGGGGCGUAGACUUGCACUUGAGGAGGAGAGGAUUCGUGAUGCCAAGAAAGCCGGAGAUCGUGCUAUCAUGUUCAUGCAUCCAAAUACAAUGGAUGAAACCGCAAGAAAGCAUUGGGAGCUCACUCGUGGGGACAUCUUGACCCAAACGGAAAGCUCUGUUCGGAAUGGUGGUCUUGGUGGAGGCCGAGAGGAUGGUGGUGGUGGUGAUGGUGGUGGCGGCGGCUGAAACGAUGGUGGUAGUGAUGGUGUCCAAGAGGAAGGUAGCGGUGGCGGUGGUGACAAUUUCUUCACCGAGGACUUCGUUUGAGUUCGUGCAUGCGAUUGGUUGGCUCGAUCCACAACAUACACAUGUUAUGCUUGUGGUGAUUUUGGGUCAAACUUUGUGUUUGAAGUAAUGCAUUUUGGAUGAACUAUGCAUGUUUGAAUUUGAAAUUCGUGAUGAUGAGAUUUAUGCUUUUUAACGGUUGUGUUAUGAAUGUUUUGAUUUGAAUGCUUUUAUGAUAUAUAUUGUGAAGUGUUUGAAGUUCAUGCGGCUAGGACACAAAACCUAUACAAAUUAUUUUUUACUCCACUAAAUUUAGGAGAUCAGCUAGGUGCGGCCACUUAUAGAAGAGUAAAAGUUUACUCCGCCAGAUCCUUCUCUAUUUUUUAGGAAUUGGUUAGAGUUAGUCUUAGGAGCAACACGCAAGAGAUCAAAUGAAGCGACUAGUACACACAGGCUCGGUAUAAAAAUAAUGGGAUAUCUAACUAACCUCUAGCGGCACAACUUAAUCAGAAACCAAACCAACGGCAGCUUCGUUAGGACCAGCCCAAUUAAGUGUAGAUGUUGACCUGUACCAAGAACAUCGGUGGGGUGGUACUCGGACCUGGACCACGGCAACUGCACGCUGUACCUAGAUCUUGAUUAAUUUUUUUCUUGAACUGGGCUCAGCCCCUUCCCAUUACAUUCGUAACGAAAAUAGAACGGUCUGAAUCUCGCUGGUAGUUACCAGGUCUGUGGACUAAAAUAUUUUAAGGGUAAGACUAGCCACAAUGAAGUAACAUACAUUAGUAACAUACACAUAUCUCUAGACUAUAUUACUAUAGUGGAUAGUAACAUAGGUGUGGUGUCAUGCAAAGCUCCAUUUAUUAGGUUAUAGACUUAUAUUGCUUUGGGACAUGUGAUGUUACAGUAACUACCUAAGUUACUAGAACUACCUCUCUCUUCAUUAACUCAUUGCCACAUUGACAAAUUUGUUGAGUUGGACUUGAAGUUACUGCUGAAAUUACUCCCAUUGUGGCUAGUCUAACUGUGAGAGGGUCGUCAUCGCCAAAUUUAAGAUCGAACGUCACCACUACUACUUCUAGAACGUCAGGACCACUACAUCACAAUCAACAAUGAAUGCAGAGGUAGAACCAACGAACGACAGCUUAGAACCAACCUACUUAUGUUAACACCAAUACAUCUCCAACCCAAUCAAAUGCAGUGGUUAGGCCAGUCAUUGCGGGGAGUAAUAACUUACACUAGUGACAUGUAUAUGACAUUAGUCUAUAUUACUAUCUUCCUAGUGCAAAAUGUCCUAGAGGUAUUUAAGUGAAUACAAUAUUUAUGGUUUGUUACCAAACAACAGAAACCUUAGGCUGGUCAUAGUGGGGAGUAACUUAGACUAGUGUCAUGCAUAUGACAGUAGUCUAAGUUACUACUCCCUCCAUCCGGUAAAGAGUGUGCGUGUGGCUUCAAAAUUUGUCCAUAAAAGAGUGUACUUCUAUCUUUUCAAUGCACUUUAAAGUAGGAAAAAAUACUUCUCUCUCAUCACACGGUAAUCAAGACCAAUAACCAUCUACACAUGGUCUUCUUAAUUUCUACAUGCACUUAGCUCACUGGGUGUUGGUUAAUUAAAGAGGAGAGAGAUGGUGGCUUGCCCUUUUCCAAUGCAUUUUUUACUUGACUUCAUAAUUUGUCCUAAAAUCUCUAGAUGUUCACUCUUCACCGGACGGAGGGAGUACCUUCAUAAUGCAAAGUAACAUAAUAGUAGUAUCAUAGAUGGCUUCAUUUAUUAGCUCUUAGACUCAUCUUAUCUUGGAAAGCGUUAUGUUACAGUAACAUAUUAUGUUACCACCUCUUAUUAAUUACUUGCCACAUAAGCAGAAUUUUUUCGAAGUGCACUAUCUUACUAGUUAAGUUACUCCCACUAUGACUAGCCUUACAUAUACUUCCUUUGUCACAAAACAGUCAAUAUUGUAACAUGGAUUGGCCAUUAAUUUGCGUAAAAAACAUGUCAUGGUGUUUAUCUUGGGGAAUCAUUUCUAUGUCUACUUUUCGAAGCAUAUUAAUUAAAAGAAAUUGUUGUGUGUUUAAUGAAUUGCUACCUUUCCUCAUGCGCAUGCAUGCAGUUCCAACAUCUGUCUAGUUGUUAUCCCCAAGAAGCUGAAUGGAUGCACAAAAAUCACAAGCUUAGGUUUGAAGAUAAAUUGCAUUUAGGUACCAUGUCCAUAGGUGCGGCAGAGCUAUGCGUCCAUACAAUGGUUUGCAUGGGUGAUGAAAUUCUCAAGGGAGCACUGGAGUGGGCACUUGCAUUGGCGAAUCCACGAAGAGAAUGGAGGGUGGGCUCAAAGUUAAUGUCAUGUAAACUAAACGCUCAUUUGUCAAAAUUUGGAUCUGUUAAGUAAGAUGGUAAUUAUCUCCUAACAGGGUAGUCUAAAUAAGCCCAAAAAAUUACUAUGGGAACAUGUACUGUUUACUGAAAUUAUUUGCAUUUUUUUCAAAAAUAUAAAAAAAAUUGAACAAAAAUUGGUUCUAUCUACAAAAAUAGCCAUUAUAUCUCAAUAGUGUUGUAGUAAUAAGCUCACAUUUUCCUAGAUAUCUAUUUCUAAGACAAGUAUUUCCGGACCGAGGGAGUACAUAACUAUAUCUAUUCGAGUUCGAUUGCACCUUUUUGUAUUUUGUAGAUGUCCUCCGUGUGUCCAUGGGCUGUGUCUAGAGUAGUAGCAAAAUAAUUAAGUUUUUUGGAGGGCAUGCUUCACCCUAUUGAAGCUUACCUACUAGAAUCGCCAUUGGGCAUUGGAUACCCUGAUGUCGUCAUGUCAUGCGCCAAGAUUGAGCACCUAAUGAAUGAUCUUGUUGCUUCAUCCAAAGUAAGUUGGAAAAAACACAUAUAUGUGCAAUUAACCAUGGUUAAUUUUAAUUAGCUAAUCUCUAGCAUAGUAUUGAAAUAGUUAAAUUAAUGGAAACGUGCAUGUAGCCCCGGACAAUAGGGAUGUGGCCAACUGCGUGGAGUGCUACGCCGAUGAGCACAAUGUAACAGAGGAGGUCGCCUUUGCACCAACCAAGCUCGAAUCAAACAUGGGUGUCAGCAGCUGCCUGCGGUGCAACGGGUAGUCAACUUCACACUCAGUGGGCGAGAGGGCACCAUCUGAACCCAUGGGCAUAUGCACCCACUUUUCAUAAAAUGCAUUUUAAGCACGUUGUAAAAUAUCAAAAAAAUCAAAAGAAAAUAUCACGCAUACAUGUGUGCAAAUGUGUGUACGCGGCACAAAGUUUUAUGAAAAGAUGUCUUUUUGUUUUGCCUCCGUAAAAAAGACAAAUUUCAGUGCUUCUAAAUAGUGUUUCACGACAUAAUUUUUUGUUUUUUUUUGCACAGGCCACAAAAAAAAUUAUUUUUCCGUGAAACUUUAUGCACGCACAUAGAACAUGGAGACGUACCCGUGCAAUUUUUUUCCAGAUAUUUUUAGAAUUUAGAAAUGUGUUUUUCAAAGUGGGAUCAUAUGUACCCGGGUUCAUCCAUGCACUUCUCCUCAGUGGGCCGGUGUACUACGGUGAUAGGAAAGAUGCCUUCACCUUCAGCUCCCAUGUACUUAGAUACUACUCCAUCCUCAUGCAGGCAUGCAUUAAGUAUUUAUUUUCUUACGUACCUUCAAUUUCUAUUUGUUUUCCAAUCUCGUGUUUAAUUAGGCAGGUCAUGUGUCAUGUGUGUACACCUAGGAUGCGGAGGUCGGGAAAAAAAAUAGACGUACACGAGCUCAUGUUUCGAUGUGUGUGACAUGUAUGUAUGUGUUUGCAUCUCAGAUGAACCGAAAUGGUUGCAUGUAUGGAGCCCGAUUAAUAAAUUAGUAGUGUAUUUGGUUUGGCAAAUCCACGGUCCAGUUUUUAUUGAAACGUCCGCUCAAAUCACUAAAUUUAUGUGGAAGAGGAUGAUCGUACCAUUUUCUGGCUUUGCUAAUAUGCGAUUCAGAUUUUCGGUGACUGGUUGGUACAGUAUGUAAACGAGCCCUUCAGUCAAUUCAAUUCAUCAGUUGAUUCUUUGUAGAUUGGACUAGUGAAUUAAUCUGGUAUGAUGAUUGGGGCUAUGUCUUUGGACUGUACUGCAGAAUGCUAGAGUGGAGAGGGGAAAUCCUAUCCUAAAAAGACUAGUAUUUUGCAGCAUUAGAAGAGAGUAGCGCCCUGAGAUGUGUUAAUACUAGCAAUGCCCUGAGAUCCUUCCUUGACUACCAUACGAGAAAGCAAUUCCGGAGUAGUUAUCGCAGUUAAGUAUUAUAACAAUAUCUGGUUCUAGUUGUAGUAGAUCAGGAUACAACUCCGAGCGUCCUGUUAUCGUAGACAUGGCUAUUUGAAUAGAUAUAUCUUCCCUGCAGGGGUGCACCACAUUACCCAACACACUCGAUUAACUCUGCCUGGACACACUUUACUAGGUAAUGCCCAACCUCGCAUGAUCGGCACGCUGUAGACCAGUCUAGACUCUCCAAAGAGGUUAACACGCCGGUCUAAAUCCUAAAUGCGAAGGGGUCAUGGACGAUCGCCCUAAGCACUCAUGCACAUUGCGUGGCUGGCCGGGACCCAAGGGUGCCUCUGUAUACAUAAGCAGGCGUAACCAGCUCACCCCAACAAUCAGCCCGCAUAUCUGAAAUGUGACAUCUAAAUUGCUUUCGGAGGGAACGUACGACACCGAGGGCCCAUAAACCAUUAUCCCGUGUGGUGCUUAGUGCGCAAAGGCACAUAGCCCAACUCAGUUCAAAUACCCAAAUGCGUUAGUGUAUUUUUAGUAACUCGUGAAAACGACCAGGGUCGUCGCUCCGACUAGGUAGCUCGUGGACCACGACUAGUGAUCAGGCCCACCUCUCACCUAGGUGGUCUCCACCUGUCCUGUUGUUCCGCCAGAGUAAUCCCUCGCUGGUACCCUUGGGGCAGACCCGUCUUUAAUCAUAGGAACUGCCAGGGUUCAGGUCCAUACCAUCAAGGUGAAAAAACCUAAGGAAUCAUCCUCGGUAGCUUCACUCUUUCAAUACCAAAUGAAUUUUGCUUAAAUUGAAACUUGGCACAUAAAUCAUGCAUAAUAGUGUGAUAUUGCACAAAAAGUUCUAGAGCAUUUGGUAACUGUUACCUGGCCAGGAGAUAGUUCAUGCAGCAGCAUGGCAUGGCGAAAUUCAAAUGUCGUCCAAACAUGACCUCUCUUGUGCAGCGCCCUCCAUCACAUCUGAUCCGAGAUACCCGACCUCCUUAUGCAGUUGGUUGAGCACCAUGGAGAAGAAGAUGAUGCCCACCAAGAGUACCCAAAACCGAGAAGAACCGAGUCAUAAAUCUAAAGGAGAGUUACCAUUUAGGACAGUAAAAAUUAAGAAGUCAAAACAGGGGAUCUGUGGCAGAUUAAUGAACGUACCAACCUCGAGUCCAUGGCAACGGCACAGGAGACAAACAUCAUGUUAAAGGUGAUGACAAUCUUGAUUACGAGGGUGUGCUAGUGCGGCCCAGUCGGCAUCGGCGUGAGCAUCCCCAGCAUGCACCGUGAUCACCCGUAGCAUGAACGCCGUGCACAUCACCCCUGUGAACAUACUCCCUCCGUUCCUUUAUGUAAGGUGCAUUAUUUUUAACAUGGUAACUAAGGCACAUGUUAGGAGAAAAUUACCCUUGCUAAAUUUGUUGGUUAGUGGCAAAUAAAUCAGUUAGUCCAGGAAAGUAAGAGAUACAUGCAAUCGACAGAGAGAUGCUUUCCUUCUUUUUCUAUAAGGAGAGAUAUAGACAAUCAAGAGAGAGGUACUUUUCUUUUUAUGGAGGUAUAACAAGGGAAUUAUGAGGAAUUAGAAGAAAUGCAUCUUAUAUUCUGGGCCGCUAUGAUACGAUGCUAUAAAUAUAUAUACAUGAACUUCAGCUUCCUCCCCAAAAGCUUCAAGGUUAACAAUAAUGAUCACAUUAUCGAUCUGAAUAAGGUUCAGAGAGUCCAAAUCAUAUAAGUUGUCAUCAAAUAAAGAAACAGGACAAACAGAGGGAUGUGUUCUGGUCACUCGUUUUCCACAAAUUGUACUUGAUGUAACUCCAAACCAUGUAUAAGACACGAGGUCUAACCAGCAGUAUCCAAUAAUCACUAAUCCAAUUGCUGUGAUAACUCUAGAUACCCCCAAUCCUUAAUCACUCGAGCACAACUGAGGUAAAAAGAUAUGUGAGAUCCUUUCAUUGUUUCUUGAACAAGAAACACAUUUCUUGAAAAUGAAAUAGUGCAGCAGAUGCGCAGUACAUGUAGCCAUGUAGGACAGUGGCAAUAUGAUUAUGUUCGUGCUCACUUGGAUCAGCAGAGCAGCAAUUUUAGCCCCCAUAUACUCGUUGACUGUAUCAUCUUGCCAAUACUGCCGUGCAUGGGGAGGUGAGAAGGCAUCCCACCGCCGCCAGUCCGUGCGCCGUGGGAUCUCUCAACCGCACUAGGGUAGGGUUUGGUGACAGGGUGGAGGAAUGACAUGAAUCAAAUUCUGUUGGUCAGACCAUGAAUCUUUGGAGAGAGAGAGAGACAGAGAGUAGGGAAUAAGAGGGGAACCUGAAUCAGAGAGACGUGACGGCCAUAGAAACAUGGCAGUAUUGGGGAUGAACUGAAUUUCAGAUUCAACUUGUGUGUGAUUUUUAGUGCAUAGCCCUCCGAAUCGAGUCUCGGUAACAAGACCACGCUUGAAAUUAAAUGUUGGGGAUAUCAUUUAUCGGGAACUUAUCAGUCGUCUCAAGAUAAAGGGUAAAUCGGCCGGUUUAUCGGUAUAUCGACCGAUUUAUCUUAUCGGUCCGACCCCCGGUAAGCGAAAAAUCGCCGAUUUAUCGGAAUAUCGGCUGAUACUUGAACAGUGCUUGAAAUGACUAAACUGGGAAACCAGCAACAGACCUUCUGGAUUUAAAUCCGGGAUGUGAGCGUUGCAUCUGACAGCGACUUGCUGACAUGAUCUUCAACAUUAUCACUCCCAGGUUGGGGUCCUAAUUGAGCGGAACGCUUCCAGAGAGUCCACUCGGCAUGACAUUCAUGUUUGCUGCUGUUCUGCUAUAUCUGGUAUAGCAUGUGGAUGCGUAUUUAAAUGAUGGAAACAAAAAAAAAAUUAUAGGUAAACGGCAACAGUCAAAUCAUGGGGUUGGGGAGGAACUGGUUAAUGUGCGGCGAACUGGGUGACAAUGGCUAUUUGAUACUAGAGGCUGCUACGAACUUACGUAUGGAUCGGAAAUGGGGAUCUAGGAGAAAACAAUGGGGGACUGCUGGUGAUCUUCAGAUUUGCAUACCUGGCUGAAUACUUGGAUGACUUCGGCUCCUUGUGAAUUUUGCAUGCAUCGACAACGUGAAGGUGAACGGCGGUGUGCCAGGCAAGCGGCGUGGCAGAUACAACGAUCUCGCUUAGCGGGGUCCCGAUCAGAGGUAUAAAUGUGCAUGUGGAUGUAGGUGCCGGUGGGCCACCCGUGUUGUUAUUGAAACAGAUGAUCGACUAUGUAAACGUGCCGUGCUAAUGGUGAUUAGCAUCAUAAUACGUGCGUGAAGGACAUAUAUAUUUUGAGAAAAAUAUGAUUUUGUAUAUAUCAGAGAGAGAAAUGAACUACUCCCUCCGUCACAGUUUACAAGUCCUACGCGUAUACCUAGGUUGCCAAUUUUAUCACCCUAAUAUAAACUAUAUAACACAAAAAUUAUACUUUUUAAAAAUAGAACAUCUAAAAUUUAUAUUGGUAUAUUUUUUGUAAUAUAUGACUUGUAUUAGGUUGGUCAAAUUGACGACCUAGGGAUACGCGCACACCUUGUAAACUGAGAGAGAGAGGGAGUAGAUAUAACUUAUUUCGGGCAAAAAAAAACUGAUAAAUAGGGGAUAUAUAUAUAAAAUUUAGGAGAACUCAGUACAAAAAGAUAACUAAUAUUGAGGCGCCGUGUUUUACAUCAAAAAUAAAAAUCUCUGAUGGUCCAGGCUGGUUCGCUCAACAUGGAUGGUCCAUGUAUUAUUGCCAGUGAGGUACUGGGACGGCGAUCCACCAGAAGGGCAAAUGCAAAAAUCCAGCACCGGACUUGUUACAAGAUGACAUAAAUGCAGUUUGUUGAUCCGGAGACAGAUGGUAUUGAUAAGCAUGGCAGUGGACGCCGUGCCCACUGCCCAGAAGGAGAUUUUCGCGAGGCCGGCGGAGAGCGAGCCAGCAGCCGAGCAGGCGGGGCAUGGCGGCGACCGCGAGGGGCAGCGUUGGGGAGAUCCGGGCGGGAGACGUGGAGGCGGCCGGGCUCACGGCGGCCGACGCGGUGGCCUUUCUCGCCGCGCUCCGCUCGGCGACCGGCAAAUGCGGCGCCGACGCGGCCGCUGCGUGGGCGGCGGUCGUGGCGGCGGGGGUGCUACGGCCGGACCACCCGCACGCGCUCCACCAGCUGGUGUACUACUCCGUCUACGCCGGCUGGGACCGCGCCCAGAGAGGCCCGCCGCCCUACUGGUUCCCCUCCCCGUAAGUCGCCGGCCGCCGUCCAUUUUUCUUUCCUAGAAGCACAGCUGAACAGGGCUUGUCUCCCGGCGCUUAAUUUGCUACCAACUGUUUGAUCCAAUCGGGUAGUGGGAGCAAUCAAUGGCUAAUCCACGGUGAAAGUGACUGCUAGUCUAAUUCCACGAGUCACUUAAGCUUAUAUGGUUCCAUUUAACCCAGUAUUUUUUGUCUAGCUAACAACAUUUGAGUCUAACAGCAACAGUAAGAUACUAGUGCUAUUUUGGUACUAGCUAGCUUAUAACUGCUCUGUGGAUUCGCAUCAUUUAGCACUACUGUGUGAUAGGAUGACUGGUGUAUAUAUAAUUUACUUCAUGACACAGUUAUCAUGAUUGUUGCAGGACUGAUUGUAAGCAAACAAAUCUUGGGAGAGUGAUGGAAGAGAAUGGUCCCAAGCUGUUAGGAGCAUCAUAUAAGGAUCCAAUUUCAAGCUUUGGCCUCUUCCACAAAUUCUCUGUUCAGAACCAGGAGGUCAAUUUUCCUUUCUAAAUUUGGAAUUUACUUCACAGACAGAACAAGUGGAUAACUAGAACAUCGGUUCAAAGUUUUAUUUCUUCAUAAUAGCCUCCUAGGCGAUCAUUGUGUAGGUCUACUGGAAACUGGUGCUGAAGGAGCUCUCCGUCAAGUUCGUACGAGAACCAAAGACGAUUCUAGAUGCAUCAGAUAAAUCAAAGAAGGGAGGGUCAUGGUUCCCCGGCGCAGUGCUCAACAUUGCCGAAUGUUGUCUGCUACCUUGGCCUUCCCAGAACAGGACAGAUGAUAGCAUCGCUAUUGUCUGGAGGGAUGAGGGCUUUGGCGAUUAUCCGGUGAAUCGUAUGUCGCUGAAGGAGCUUCGCACCCAAGUGAUGUAUGCAUUUCUUAACAAAUUAAGAGUAGGGGGCAUGCAGCAACCUUUAAAUUUCUUCUGUUCUAUUGUACAAUUUCAUCAUCAUGGUUUUGUUGCUUUGGUAUUUUCAGGACUGUUGCAAAUGCCCUUGAUACCAUAUUCCGAAAGGGUGACCGGAUUGCAAUAGACAUGCCAAUGACGUGCAAUGCGGUUAUUGUUUAUUUGGCAAUCAUCCUUGGAGGCUUUGUUGUUGUGGGAAUAGCAGACAGUUUUGCACCCCAAGAGAUUGGCAAUCGCAUGAGGGUCGCAAAAGCAAAGGCAAUUUUUACCCAGGUUCGACUGUAGCAAGCAGCAAGUCUUACGAUCAUCAGUACUAUAGUAGUGUUUAUACUAAUUCCACAGGAUUUCAGGAUUUCAUAAUUAGGGGAGGGAAGAAAUUUCCACUUUACAGGUAUAUGAUGUUUCUUUGGGCUUGUUGAGCUGUGCCCUCAGCAGAACCUUGUACUUCUUGUUGUGUGUGUGUGUGGUGAACUCGUGUUUGGUACUCGUUGCUUGUGGCGGUUUGCUUUAUUUGUAAAGCGGGGCGAAAGCCUUUUUCGGUAAUUAUUUAGUUAAUAUAUGUAUUUCAGUAACUUAAUUUGCUCAGCUUUAACAAGAAAAUUGUAGUUAUUUAGCAGGAUCACAGCUUGUGAAAAUAAUCAUUUUGCAUUGAUGUAACAAUUUGUGUUUCAUUUAUACCUUUUUGCAUGAACAUACUGAACUAUCACAGAACAAUUCUCAGCACUUAACUAAAUAUGUCAAAUUAUAUUCUUCAGCCGUGUCAUGGAAGGGACUUCAGCUAAAGCUAUUGUAAUUCCUGCAACUGGAGAUAGUCUUGGAGUUACACCAAGGAAUGGUGAUAUGUCCUGGAAAGAUUUUCUUUCUCGUGCUGCCGGGAGGUAUGCAGCAAAUGAUCCUUCCAUGUCACUCAAAAUAAACAACUCUGUUCAGAUGCUUUCUUUUCGUGAAAAUUUGAACACCCACAUUGCAAAACAGAGGUGAUUUUGUGAUGUGACCAACAUGGGAGCGACAUGUCUUGGAUUUGCAGGUCAUCCAUGUACUCUCCAGUUUAUCAAUCUGCAGACGCCUUAAUUAAUAUACUGUUUUCAUCAGGAACAACUGGUAAACACUGCCUUGAGUUUCUGACACAAUUUCCUUUAAUCUCUGGUUGCACCGUUUCCCAUGUUCACAACUUCACGUGUGAUUUGAUCUGUUCUAUUUGCUUUUGGUGCAGGAGAGCCAAAAGUUAUACCGUGGACACAACUUUGUCCCAUAAGAUGUGCAGCUGAUACCUGGGCACAUUUGGAUCUUCGACCAAAGGACGUAGACUUGUGGCCUACAAAUCUGGGUUGGGUUAUGGGACCGAUACAAAUAUUCUCAUGCUUUCUAAAUGGUGCAACAUUGGCCUUAUAUCAUGGUUCUCCACUUGGACGUGGUUUCUGCAAAUUUGUGCAGGUGUGGCCUAUUUUGCACCAUCUCUUGGUUUAAACUGCUAAAGUUGAUUUGUCCUUGUUCCAUUUUUUUUAGUUAAAGUAAGCCUUGGCCUUGUUCUUAUUUUUUGUAUCCAUUACUUCGCUUGAAUCUGGUAUAGAUAAGGCUUACUGGCUACCUAAUUAACUUCAUAGUUUGUCUAUUCUCCCAAGUUUUUUUUUCUAUGCAUCAUAGAGCUUUUUCUUCUGAAUGAAUCAGGUAGGAUUUUAUCAAAAGUCCCUGCAUAUUAUAUUAGAAGCUGAGUAUAAAUUGUUCUUUACCCAUGCGCUUCGUGAUAAUGUCCAAAUUGCAGGAUGCCCGUGUGAGUGUAUUAGGAUCUGUGCCUAGCUUGGUGAAGUCUUGGAAGGCAGGGAAUCUUACUCAAGGGCUAGACUGGACCAAAAUCAGGCAAGUUGCUACUUACACUGUUAGGAAGCAUUCAACUUCAUCACAAGCUCCGCUAAAGAAGCUAAAUUUCUAUAAUCGCAGGGUACUUGCUACAACAGGGGAGGCUUCUGAUAUUGAUGAUAAUCUGUGGCUAUCUUCGCGUACCUGUUACAAGCCCAUUGUUGAGUGCUGUGGGGGCACAGAGCUGGCAUCCUCAUACAUUCAAGGGAGACUUUUACAGCCACAAGCUUUUGGAGCUUUCAGUGGUCCAUCAAUGUCCACUUGGUUUGUCAUACUCGAUGAACAGGGAAAUCCAUAUGUAAGAAUUGUUCGUAGAAUAUUCUAAGUUUGGUGAUUGCGUUUGCUGUGUAAGCAUUUGACGUUUGCUAUGACAGCCUGAUGAUCUACCUUGUUCUGGAGAAGUGGGUCUCUUCCCUUUAUAUUUUGGUGCUACCAAUCGGCUUCUCAAUGCUGACCAUGAUAAGGUUUACUUUGAUGGAAUGCCCAUUUACAAAGGACGGGUAUGGAGUCGCUUACCUCAAUUUUUACUAAACUGCUUGACAAAAUUAUGAAGAUGUUCGACAUUUGCAGCAGUCAACUUUUUAAGCUUUAUAAAAUCAGUGUGUUCUCCAAGUUUUCCAGUGGAGCCCUACCGAGAAGAUGAGUAUGAUUUAGGCAUGCUAUUGUGCUCUGAUAUAAGUUGCAAUGAUAAGUGUGUUAUGAAAAAUAGUACUAGCAACAUUUGAGUCAAUGUUCCCUUUGCUGAACUAAUCAAAUAAAUCUGACUACAUACUUUUAGAAGUUAUCAGUAAUAACCAAAAUGGUGAAAGCUCACACGUUGUAACGGUAUUUCUACUGCAGCAACUCCGACGACAUGGAGAUAUAAUCCAGAGGACAGUAGGUGGUUACUAUAUCGUGCAGGGCAGAGCAGAUGACACUAUGAAUCUUGGAGGGAUUAAGGUUGAAGCUCCCUCUUCAUUGUUUUCAGUAUGAUGUCAUCACUCUUGCAUCUCAUGAAACCAAUUCAAUAUUGCUCUUGCCUGACCAGACAAGUUCAGUGGAGAUCGAACGGGUUUGUAAUGGCGCCGAUGACGGUCUGCUAGAAACAGUAGCUGUUAGCAUCAAACCUUCUGGCGGGGGACUAGAACAACUGGCUAUAUUGGCAGUGCUAAAAGAUGGAUCCACAGCAUGCGAUGCAAAUCUUCUGAAGAGCAAGUUCCAGAGAGCCAUUCAGAAGAACCUCAACCCCCUUUUCAAGGUAAGAGCUUCUCUUUUCUGACAUUCAGUUCAGAUGAUCAGAUGGGCACAUCCAUAAUGAGGGAAUUGAGAUCGUUUGUUCGUCCUGACAGGUGAGCUACGUCAAAAUCGUCCCCGAGUUCCCGAGAACUGCUUCAAACAAGCUUUUGAGAAGGGUCCUGAGGGAUCAGCUGAAGCAAGAACUCGCGAAUCGCAGCAAGCUAUAACGGGCCUGAGGGAUAUCUAUGUCUUUUCAACAGGAAAAUGGAUCUUCAUGAUCCAAGUUUAUUGAACUCACGGCGUGUUACAACGGUUCGAUUCCCUUUCAUUCACAUCGUUGGGGGUGUAGAUUCAUAACACUUGUUAUUGUAUUGUAUGUGUUGAGCUCAUCGGAAGUAAUGAGGCGAUGGUUUGCUAAAAUCGGAUCACUCUGUAUGUUUGAAGGUUUAUAAGCCAUCGUAUUUUCUUACGUUUUCUCUUUACAUCUUUUAUAAGACAAGAUGAGCUGCAUUAUGUAGUGUCAGAUCAAAGCUCAGAUAUGUUAUUUUUUGAUACUCUUGCAAACUAACGAUUAAAAAAAUCUGAACUUCUUUAUACAGUUUCUAAAGUAUCAACUAUCCAUUUAAAGUACCCAUCAAAUUCAAAUCUAAUUUGUGUUGGGAAAACCUCAAAGAAUAUUGUUGCUCUUAGAUUUAAUACAAGUAAUUAAUAUGAUCUCUGCAUACCCAAAGAACUAUCCUUUGUGACAUGAGCUAUCUGAAUAUGCAAGUUUCCAUAUACACCAGUCAUGCAUGAUCCCACGUCUGGAAGAUUAAAACACAGAUAUGUUUUGAUCAUAUACUAGAAAACAAAAUCCGACUCUAUGCACGCACGCCCUGCGUAGGCAGCUAAUGUGUCAUGUGGGAAGCUCACUUGGCAGAAGAUAAUUGAGCCAAUUUUUCAUGGGUGUCAAAGUUGAAGGGGUCAAAAGCUUAAAUCAGGACGCCAUCUGUUUGUUCUUGCAGAGGUCGGCUAUAUCAUCUCUUUUUUUGAUAUAGCUUACCACUCUCAACUGUGUGUGCCAAAUAGCUGAAGGAGUCAAGCUUGAGGGGGGCUCUCCAAGUCAAUGAGAUCACAACCACCUCAUUCUUCCACACGAAUCCAGCGAGCUAGCUAGAAGUAGAUUAAGCACAGGAAAACGGAGAUGAAAGAAGUAACCGGGGAGCACACGGUGCCACGUUGGCGUAUCCCGAAAUUCAAAUUCUUGUGGCGAUUCUAAUCUCCACUGUAGAGGGCCGUGGCCAACAAAGUUCACACGGUCACAAAGACACAGCCUUCUACGCGAGCUUUGGCCACAAAAUGUUUGCUCUUGCACUGAGGGUAGACCUUGAGGCAGACGGUUUCUGUCCUUUAGAAACCUUACCUGAGUGUCCGCAGUUCUGCAAUCUUCCGGAGUAUGCAUCUACCCAACGAUCUCAAGAACGACAAUUUUCGUGAAGACCUCAGGGGAAUCGAAUCUCGCUCAGGUGGAAUCGUAGAUCUAUGUCUCCUCUUUUCUUUAACUCGCUUGCAUGUAAGAUUGGUGGAGAUCUCAAAAUUUUGGGGGGUCAACAAUAGUGAGAGAGUGUAUCAAAAAUUAUAACAAAGGCCGUGCGGUAAACGAUGUAUCGCUACCUGACCGCUUCAUGGGUGUCAGAGGUGUCCCUCGCCGAAACACGAUCGCGUUUUCCAUCGUCUUCUCUGCUUCUUCUUCAUGGGUGUCGGAGGUUCACGUUUCCUUGGCACGCACGCACGCACAUGAAUGAAAGAAUGCGUUUCCUGCUCGAUCGUACGUACGCGCGCGUCGAACCUGCGAGGCACGAAAUGGAUACAAAAAGAAAUUAACCUAUGGAAGCAAAAUGUAUAGAGUUCAAACUAUAUUGCGAUUUAGAUGCUACAUAACAAAGUAGCACGAACGUGGUACUUUGGGAACAGAACUAGUCUUCCAUGGAAGCAUGGAAAUUUGAAAUCAUUACCACCAUUGAUCGGGAUGCAUAGUUUGAGAUUUGUGUACCAAAUUAACUAAUUUUUGUAGAAGAUAUGGUGUACACAACGGACAAAGCAUAUCGACACCUGUGAAAAAUCGCCGAAUCAAGAUAUGAACAUAAGUAACACAAAUCAACUCAAGUGCUUCAGAUUUAAGUUGUACCAGGGCGACUAGCCGGGCUGUUCCGGGCUGGCAGGCUUCUUUGUGAAACUGAAACGGUUUACCAGCGUGAUGGGGAGGAUGGUAGUAGGGCAUGGUCCUACUGGUGAAGCAAGACGGCGAGAGGGACGCGAGGUCAUCGGAGAGAGCAGCAUUGGAGGCGGAGCAGCGCACGAGGGACGGGUCGCUGCACCGCAGCACUGGCUACCUGAAGCAGUUGUAGACGUCGCGGAGUGGGGUGGUGGCGGAGGUAGGUAUCGCGGAGAGAUUUUCUUGAAUCAGGUUUAUUUGGGCAGUUGGGUUAGAAAUAUAUGCCACGAGAUUGGAAGAGCAUCAACGGCACAUGACCCGUCUGAUAAAAGUUUCCUACCAGACAACUGUAUAUAAGCGUUUUCCAUUUAUUUUUGCGUUAUCAGGCCGGCUGUCAUCUAGAAGAAGUUGUUGAUCACACAAGUCCAGGGAACUGCAGCAGAUAAUGGAUCUUUGUGAUGAGCGUUACCAGCAGUCAUCAGCAGUCGACCUGAGAUUAACCUAUAUCUUGUGUUGGAUGGCCCAACCCUUCCAAUCUUCAAUGAAGUAGCAGUGUUACGUGGCAUACUGGACCGUGUGCACCAGGCCUUCAUGGCCAUGCCAUACCCAAACACGUCCUUGCACGGCGUCGUGGGCACGCCUAGCACCAUAGGAUUCGCAGGCGACGAGUUGGGCUGCUGGUUUAUGAACUCCACGAGGCUCCCCAUGAGCCUCUUGCUGGUGGCCCUCAGCGGACUGUAGAGGUGGAAACCGUGCUCCUCGCCCUCCGACUCCACCACCGUCACCUCGCGGCGCCGCUGGAUCAUCCAAGGCCAACGCGAGUCGAGAUCACGCAUGCGGGCCGCCAGUCGGUGGCCGCGGCCCCGCAGGCUAUCCUUACCGGCCACCGCGAUGAGCACGCGGCGGCAAGCCAGCGAUGAGAUCUCCGAGGCCGGAGGGUCGAUCCGGGGGUCGUCGUUGCCGGCCUGGCCGGCCGUCACGAACGGCCAGAGCCGGUCCACCCCGUUCGGUGGGAACACCGCCACGGUGGCUUCGUUGUCGUCCCACGCGAGCUCCAAAGGGAGCCGCUUGGCUCCCCAGAAGUAAGGCUGCACCAUGAUCAGCCCCUCGAUGUCCAUGAUGUCGUUGUUGACUUCGUGGCUGGCGCGGACUGCCGUGUGGUAAACGAUGUUGCCGCCGGCGCUGUCGCCGGCCAGGAACGUGCGCGCGGGGUCGGCGUAGCUGGCCAGCCACGGGUCGGACAAGGACGCCGCCCACUGGAGCGCGGCCCAAGCGUCGUCGUAGGCCGCAGGUAUGGGGAACUCCGGCGCCAGACGGUACUCCACCGACACGACGAGGGCCCCGGCGGAGGCGGCAAGGGAGGUCGCGUAGCGGUGGUACGUCCGGCCGAAAGCGCUUUCCGUGCAGAACGAGCCGCCAUGGACGUAGAUGACGAGAGGAAGCCGAUUCCUGCCUGCGGUCUCGGCGGCACCGCACGGGAGGAACAGGCGCACAGACACGCCGGUGGCCUUGUCGACGACGACGUCCCUCGUCGCCACCCCACGGUUGCGGGCCUGAUCCGACGACGCCGGCACGAAUGGACUGCGCAGGAAACGCUCGAUGCUGCCGUCCUGGUACUUGCGUAUGAACGGGUACAUGUCCACGGAGAUGUUACGUCCGUGGUUCUGAUUCGCUGGAGAACUCUUGCUUGCCUGCAUGGCGCAGUUGAGCUGCUCUAGUUUGGAACGCUUGUUUUGAAUUGUGCUGCGUCGACGUUGGCUGCAUCUCAUGGGAUUUUAUAGAGCGAUUUGCUUCAUUGGCACUUUACUAAUGAGAUUCGGACGGAAUCGACGGUAGUCGAUUGGUCUGAUGCAUUACCUCCCAUCAGACUAUAGGGUAGAAGAGUUUUCCUUAGAAAUAUGUCUCCAUGAAUAAAUAUGACUAUUUUCAUUUUCAGUGUUAUAAAUAUGCUUUGAAAGAGACCAAGUGGUUGUAGUCUGCCAAUUAUUGACGCGUCACGCGUAAAUGGUCAAAUGUCAUUUUCUGUUAGAUCUUAUCCCAUUAUGGCUUUACCGUUGCAGCUAUGCGAAUAUAUCAACUACUUAUGGGAAGGACCAUAUUUUCGUCGAUGUUGCAUUGGGUGACCACCUGCUGCCAAAAGGGUUUGAUUUGGGUUAGCAGUAGCACCCGUUAACCAUUUCUGUUUCUCAUUAUAAUUGUAGAUUUGUUUUGUUCUUCUUCUUUUGAGCGAAAAUUAAUAGUCUUGGCACGUGCCAGUGCAUAACUGCAGCAUCCGUGCUACACACGUGUCGUUAAAUUGGGCCUCCAUAAUUAAAAAAUCUAGACAGGUUGAUACAAUGAUUUAACAAGAAUGUUAUGCAUUUCGCAGCAGCUUUUCGUGGAAUGUCUUCUGUAAGUGCAUGGAGGAUAUGGCACGAGCAAAUGGGUUGCCGAUCCAAACCUUCGCAGCAUUUCACUCUUUGUCAGUUCGAAAAGAGUCUUUAAAAUUAAAGAUAGUUGCUUCUUGAGUGGGUAAUGUAUUUCAAGCAUUGUACGACCAUGCGUUCAUCUGCUAUUAAUAGCAUGAAAUAAUGCCUAUCGCGAGAGAAGCAACCGCCCCUUUCUCGCAGCUAUUAUGGAUGACCACCUGCCCAACUAGGUCCACUAGUCAUCAGCCCAUGCACCUGCACAGGCUAGAAAUUUUUAAAAAGAAAAUAGAUCUUUUGAAAAUAAUUCAAUUUUCAUCGAUAUAUCCAUCUGUUAAAAAUACAAAAUAGACUUGGGAACAUGCUUUUUAAGAUGAUCAUUAGAAACAUAAACCAUUUUUCAUGAUUGUUAGGGCCCAAUUAAUACGGUGAAACCUUACAUACCUUUAGUUCGUUCAUGAUUAAAUGGUAUGCUUCAAUGCUACUCCCUCCGUUUCUAAAUAUUUGUCUUUUUAGAGAUUUCAACAAGUGAGGAUUAUGGAGGGCGUACAAGUUUUUGCCGUGUUUCAAAUCAUGACAAUCAACUACACAAAAAAUGUAAAGAUGAAGAAUAUAUUAAGAAUACCUCCUUUUGGUGAUAAUAUAUCAUUGAGCAGUAGAUAAACCAUGUAAUACCACAAAUUAGUACAUCCAUGAAUGUCGGGUAAGCAUAUGCGUUUUCUAUAUACAUACAUGCAAGGAUGGGGCAAACAUUAAUUAAACCCAUUAAGAGUCGCCUGAAUGGUGGCCAACCAGCUAUGCCAUGUGGCGCAAGUUGGUUGGCCAUGGUGAAAAACCUUUGAGAUAUUAUUUUUAGAUGGAGAUGAGGAAUUUUUUUGAAAUGUUUUUUUCCUUUUCAGAUGAAGGUGAUGACCUCACACUUUUUUUUAAGUGGAGGGCUACGCAUAGUGGCGCUUGCUGGUACGUUGCGUUGGUGAUAUUUUAUUUUCUUUUUUACUUCUUUUUCUAGAUGAAGGUGAUGAUUUUUUAAAAUGUAUUUCUAGAUGAAGGCGAGGACUUCAUGUAUUUGUUCUAAAUAAAAAAUCUACGCACAACUUUCUCUUAAGUGGGGCCACUGGGUGGCGCUCCAACCACUAGUAUAAUUCAAGCAUCAUGAUUAAAGAUGGCAUGAGGAUGAUUUCAACGAAAAAAACACACAUGACAUGUUGCAAACAUUUCUGGAGUUGCAACUCAGCAUCUCACACUCUAUCACUACUCCACAGUAGCCCCUUUCCUCUAAUGAUCAGUCGAUGCCGCACAAUUCUAGAAGCACAUACAGAAAAUCAAAGAUGAUUUUAAAACGUAAGUACACCGUAAGAGUACUAUAUAUAUAAUGGCAUAUAAUCUGAUUAUAAAGAAAAGAUGCAGGGUUAAGAAACUGUAAGUAUGAAGCUACCAUAUAAUCCCUACAGUUCAUAUUUUUUCAAGCCCCACAUGUCGAAUCAUAUACUUACAAUAAGUUGUGCGCAAUAUAAUUGAUAAAUUUAUAUUAUUUCAUAUAAAAAGUUAUCUAAAAAUAUAAUAAUUGACUACACAACAUUUGUGAGUAAUAUCUGAGUAUGCAAUAAUUGUUAGCAUAUUCUUUGCCUUCAUUCAAAGUGAUACAGAUACAGCCAGAGCCAUGAUAAGGUUGGCAGACCACCAUUUAGCAGCCCGGCACCAGCAAACGUUAGGAUCGCAAAAAUAUUUGCGACUUCUGCCGCUAACGUGCAAGAUCAGCAUGACACAAAGAGCUCGUGUAGAGUCAGACAUAGGUGGGCACAUGAUUUCUCCACCUUGCACCAAUGACCGGUGGCUUUGACAACAUGUACACCAGAGAAAAAAAA